UUAAAAAAAAAAAAAAAAAACUAUAUGUUUAUUAAAUAUAAUAAAAAAAUUAAAUGAAUUAUAUAGAAUUUAAUAAAUUUUUCUAUAUAUUUUAUAAAUAGUUUUAACUUUUUUUAUAUAUUUAAAAAAAUUGGAUUCCAUGUAAGCUAGUUAAGCCAUGCUUAACUUUCAAUUACAAAUAGUAAUCACUCUAAGUUCUUUUAACCCUUUUUUUAAAUUGUAUUAUAUCAUAUCUUUAAAAUAUAUUUCCUUAUUCACGUAUCGAUCUUAAAACUUGAGUGUUUUUAUUAUUAUUAUUGAUGUGUUUGUUUGAAUAUAAUACAGCUUUGAUAUAUAUAAUCUCAUUAAAUAUGGGGUUGAAAUAAUGUUCCCCUUCUUCCAUUUCAGAAAGGCCCACAGGAAAGGUAUUAAAUUGUUGAAAGAAACUUGUAUCCUUUUUAACAUCUCAAUAUAUAUAUAUGUAUGUAUGUAUGUAUAUAUAUAUAUAUAGAGAGAGAGAGAGAGAGAGAGAGACAUUUGAAAAAGAAUAUAAAUUGAGUCCAUAAAUGUAAGUGGAGGCAGAGAGAGAAGUGUAAUUAUAACACACCAAACAUUUUCUAAGCUGACGACUUAGCUUCACGUGGACAUAAUAAAACACCACCUGGGUAGAUCCAUUUCUGACAUCCUUUAUUAUUCUUGUCUUCUUCAUCAUUUCAACAUCAUCAGAUUUAUACCAUUUCUCUUUUACCUUCUUCAUCCCUUCUUUUCUUUUCAUCAUCAUAUAUAUAUCACGAAUAUUCAAACAUCACAAUAAUAAUAUUACUGACUAUUUCAAACUAGGAAUAUAUUUUCAUAAUUUGUAGUAAUACGACGCUUUCAAAUUUUUCAUUUAUGUCUGUCAUCUAACCAACUAUUAUGAAUUGGUUGAAAUCCACCCAAUAUAUAUAUAAUAAGUUAACAAAUCACCUCUCAUUAAUGAUAGUCUCAAAUAAUCAGGUGAGAGGGUUUACAACUCCAAAAAAUUCUCAAAUUUUUUGAGGUUGUUAAGUUGUAUAUAACCAUUUUUAUCUCUAUUAUUCUUUGAAUAUAGUAACAGGAGAAGCGAGUAGAAAAUUGGAUCUCUAAUGUUUGUUAUUUUGAUCAUGUUUGGACUGUUGGUGUUUUUCAACUCUUAUCAUCAUUGAAUUUAAUUAAAAAUAAUAUAUAUAGAGUUGUUUUGAAACAAUAUAACAAAAUUCAAGUAUUCAUUAGUGAUAACAUCUACUUGUAUCUAUCGUCAUCGUGCAAUAGAUACCGAUAGAUGUCUAUUAGUGUCUAACAAUGUAUAUCACCAAUAAACAGUGACAUUUUAGUCUUUCAUGUUAAUUUGCAAUAGUAGGUUUGACAUGAUCUCACAAUAAUUCUUAUACCAACCAACCAAAUGUGAAAUGAUUCAUAUUGAUUUAAUGUUUGUGAUGUUGAUAGAUUUUUUGGAUUUAAUUAAUCAUUUCAUUAUAUGCCAUAGUUCAUUUUAAAAUUAAGUUAUUGUCUAUGCUAGCUAGCAAAAAAAACGAUUCUCUAAUUUGAAAAUCUAAAAUUAUUCAAUAAAAGGAAAUAAAGAGAUUUCCCCCCGUAAAGAAUCUAAUCCCUAAUCCCUUAAAUGUACCAAUCUUCCCAUCCUCCUUGAUUCCACACUAUAGAUUACAAUGACAAAAAAAGGAAAAUAGAAAUUCUUUAUAGAUUCAAUAAUGGAAAAUGUAUUAUAUUCUCUAACCUCUUUAUUGAUGUCUAUGUAAAAGCUAAGAUAAACCUUUUACCUACCAUAACUAUUCCAAAAAGAUAAUAUAAGAAUCUACAUAAUAUAUUUGUAUACAAAUUUUCAAAUAAGAAAGGUAUAAGCUAAAUUAACAUUCCAAAUUUCCAAAUUAAUAUUUUGUUAAAUUAGAAAAUAAAUUAAUCAAAACAAGUGGUGUAUAAAAUUAAUGAGGAAAAGACAAAAAAUCUUCUUCUUCUUCUUCUUUUAAAAAAAAUUCUUUUUAAUAAGCAAAUUUUUUUAAAAAAUAAUAAAACCAACCAGCUAGGGUUGUAACCAAAUUGAUUAGAAUACAAAUCAUAUAUAUAUUAAAUGUAAGAAAAAAGAGAGCAUUUAAUUUAGGGUAUGAAUAUGAGGUUUGAAAUAUCGUAUUCAAAUGUCACAUGGUUUGAUUUCGCCCAUGAAAUUCUUCUUCACCAAUAAUAAUAAAAAGAAAGAAAGGAAAAAGAAAGAAAGAAAGAAAGGAAGAAAGAAAGAAGAGGGUGGGGGACCCACAGAACUAAAGCCAUAUGGAUUCACGUGAGAGGCACGUGCAGAGCCAUUUGGGUGGGGACGGAAAUGGUUUGUAGAGGGAGUGCAUGCGAAUAAAACCCACGUGAACCUCUUUGGUCUGCUUCCUGUCUCGCCCUCCCCUCCCCCUCCUCCCCUCCUCCCCCUGGCCAUUUUGUACCAUCAAUUUACCAAAAGACAACUACACUACUUUCUUUCUUUCUUUCUUUCUUUCUUUUCUUUUCUUUUCUUUUUUCCUUUUGUCGGGGUGUGUCGACAAACCCCUUGUUUGAUGUUAAGUCUCCAUGCGAAACCUAUUCUAGUUACUGUCGUUGAUUUUUCUUUUUCUUUUUAAUUUGUCUAAUUGUUUAUAGCUAUAUAGGUGUUGGAAGAAAAUGAAUAUAUUUGAACUCAACUAUUACACUUUCCUUUGGACACAAUAUACUUAUUUAUUCUAUAAUAGUCCAACUAAAAGUUAGUCCGAUGAUGUAGGUGGAGAUCAAGGCAUGCACUUCUGAUCAUUAUUAACUUUAUAACCUGAGUUGCAUGCAAAUUAAACUACUACACACACAUAUAUAUAUAUAGUAUAAGCACUUGAAUAUGAAAAAUAGCUGUAUAUAAUAACAUUAGUCACAUCACUUUUUUUUAUUGCAACCAUGUACUACUCUCAUUGUGAAAUAUGUAUGGAGAAAAUUUGGAAAUAAAUAUAUUAUUAUAUCUUUCAAGAGGUUCAAAGUCUAAUCCAUCAUGAUUUGAUUUUCUUUUCAGUAUGAUUAGAUAUGUAUCUAACUUUGGGCAUAAAAUAUAGAAAUAAUUGAGUUUGGGUUCAUGAAUUUUGAAGUAUAUUAUUCAUAAAAAACAGUGAAUGUUAAUCAUGGUGAAAUGCUGUGUCUUUUCUCAAGUAAUAAUAAUGGGAGUGUACUUUAUUGGUCUUUAGCUACUUCUUGGCAUAAACAACAAAAAGACAUGAUAAUCUAGUCACUUGCUUUCUUGUUUUCUUCCUAUCAUUUUAUUGACUAAUAUAUAUUGAUUUGUAAAAAAUUUGGUCUUAUGUAGCCUACCCUUACCCUAGAUUGCCCUCAACAAGACAAAAAUGUUAAAAGAUGUUUUGAAAAUUUUGAGAAAUCAUUCACCUCGUUCAUUUUGACCCACUCGAACAUAUUCUUUCACAUAAUUAUUUUUAAUUUUAGAAAAUUGAAUAUUAUUUUAUCCAUAUAAUAGUUUUUUUUCGAAAGUAAAAAAAUUUUAAAAAAUAAAAUACAAAUGGGCUUUUUUUAUAUAUAUAUAAGAAAAAACUAGGCUACAUAUAUAACUAUUUAGUAUUCUCCAUAAAGUCCAUCCUACAUAUGAAAAUGACAAUGAAAAAAGACAAAUAUAAAAUUCUGUAAAAAUAUGCCUCAAUUUUUUUAAAAAAUCAAUUGUUUGUUUACUUCUAUGCUCGGUAGUUGAGCACACUCUAAUAAUUGAGAUACUUCAAAUGUGUUUAAUUGGUUGAAACUGAAAAAUUGUGCAAAUCCCUACCAAUUUUAAUUCCAUAUUUGUUAAGAUACAUAAAUUUCCACCAUAAUUUCAAAGAUUGCUAGUCACAUAUAUUAUAUAUAGUUUUUAAAUGAAAAAUGGGUUUGUUUUGUUAUUAUUUAUAUCUUAAUAUGGCUAAAGAAAGUUACACUAUAGUUUCUGAAAUGAUUAAGUGAUAAUCAUAGGGUGAGGAAGAAAUUACCUAAAAGAGUGAAGAAAAGUUGAUGGGGUUUAAGAUGUAUAUAUAUUGUGUGUGUGUGAAGUGAAGAGACCACAAACACAAAGUACAUUGACACUGCUGCAAUUGCAACCAGCAGCUGGAAUCAAAUAAACAAACCAUAUUGUACCAUUUUGCCCUUCUUUUUCUUUUUUCUUUUCCUAUUAUUAUUUGUUCUUCUUCUUAACUUCCUCCUCCUCCUCUCUAGUCUCUACUUAAUUAAUUCUUCCUAACUAUUAUGCUUAAUUACUCCAGAAAAAGAUCUUUACGUUAAAUAUUAACACAAUAUAUUUAGGGAAAAUAAUUACGAUAGUAUUGAAAGAGUACACUUCAAACUUUUGAUGUUUUGUUAUGUACUGGAAGGUUAGGUUUAUGGGUUUAGUAAUGUUGUAGAAAAGUUGAAAUAAUUUCAAAGAGAAUCUGAAAGUUAGGGUAUGGGGAGCGGAGGGAAAUAGGGAAACUGAGAAAAACGACAGAAUUUGCCGCAUGGUUUUGCUAUUCAAUGAUGAGUCAUGAACAAUCCUAUCAAAAUAAUUCAAUACCCCAUUUCCUUUUUCAAAAUUAUAACACAAAACAUCAAAUAGAAUUGAUGAUGUGGAUCCACAGUUUUCAAUUAUUUCUUCUACCCUUAAAUAAAUAAAUAUUUGUAUAGACGCACGUACGUGUGUGUAUAUAUAUAUAUUACAUCUUUCUUUUCUUAAUAAUUGAACAUUUACGUAUAUUAUAUUAUCAAUUAUUAAUUUUCUACACAUCUUCCCUCUCGCAUCACAAAUAUAUAUUUAUGCAUUUUUCAAAGCAAAAAUUUUGGAAAUGGAAAAUCUUCUUCACAUAUUUAUUUAUAAAAUUUAAUAAAUGUUAGAUUCUAUAAAUUUAUUCAUAAUAAAUCUAAAAGUUUACUAUCUAUUUUAUAAACAUUUUAGAUCAUUUUCUAAUUCCAUUCAUUUAUAUAUUACUAACUAAUAUGUUGGUAUUUUAAUUUUCUAAUAGUGUGUGAACUUUUAUCGGUGGCCUAAGACAGUCAAAAUUGAAACACGGGCAACUAAAUAUUUCUAAUGUUUAUAUUAACGUCUUAGUUUAGCAUGUUUAUUAGAAUAAAAUAAAAUAAAAAAAGUCCAAUAUAUAAGAAUGGUUGGAUAUUCCGAUUUAAUUUGAAUUUUUAACUCGAAGCAGAGUAAUAUAUGUUAAUUAUCGUUAAAUUAUGCUUCAAAACAACUUAAUUACUGUCACUCGAGUACUUAAGGUUUGCAAUAAAUAUGAGGGAACUAUAAAAAUGUGUGUACCUUCUGAUUGUUUAGUAUACAAAUAGUAUAAAGAGAGGGUAUGAUAGGUGACUAAAUUUGUAAGAGAUAUUCAUUACAUUGUUUGAUUUUGAGACUCUUUCUCAAAAUUUGAUGAAAAUAUUAUUUAUUAGAUUGGGACAUUUUUCAAAAAUAGAUCAUGCAGCUUGGAAAUUGCAAUUCUAGUAUGCAUUCUAUUGGGAGUGAAACAUAUAUGUUGUAUAGAUAAAUAAAAGGAAAUUAAUAUAAAUAUUUAGAUAAAUCUUUAUCAUUCCUAUCAAUUGAUAGAAUAGAUAUUAUAUCUUUCAACUAUUUUUACCUUACUUUUUAGUUCUAUGCUUUCUAUACCUAGGUUAUUAAUCAACUGCUUAAUACUUGUACAUUUCUUACUUUAUUACCUUAAUUUUAGAAAAUAUUUUCGGAAAACAAAAAUAACUUUUAAGAUUUUUUUUUUGAAAAUGUACAUGGGAUUCAAUCUUUUUUUUUUUUUGUUUAAAGAAGAUAGUAAUUUAAAAAAUGUACGUGAGAAGCAUAUACAAGGAUUACAAAAAAACAAUAUGUGGAAAUUUUAUAUUUUUUCUCAAAACAUGCAUCAUCUUAUAAAAAUAAAAUAAUUAUCAAACAAUGCGUACAUGUUAUUUUAUAAGUAAAAAGGAUGAAAAAAGGCCACAAGGAAGGAUUUCAUGAGUUUGAGUUCAAAUGGUUUAAAUGAGAAUGAAAAUAAUAAUCAUCACAAAACUUUAAUUAAUUAUUUUAAAUGAUAAAAUUAUUAAAAAAUAUAUUUAUAAACAUACCAAAUUUUACUUUUGGAAUAUUUAUCACCCCAAUUUUUAUUAUAUUUAUAAAUAAAUUAAUUCAUUUUAUUAUAUUUAAAAAGUAUCAUUUAAAUAUAUUCCAUAUUGAAAAUUUCAAUUCUCAGAACCCAUUUUUGUUUUAAUAUUUAUAUUUUUUGAACAUAUAAUAUGGGGAUUGUGGAAUAUUAUUCAACCGUAGACCCAUUUUAGAUGUUAUAUUUUACUUCUUAAUCCACACGUAUACAUAAGUGGGUUGAAAUAAAUAUAAGCUAAGCAAAUAUGAACUGACAAUAUAAAUAUAACACUUUUAAACAAAAUUUACGAACUAAAAUAAAAUUAUAAAGUAAUUUUUUUAUAAAAAAAGUAGGGUUUUUCUAAGAAUAUAAUUAAAAAAUACAAAAACUAUUUACAUGACAAAAAAAAAUCAUUUCAUUCUAUUAUAAAUAAUUUAUCCAUUUUAUCAAUUUUUACCAUAAAGACAAGAUAAACAAGAAUACAUAUUAUCCUUUUUUUUGUCUUCUCACUUCAAGAAAUAGACAACUAAUUUAUAGUGAUCAAACUUUUGUAGAGAUGCAAUAGAAAAUAUAUGUGACAAACAAUUUAAUAACAGUAGACGAAUACAAAAAAUUUAAAAACUAUAUGAUAGAGAAGGUAACAAACACAACAUGUAACAUAAGUACAUAUGACGUUAUUCAAUUAGCUAUCCUCGAGCGGAAGAUAUUUUACGUUGAAAAUGAAUAUUUAAAAAGGACAACAAUAACCCAUUUAUUAUAAUAGAGACAGGAGGACAUGACACAAUUUGCAAAAACAAACCACAUUGACAUAUAUAUAUAUAUAUAUAUAUGUAUGUAUAAAUAUAUAUAGUUCCAUCCCAUUUCAUAUUCGAUAUUGUAGUGUUAUAUAUAUAUAUAUAUAUAUUUGAAACAAAAUCAUCCUCAUCCAAAUAAAAAGGAAAAAGAAAAUAAAAAGAAUAAAAGAAAUGGAAUCGACGACGACGGUGGGGAGGGUGGCCGGAAUAAUAUUGCCGACGAUGGUAGACAAGAAGAAGAAACUACCAAGGGAAUUCGUGUGGCCACGAGGGGAGUUGGCAGGGGAGGAAAGAGGGGAGUUGAAAGAGCCGUUGAUAGACUUAGGGGGAUUCAGGAGAGGGGAGGAAGAGGCGACGGCGGAGGCGGCGGCGAUGGUGAGGAUGGCAUGUAUGAAACAUGGGGUGUUUCAGGUGACGAAUCACGGAGUGGAAGAGGAGCUGAUAAAGGCGGCGUAUGAAGAAGGGGAGGGGAUAUUUAAGAUGCCAUUAGUGAAGAAAAUAAGCGUGGGGAAAAAACCGGGGAGAGUGUCGGGAUAUUCAGGAGCUCAUGCAGAUAGAUUCUCUUCAAAACUUCCAUGGAAAGAGACCUUCUCUUUUGAGUAUUCUAAUGAUGAUUCUCAACCUCUACAUGUUCUUCAUCACUUUAAAUCAUUGUUCGGUUGCGACUUCGAGAAUACUGGGUCAGUCUUCUUUAACUCUCUCCCCCCCCCAGAAAGUACUACGAUAUCCAAUCGUUUGAUUUUCAUUUUUCAGUUUUGUUAAUAUAUACGAUAUGUAUAUAUUGUGUUUGCUUAGUUUUUAAAAUAUUUGUUUAACUUAAAAAAUUCAUUAUUAAAUAAGAUUUUAAAGAUGGGUAUUUAAAAAAUAAAAAUCUUGUUAUUUUUUUUCUUUUCGAAAAUACUUAAGAAGUUAAUUAGAUGAAAGAUAAAAUAAUAUUUAUUUAGUGUAGGCUUAUGAACUCAAUGUAACAAAAACAAUGAGCCAAAUUAACAACUCUAUUUCUUCAAACAAAACACCUUCAUAAGAGUGUUACAGCUAGUGGGGCUAUAACCAUUUGUAACCACAACCAAAAAAAUUAAAAGAACUCAAAGACAGGAAAAAGAAAAAUAAGUUUGUUAUGGUUCAAACAGACAAUCAAGAAUUACUCUUUUGGUAAAGUUGAAUUAAUAAAGAAGAUUAUUGAGAUAGACAAAAACUUCUAAAAUUAUAAUAAAAUAUAAUAGUUUAAGAUAAACUACUAUGAGUAUAUAUCAUAAUCAUAUAAAUAGAUAAAAAUAUAUUUUACUGUAUUUUAUGAAUAUUUUGGUUAAUUUUAAUUAAUCAUAAAGUAAUUUGAAGUAUAUAACUUAAUUAUGGGAUGUGUUUUGUUUAUAUAUGAAGAUGGGUAUACCAAAGAUACUGUGAAGAAAUGACAAGAACAGCAUUAAUGAUAAUGGAGCUUCUAGCAAUAAGUUUGGGAGUAGAGAGAUAUCAUUACAGGAAGUUCUUUGAAGAUGGAAAGUCAAUAAUGAGAUGCAAUUACUAUCCACCAUGUGAGAAUGCAAGCCUGACUUUAGGCACAGGCCCUCAUUGUGACCCAACUUCACUCACUAUUCUCCAUCAAGAUCAAGUUGGUGGCCUUGAAGUUUUUGCUAACAACGCUUGGCUCUCUGUCAAACCUAGACCUGAUGCUUUGGUUAUUAACAUUGGUGACACUUUUAUGGUACCCAUUUUCUUUCUUUCUUUCUUUUCCUAUAUAUACACGUAUAACUUUCAACACGACACGACCGGACGUCGCAAACCAAUUUCUUGUUUUACUUUCAAUUGGACCUCUUAAUGAUAAAAACUGAACCCGUCUAAUCUUAUUUAAUUGUUACAAUUUCUAUGAGAAUGUAAGCUCGAGUGUGUCCAAUUUCAACAUUUGUAUAAGUUUAAGAACUCAAGUUUUAUAAUCGAAGUUUGAAGUGCUUACAUAGAUUUGAACAUCUAAUCUUUUGAUUGGAGUGAAAUUAUAGUUCUUAUAAAUGGUUGUUUGUAUUGUGAUAGCCUCCUUGAAUAAUUAAAAGAAAAAAAAUGCAGGCACUGUCGAAUGGAGCGUACAAGAGCUGUCUGCAUAGGGCAGUGGUGAACAGGAAGAGAGAGAGAAGGUCAUUGGUGUUCUUUGUGUGCCCAAAAGAUGAUAAAGUGGUGAGACCCCCACAAGAUUUGGUGGGCAGAGAAGGGCCAAGACAGUACCCUGAUUUCACAUGGUCAGAGCUUUUGGAGUUUACACAAAAACAUUACAGAGCUGAUGUUGCUACACUCCAAAGCUUUGUCCACUGGCUUCAAGCUAAACCUCACCCUCCAAAAAUUCCAUUUUAAAUUUAUUUAUAUAUAUAUAUAGAUAUAUAUAUUAGAAUUUCCCGUCUUUUUUCUUAGUUUGUUCUUAUUCUUCUUAUUCUCUCCUCUUACCGCUGUCCAAUGCUUUGUCCUUCUCUUUGUUUCUAUCUAUAUUUUAUUUACAAGCUCUCUUGCCUAAAUGCUAAUCAUGCUGCUGCCUUUUUGGCACUUUUAUGCCUUUCUUUCUCUCUGUUUUUCCCAUUCUUUUGCUGCUAUAUGUUUAUAAUAUGCAUUUUUAACUGUUCAACCCACUCGUCUUUAUAUAUAUAUAUAUUGGUUAAUUUUUCUGCACUUUUUCUAUGUACCUUCUUUAAACUUAUAAUUCUUUCAAGAAAAAAUGUGAGAGCAUUAGUGCUGAUGAAAUGAGGGAGGGUGGUAAUAUCCCUUGGUUGGGUAUGUAUGUUAUUGGUGUGGUGAUGGUUGAUUGAAAUAUGUAGUAAAGCUUACAAAAACUAGAUAAAAUGAUCAACAUGAACAUAAUUCAACUAGUUGAGUUAUCGAUUCUUGUUUCUAUAUGAUAAACAUUUCAAUCUUCAACUCGAUGAAAAAUGCAUGUUUAUUGAUAUUCAUUAAUUAUUAUUAAAAAUUAUUUUAUUUAUAUUCUUACUUAAACAACAUUUUAAAACAAAAAUUAUAUAAAUAAAGUUUGUUAUUGUUUUUAAAAAUAUAUCCUUAGAAAUUGUUUUUGUAGUAUUUAUUUUUAAGUUUAGAAAAUGUAUAGGAAGAUUUUUACCACUUGGAUAAAGUUUAGGGGCUACCCAAAGGUCGAGUUGGACCACAUUCAUUCAAAACAUUUUUAACAACUAGAUAGCCUAAAUAGAACCAAUUUGAACAUAGCUUAGUGAAAAAUUGUUGGGCAAAAGAACCAUGCCCAUGAUUUAGAUUGAAGAACUUGGGAAUAGCCAUCUCGAGAUAUCUUCUCUAACACAGUAGACUUACUUGUACAGUUUGAACAGUAUGAAUCCAUCAUUUUUAUCCUUUAUGUCAAAACAGAUGGCACAAGCAAAAGCAAACAGAGAUGGCGGUAAAUGCUUCGAGCAAACACAAUGAUUUCAUAUGCCAAAAUGCCAUAAAACUUAACAUGCACAAAGAAGGUAAAGGGAAUUGUAUGUUCUAACUCACUUUAAAAACUGAAGUAAUAUAAGACUGUUACAAGUAGAUGAACAAGUUUUUAUAAAUUAAAUUUUGACAAGGAAAAUAAUCUCAAACAUGUUUCCUUUUACAGCUUUCUGGUAUUGCGUAAACAUAACUGCAGCGCAGAUCCCUCUGACUCUUACGGUGUAACUUUUGAGAGAGUAUCCUAUCCUCGGCCACAUACUUGGUCUCGAACACUAAUUUACAAUGCAACUCCUUAUACAAGAGAAAAUUUACAACAUUCCUCUUUCAAUGAAACACCCAUUUGAUGUGACAGAGAAAGAGAGACUUGUAUCUUAACCCAUGUUUGUUGGUUCAUCUUCCUCAGCAGUUUUCAAACUGUACAGUACAAGUAUACUUGUAGAUUUUGGAAGUUAUUUUUUGAUGGGGGUACUAUAUUCAUAUAGCCGUUAUUAACUAACUUCAAUGAUAAGAUACCUUAAGGGGUGAUGACGAAGUAGUUUAUAUUAACUUAGGCAUAUAGUCUCAAGCGCAUCUUUAUAGGUUCUCGACACAACGGGCACGUUGAGAUAGUUACACCACAAUCCUUGCAGGUCUGGUAAGAAAACAACAAAAGAAUUGUACGCAAAUAUUCAUGAGUGUCUUGGCCAAGUAAUACGAAUAUGAAACCAUUCGAACAUUUUUUAUUCCAUUAGAAAAUAUUAGUCAAACAUUAGCACUGUUAGAAAGUUCAAUGGUAGAGAACUUACUGUAUGACCACAUGCAAAAGCCAUGUCCUUUGGGUUUGUGAGGCAUAUGGGGCAGACCUUGAACAAGUGACAUUUAAUUUAAAUAAUUUAUAUUAAUGAAGUCAUGAAACAAAAGAGAAACUUUUUUUGUUUCAGUAGACAAGGCUCUCACAACUUGUUGCCUUAAUCAAUCUUAAACCCCAAGAGUACAACAAAAUUUCCCUAGAGUAAUUGUAAAGCCACACAUGUUUGGUUCUCUCAUUCUUAGAAAACUCCAUAAAUAAAAUAAAAGCGAAGUUACCGAUUCAGAUGAGGAACUAUGUUUUUCAGCUUUUGAAUUCUCCAAAAUUUGGUUUGCAACUGCAUUGUCAUGAUUGAUGACUUCAGGAGGAGGAGGAAGUGGCCCUGCACUUUUUCCAUAUACAGAUUCUCUCCUGAUAAUAGUGUGUGUUAUUUUUCCAAACCCAAAACAGAAAUUGUUACGAAAUCAACAAAUUAAGAAAGCGAGAAAGUGUAAACAAUAAAGAUCAACAUAGCUAUAUCCACGGGCUGAGGAAGAGAGUAGUUUUAUUAAGCUAUUAACAGAGAAAAUAUGAGAUAAUACAAAUUACAUAAACAUCAAUAGGGUUUGAGAGUUUUUAUGACAACUAUUUGAACCUUGGGCUUAAAAUCCUAAAUAACACAUAACACAAUCACAAUGUAGGCUAAUUCACUUGGUUAAUCAGAAUGCCAAAUAACAAACACACGACAUUUCAACUGUUCAAUUGAAGUUGAAAAUCCUGGCUUACUUUGAAUUUGGCAAGGAGAGGGUGGCUCUGUAUUGAAAUGGAAUUUCCAUGAGUGCGGCCAAGGCAAAUGCUGCUUCCUUCUUUGACGCUUCUGUGCUCUCAGACAUGAUCUUUGUGAAGUUUACAAACUGAAUCAAUAGAGAGAAGCCGUGAAGUUACACACUGAACCAAAAACAAUUGAACACCCAUGUUUUCUUUUUGACAACCAUGAGAUGGAGUUUUUCUCUAAGUGGUUUAUGGAUAACCCUCAACAUUAAAUGAAGUACAUAGAAUAUAGAAAAGAUACUGCCGUAAGAUUGAAUAUUCAAGACCAUUUCAUACCUUCCUCUUAACAAAAACUUCUUAUUGAACAAAAAUGAAAGAACACAUGCCCACAAAAAAAGAGCUCCAACCAUGCAAAAUAGUCCGUAAGACCAUUCCAUACAAUGAAAAACACAACCACACAAGUAGAUUCAAUGAAAUAUUAAUCAAGUACCUGGAAAUUAUCAAAUGCACGCUGAGGCAGGUUAUCAUCAAAUUUAUGCAUAGCAUCCCAAGGUCCAUCCCCCACCCCGAUUAGAAUUAUCGACAGAGGAUAAUGGCUGGAGAUUCAAAUGUUAUGAGACUUCAAGCACAGAAGCUACUGAACUUAAUAAAAGUUAUUGUUUGACUUUUACCUUGCAGCAACAAUGGAGUUUAUGGUUGCCUGCUCUUGAAAACUUAAUUUACCAGGUGGUGUGUUAGGAUUUCUAGUAACCUGUUCAAUAUUAUACAAUUUUAAGCCUUAAGAGAAUGAAGCAUAAAUGAGAUAGGGAGAAAUAAAAGAUAAUACAAACAGAGCACAUCCAACAACCUGUCCAUCUGCAAUAAUAACAAGGACGUGAUACUGCCAAUUGCUUUUCUCAACAAUGCCAAUCGCAGCAUCUAUAACAGGAGCAAACGAGGUUGGACCUACAUAUAUAAGGUUGAGUAAAUUGUUAGGAUCAUUAUAACUUAGGAAGAAGAAAUUACAUUAACCGGGAAAGCACUUUGAAAAGUAUCCACAGAUAGCAAUUUAAACAGAUGGUAAAUAUAGAGCUGGAAAGCUCCUCAAAUAAUAUAAGUAAACAUAGAAUUAACAAUUACUGAAAUAAGCCUCACUAAGCUAAGAUUUAAUAUCCCAAAGGCGUCCUUCUCAACAGCCAUUUUCCACUAACUAGAGCUGCUAAAACAUGCUACCACCAAUUAACAAAACUAGUUCACUUUGCAAACAGGGAAGCUCCCCAUAUUGUUCUUUCACCUUAACGAAUGCCUCAACUGGAUCAAACUUCUUGAACAAUUUCCUUGCAAUACCUCUAAAGAUAUCUAAACUUACUAUUCAAGGGAUUGCCUCAUCUUAAAUUAUAAGACUUAACUAUUCAAGGGAAUGCAUUUUGUCAAUCUCAAUGAACAGAAUCAACUCAAGGAAAUAUCUAAACUUACUUAUCAUACGAGAUUAAGAAAAUGAAUAUGAUGUUGCAAAUCAAAAUCAAAUAUCUUUCUAUAUUCAAUGUCCUCACUCAUCCAUAUACACAAUAGAAAAGGAAAGUAAAGAACUGAUGGAAGUAACCACAGAAAUUAUUACAUUUUUGUCCCAAUCAGAGGCAGCUUAUUUAAAUUCUAAAACCAUAGGCAAAAUGCCGUUUUUGUUGUAUGGAUGACACAUAUGGUCAACAUAUGGAACUAAUAUUAUUGAAGUUAUCAAUUGACGGAAUUGAUAAUAUCAACACAAGUCCCCCAUUGACAUAACAGUUGCAUGAUAAAGUUAACAAAUGGAUACCAAAAGUUAGCUCUGCAUCAUGAUUGAUAUUGCAAUACAUGGUGAUAAAUAGAAAAACAAACAUUUAACUCAAAAGUUCAAAUGAACCUGAUAAAUUAAGGUACGGCAGAAUUUCUCUAUAUCGAAAAAGUGCUUCCUUGAAGCCUUUACAUGGCCUAUGAUCUGGAUAAAAGCUGAAUACAUGCUGAUCACAUGUUGAUGCUUCAGAAAAAGAAGUUGAAAAUAAGGUAGUUAGGCAAGAGAAAAAGUUGUUACUAACACUUCAACAAAGGAUCUAAAAGAACUAAUACUAACCAUCACCAAAACCGAAACAAGGUAUCAAGCCAUCAUCAUCAAAAGGAGACAAUGUGUGACCAAUAAUAGAAAUUGCUUGCUCAUAUGGAUUUGGUGUACUGCUAACUGAAUGCAAACUUUUUCUUCUGAAAGAAUACCUGCCUGCAGUCAGACAAAUGUAACUUCUAGUUAUCUGUGAAGCAUUCAUAACCUUCAUAACAAUUGUAGAGUAAAUAAAGAUUCACCUGUCCACUCAUUACUCUUUGUAAAGUCGAUACCAAGAAUUAAAUUUGAUGAUUCAAGACCUUCGUGUCUCAAUGCAGAUAUAACCUGAACGAAGUUCAUGUAUUUCCAGUAUGCAAUACUUGUGUGAAUGUCUGCUUGAGGGUACGGUGACAUUCAUAUUGAUAAUAAACAAAAGAGAAAAUAUAAAGACUGACUUUCAAAUAUUUAGGCAGAAUUAACGUACAGAAAUUAACUGUUAACAUAACAGUUUAAUGUUUAAAAGAACUUCAAAUAGGAAAAUAUUGAAUUGAGCCGAGUUAGAAAAACUUCUAAACUCAAGAAAUUCUCUGUAACUGUUAUGUCUACAUAUUUUAAGAAUAUCGAGAUCUCUCCUCGUGAAAAGUUGGUUAGAAGAUCUCAAAAGCACACAACUUCUUAUCUCAUCAACUUUAUUGGGAACCUUCUAGUAAGGAGGUCUUAAAGUUAAAGCUGUUUAAAACACUUAAUAAUAAAAUCUCAUUCUUUCUAUCUCAUUCCUUCUAACAAUGCCCCUAAGCUACUUUAUGGAGAAGUCCUCUGUAAAUCCAGUUUCACCCUCCACAGUCUAUAUAUUACCGGCAUAGGAUGAAUCUUGCUUCUACUUCAUCCAUUUUCCUUCCUUUUAGCAUACCCUAACUUAUCAUCUCUAAUAACAAAAUUUAUACGAUACUUGGAUGGAGGAAUAUAUAAAAGAUGUUACCAAUUACAAUUACAAUUACUAACUCCAUGGCUUUAUGAGAGGUCUAGAAUCUUCUUAGAUUUCACUAAUUACCUGACCAGCAAGACUAUCUGGAGGGGCGUGAGAGAAUCCUGACUAAGAGAUUUGCUAAAUGUAUCACAUUAUUUUAAUUUUGUGUGAGAGUGUCGCAUUUAUUCAACUAAACAUUAAGCCUAUUCUACUAAAUGCAUUAUGUUCAAUAAAUAUCCAAAAGUUCUUCCUUAGAGAUCCUCCUUCAAUGUCUAAACAACCAAGACGCUAAGUUAUUCUAACCAAAUGAUGACAAACAGUUAAUAUGUAACUGGAAAGUUUCCAUUGGUGAUUUCAUGCAUAUCAACAAUUAUUUUUACACAUAGGAAACAGGGGACAUCAAUGAUCCAAAGCCAAAACAAAAUCGACAGUGUAUAGGCCAUAUCCCUAAGGAUGAGGAUUUGUAAGUCUAAACAGAGGAAUCAAACAAAGAGCCUCAAAUCUAAGUUGAUCAGAAAUUUGGGAGUAUUUUAGAAAGCUUAAAUGGAGGUUACGUAUGCUCCAAGUAAAUGGUAUUAUGCGGAUAAUAGCAUAAAAGAGCUGGCUUAGUACUGAAUUGUCCACAGAAAGCAUAGAACAUACAGACGAAGAGAAAUAAAUAUAAAAGACGUUGCAUUGUAUUUGGCAUAAUAGGUCAAGUCAAAACCACAAUGGAAUGAAGUAAUCUGAUCCACGUAACAAUACUUAGAAAAAUCAAUCAAGUCAGGCAAAAAAGUUAAGUGGGAUUAAAUUUAAUUAGAAUUUAGAAAGAAAACAAUUUUUUGUUCUUGAACAUAAUUUUCAUGGGAAGGGCCAUUGCUAAUCUUAAUCUCAAUAAAAGUCCAAGACCGAAAAAGGUAAUGAAGUAUAAAUAAUAUAGAUUUUGUUCAGCAUACUUUCAAACAUAGAAAUAAUCAGCAAGAAUAAAAGAGAGAACCUGAUCCAAUGAGCUGAAAUUAUCAGCAAUAUACCGGUAGUCUAUUUUCCGAUGACGAUCUGAAUCCAUCUAACUCUCUGCAUACAAAAAGGUUUAAGCAAGUUCUCAUUUAAGUUAUUAUAAUACAGUAACUCCAGAUUCCCCAAUCUCAAAUGUGCUGUUCAAGAACGGUAAAUGUACAUUUAAGGAGCAACUAGGACAUAAGAAUCAAUUAGCUAGGAUGCCUUUUCCUCUAAACUUGUUAAAGUCAAAUCAUUCAAACUUGCUAAAUGAAACAUUGAAAAUCUAUGAUCAUCCCAUAAACAAAAACCCCCAGCUCGAUUCAUAACUUCUAAAAGGGAAAAGGUCGCAUGAUUGAAGCAGAUAACACAAACCAGUAACUAAAAUUGGCGAAAAUGCAACUGGGUAUCUUAAGUAAGGGGGUGAAUUGAAUUCAGAGCUCUAUAUUGAGCAGACCCAGAAGACAAAUCAAGUCAUGGAGGGCCAAAAUGAAGUAAAUAGAAGAAAAAAAGAUGAGUUGAAUUCAGUCGAAAGCAUAAAUAAAUGGUUUAAAUGGAAUAACAAGUAGCAACUCACAGAGAGCAGAAGGGAGAAAGGGGAGGUUUUGUUAGGAUGGCCUGCAAGGGAAAGAGAUACAAAAAGAGAAGAAGGUCAAAAGGGAAGCUGAAAUGGUUCUGAAUAUGGGGAUAUUAAUGGAUAUUUUGAAGAGAUUCCUUCUCGUGUUUGUCAUCUCAGACUUUAAGGAAAAGGUUCGUUGUUAAUGCGUGCACCCAACCCAUGUUCAAAUGGUGUAAAUCCACAAACUUUCCACCUUUUUUUAAUGGAUGAACUGCAGCAGCAUGUCUAUGAAAUAUAUAUAUAUAUAUAUUGGCGGUGGGCAAUUCAUCCUCUUAAUUGGGAGUUGACAAGCUAUGAUCUCCCAACAGGUUAUAAAGAAUAAUUAUCUAAAACUUUAAUAACCUAUACUCCGUUAAUAUAUUAGAUAACACAAACUAUUAUAAAUGUAAUCAAAUAAAAUAACAUUUUUUUUAUUUUAUUUAAAAAGUAUCUUAUGUUAAUUUAAAAUAAUUAUUUUUCAUUUGUUUUUUUUCAUUAUUAAACUUAAAUUUAAAUAUCCAGUUUAAAACUAUUAUAAAUUAAUUAAUAGAUGAAAGUGAAUAGGUAAAUUUUGAAAUCAAAAUUGUGAUGAAAAUAUUUAUAAUAUAGUAAAUUUUUACUUUCUAUUGGUAAGAUAAAUAGUAAUAAAUCCAAAUAGACAUCUCUCUAUCUAUCACGAAAAUAGAAAGUAAUAUUUUUUUUUACAUUUAUAAAUGAGUUAGUAUACAUUUUGGUUAUAUUAAAAAACAUGAUCUUUUGAAACAAAACUAUGGAAUAAAAUAAUUCUCAAAAUCGAAGAUUCUAUUUCUCUACGGGAUAUAUUUAGAGUCUAAUUAUAUCAUCAAUAUUAUUAAAGAUAGAUUUUAUAUUUCAUUAAAACACAGUAUGUACACAUCAUUUAUAUUUGAAAUUUUUAUUAUAAUUUAUGAUAAUAAAAAAUAAAAUAAAUAAAUUUGUAGUAAACAAGUAUGGCUUUUAAUUGGUUUAUUUCUUAAUUGUUUUUACUUCAAUGACAUAUGAUGAUAAGAUAUUUGAACACACCUAAACUCAAUACUCUUAUUACUUAAAGUAGUGGUUGAAUUAGCAUGGUAAGAUAAUUAGGUUAAGUUUAACUAACCCCUAAUUAUUAAGAAGAAUAAUUAAUACGUCAAAUUGGAAUGAUGUCUCUAAUAUUUUACUUGUUCAAACUAUAAUUUUAAUAAAAGUAAUCAGUUUUAUUUGCCAAUAAUUAUUAUUUUAAAAUAAUUACUUUGGAAACGUAAUAAAAAAAAAUUACAUUGCCUCAAUAAGAUCUCAUCAGUUUAUAAUAAAUUACAACUAUAUCUAAUGAUACGAGGAUUUUUAGAGUAGAAUCAUAAAAUUUUAGAGGCACUUGCAAAUAUGACAAAAUAAGUUAUAAUAAUUAAGUCUAUAGCACAUAUACUUUAUUAUUUGUGAAAAUGACAAAAAAUAAAGCCUAAAAUAGCUAAACUAAUUUACCACCCAAUACAAUUUCCUAAAAAAUUUUAUGGUCAAUAUAGACAAUAUUAUAACGCUACAAAAAGCCACAGUCAAACAAUUUACCUAAUAUAUUUUAAAGAAGAAACAAAAAAUACAAAACAACCUCUUCCUCGCUUGGAAUGUUUUCUUCUAACGAAAAUAUAUUAAAAACGAAGCAAACUAGCUACCACCAACAAACAAAAAACGGUCGCUCACUUACAAGAAUAAAAAUGUAAUAUUAUUUGAAAAAUAUCUUUCUAAUUUCUAGAAUCGAGAAGAUCAUGUAGAGGAUGUUAAAGAUGUUAGAUUAUGAGCAACUCUGUGAAAACUUUAGAAAAGUGAAAGAUAUUUACGAAUGCAACAAAAAUCAUUUCAAAUGUACUAAGAUUAUAUUCUUAUAACAUUGCAAAUAUAGUUUAGCUCGACAACUAAACGAUAAUAGGAGGGGCUAAGAUGAACCUAAAGUAUAUAAUAUAAAUAUACAUCCCCACUGCUAGCUACAAAGUAGUAAUAAAAAAGGUGCAUAAUUGUGAUUAUUGAUAAUUCAAACAACCUUUUGACUUUAGAAUUAAAAACUUAAGAUGCUUUCUUGCAGUACAAACUAGUUAAAAUAAGACGACUAAGUAACCUAAAAUGAUUUUACUUUUUUUUCUUUAAUUUAUAAAAAUCCAUAAUUAGUACACACACAUUUAAAUGUUGUAAUUAUUUACAACUUGCUUUAUAUUUAAGGUAGUUGGCAGGACUUGAUUUUCACAACUUGCUUUAAAAGUUAACAACUACAGUAGUUGAUAAUACUUUAUAUAUGGGUUUUAGAAAUGGAUUGAGAUGUAUUUUAUCAGAUGAAUUCAACUUGGUUGGAUUUAGUUAUAAGCUUAUAGAUUUGCUUUUUGAUAUAUUAAUUAAUAAUUUGAAUCAAAACAAACUAACUAAAAAUAAUUAAAAGUAGUUCCUACGUUUUUAUUGAAGAUAAUAUUUGAAUUCUUACUAAAAUUUUGAAAACUCUCUUUAUAAUAUUUUGUAAAAAAAGUAUUAUUAUUUAAAAUAAUUUUCCAUUUAUAAAUUUGUUAAUCUUUGGAACAACGUUAAGCAAUAUAUUUAAGGAAGAUGAGAGUAAGAGAAAACAAACCCAAACUAUAGAUUUCAAAAUCGUAUAAGGUGGAAAAGGAAGAUGAGAGUAAGAGAAAACAAACCCAAACUAUAGAUUUCAAAAUCGUAUAAGGUGGAAGCUUGAGAUUUUCAAUUUCAUUCAAAAGCACCUAAGAAGAUCAUAUAUUUAACCCAAAAACUUGAAUAAAUAUUGCAAUUACUCCCAUACAUCUUUAUAAUUAUUUAAAAAUCAUGUGCAUUUAAUUAAUACACACAUGUACGUGACAGGUGUAAUAGUAGUAGGAGGACACAAACCAACCUAGUUUCAUCAACUUUAUUAAAUUCGUGAAUUUAAGAUAUUGAGUUUGAAAAGUACUUUUAAUCAUUACAAAGAAAAUUAAAAGCAAAAUAAAAAGGAAUUUAGCAACCGUAGUUAAUUGAUUUGAAGUUGCAAAAGAUGAAUUGAAGAAGAAUGUAUACGAUUUUUCAUUAAUAACUAUUUGAGUAUCAUAGAGUACAAGGAAAACUGAACAAAAAGCCUUUGAAGAAGGAAUAGGUUGCAAAGUAGAAGGAAAAAUGAAUUACACUCAAAGGCCUAGAUGAGAUGAGAUGAGAGAUGAGAGAUGAGAGAUGAGAGAUGAGAGAUGAGAGAUGAGAGAUGAGAGAUGAGAGAUGAGAGAUGAUACACUCUGCCUAAUUACGAAGUAACCAUUGGCAUAAUAUUGAAACUUUGAAUAACAAAAAAGAAUUUUGACCUAACCUUUCCCCUCCUUUGCCCAACUAAAGUAAAGUGGGAACUGGAAGAUGAUGAUACUGAAGACACCCAUGGCCUCCCCCUCUAAGCAAUUGCAUAUUGGAGUGUUUCCGAUUCACUUGGUCGCCACAUCGACUUCUGAACGCACAGCAAUGCUUCAUUGUCUUUGAAGUAAGUAAAUCGAACCUCCCAUUUCAUUGACUUGAACAUGCUUUCGAGCUCAUUCACUGUUUCUGAGUUGUCCCGAACUAUGAGUUUCCCGUCUGGUCGGAGGAUCCGGUCAGUCUCUGCAACUAAAGCGGCUAUAUUGCACCUGUUUGUGUCCAUUGAGUUAAGCACUUAGUUUAGAUUGGAGCCCAGGAAAGGAGUGAUGAAUGAUGGAGUUAAUGUUAAUGUAGUAUGCUGAACUCACCUUGUUUUGACCUUGGAGAAAAGAUGAUCUGCGUGAAGAAGGUCGUAUGACCUCGGGUAGGUGUUGAAUGAUUCGCACCAGUCGUGAUAUAUGCCGAAUAAACCUCGUUCGAAGAUGAUUGGGAGAGUAUCAGCAGAGUCUAUUGAGACAACGUUCAUAACCCAUACUUUCAAAUUUUUCAAUGCAGCAGCAAAUCUGUGAGGAAGUGAAGAACUAUUCAUAUAUACAAAGAAAAAUGAAGAAUGUUGUAUUUGAGUGAUAGAACCUAGCAAAAGUGUGUCGAUGUCUUUACACAGUAUGUUUUCUAUUUUUAUCAUUUGUCGAUUUACCAGUAGAGCAAUUCAUCCUAACAACUAUAAUAUUACACAACUCAACCUAAAGAAGACGGAAGUAACAGGUAUGAAAAAGUUAAUUGGCAAUGACAUAAAUAUGAUGAUAGCUAUAACUUGAAGUAUAUUUCCUGUGAGGGGGAAGGAGAAUCUUACCCUCCAUAGACAGCUCUCAUGUCCAUGACAUUUCGCACAGUUGACCAGUCGAUUCCCAUGCCAGAUAGAUAUGACUUUGUCACGACCCGAUUCCAGUGUUUAUGAUCUGCAGUGAAAUCCUCUGGAGCAGCUCUUCCAUAAACUCCAACCUGAGAAUCCAACAACCAGUAUGGUGGCUUCUCCAACCUUGAUGGCCAUUGCUCUGGCCAUUUAGAACCACGCUCUGAUUCAUUUGUCGAGAUUUUGUGCAUGCAUGCCUGGAGUGGCACGUUCCUGCAGAAGGUUUGAACAAAUUCAGUAGCAGCAACAGAGCUAUAAAUUUGUUUUUUAAAUAAGUAUUGCAUUUGGGGAAAGAAAAUCUGUCUUGGUUUUACAUUCUAAAUUUGUCUAAGCUUAGCUUAGAAAUAAGAGAAUGAACAAGAAGGCAUAUAUGAAGGGGAAUGAUAAUGGACCGAGGCUCAUUAUUUAUUGAAUCCUUAUUCCUAGAAAUUGGGUCUUGGAUAAAUGAAAGUAAAAAAUUUCUUAACUGGGGAAAUUAAAAUCAUAAAAGAUAAGUACCAUGCUGCACUUGGAUCAUCCGAAUCAGGGCAGAGAGGCGGCUCUUUUUCAUAUCUCUGCUCAUAGCAAUCAUUAUUAGUAGGUUUCCUAUAUAUGGCUGCACUAACGCCAUUCACUGUAUCCUUGUUAAUCGAUAUAAGUUCCCAGCACAUUGCUUUCGUCAGCUCUUUCAUGGCUGCAAAAUGGUUCCACCACAUACAAAGCUAUUAGAACUCUAAUUUUUUGAAGCUCUCUGGUUUAACAUGUAAAUUUACAGCUUAAAUUUUCAAAGGAUAAUAUGGGUUUAAAAAUUGCCAACCGUUCCAUAUUCCAGCAUCUUCAGCAUUCUUCUGAUAGACUGGUGUAGCAGACCACACGAAGAAGCCACCAGGCCGCAACAAACGAUUUAGCUCCAACAGAAGUUUGCCACCUGCACAGUUUCUUCAGAAGUGAGCAUUGAAACACGAGCUAUUCACAAAAUGUUUUACUUCAGUCACUGAUAUGAUGAAGUACCAUAUGAUAUAUCAAAGUGAUCGUGGUUCCAACAAUAGAAAUUUAACCAAAAAUCACAAGAAUUGAGAGAAAGUAUUGACUCAGACGUAUUAAUCAGCACAUUACCUUCUAUGUGCCAUGGUACCCUACAACGAGCACAAUGGACAACAUCAAAAACUCUUCCUGGGUAGGGAAGUCUUUUUGUGCCCAUAACGGCAGAUAUAGCGGGAAUUCCCCUCUCAAGUGCAAACUGGACUUGUGCUUCAUGUUCAUCUUUUGGUGCCAAUGACAUGGUUAGUACGUCUCUUUCAAAAAGAAAUCCUCCAAAGCUGGCCACCCCACAUCCAACAUCCAGAAUUACACGUGAUUGUUUUCCCCAAGCGAGGUCAUUGACAGACUGCAUCAGUAAGAAAAAUUGUGCAUUUGCAAAAGGUUAUCAAGCAUAAAUCACAAAAUGUUGUUCUUCAGUUCAAUAAGUCUAUAAGACUACAGUCAUCUUCGUCUAUCAUUGGAUUGCAUGAAAUUGUAUACAUUAACAAAAUCACUCAAAAAUGUUUUCCAAAGAAGUAGUCGGAAACUAAAAAGAUCAGAAUGAUCAUAUAAAUAUAUACACCAUUAGCGUCGUUGGUCAAUUAUCAAUAUCAUACAACAAGACUUCCUCCAAUCCAAAGCAUCAAUAACAAAGACUUCAUCAAAUAAGAACUUUUCUUCCCUAAAAAUAGAAAAGAAAAAAAAAUUGCGAGCUUUCCAAAUGUUACUAAUAACUAAUUUUUUGUGUUUGGUAAUGUUCUAAAUUACACCUCUUCGUGUAAACACAGAGGAGGGUGGAGGUGCAAUCUGUCAAUACGGGGGGUAGGCUAAUAUCGAGGUUGAUCAAUAUCCCUGAGUGAGUUCCAGCUAGAAUGCUAAUGAUAAACUUGAAUUUGUGAAAUAAAGCUGUGGUGGAGGACGUAGAAUAGAUAAAAGAUAAACCACCAAUGGUAGAGACGGUAAUGUGGAAACCAAAUGAGCAUGUUAACAUAUUAUACUAACAGGGCUCAAGGAAAGGAAUGUUACCUCCUGUAUGAAGUCAAUAUAGUGAAGAGCACCGUGCUUGAACUGGGUCCCACCACCAGGAAAUGUUAAGUACUCACCAGAAACCUUAACCCAAUUUUGAUGUCCCUUAACUUCAGCAAGUUUUGUGUGGGGAACAUUAUAGUACCAUAUCUGCAGAAACACACUCAAUUAGAACAUCAAAGGAUGGAAGGGAAAAAAAUAAAAAGCUGAACCUAUAAGACGCAUUUUCUGAAUUAAAAUUGUUAGAUCUCUUUAACCUUUUCCCUGCUAGUUGGCCAUGCAAUUGGGCGUCUGUAGCCCUCUGGAAGUGAAACAAGGCAGGUGGGAGGUUCUUCAGGACAAUGCCUCUCUCGAUGUUCAUAAUGUUUUGUACUUGGAAGACUCCUAAUUGCUUGCAAAUUGUCGAGGCAAGGAAUGUAAUCUGAUCCAGCAGUAACGUUGCAAAGUUUCCACACGUACCCAGAUUGUUUCGUGGAAGAUCUUUGAGUCUCUUUUUCAUUCUUUGACUCUGCUGCUUGAGUUGACCAUGCCCCAUUUUGUGUUGAUGUUUCAUUCAAAAGCUCCGACUGAGCACCAGAAGGAAACUCUUCACUAGUUUUGGAUUGGUUAUUUUCAUUUGUGUCAUCAGUACUUUUUUCUUCUUGCUUCACAUUCUCUCCUUCCUGACCGUUAUUGUUUUCUCCAUCUUUAGUAUCAUUUGAGUCAUCUGUUUUUUUCUCCUCGUCCUUUUUCUCGUCUGUAUCAUUUGAAUUUGAUUGUUUCUCAUUAGAAUUCUCCUCAGUAUCUCCUUGUCCACCAGAUCCAUUGUCACCACCCUCGGGCUUAGAUUCAGAACCUUGUUCUCCAUUUUCCUCCUUAGAAUCACCAUCUUCUGUUUUUCUACCAUCAUCUGGUUUAGUUUCCUCAUUCCCUCCGUUCUUGUCCUCAUUCUGUUCUUCGGACUUCUCUUCAAGCUUCUCUUCAGGCUUCUCUUCCGGUUUCUCUUCCGGUUUUUCUUCUGGCUUCUCCUCUGGCUUAUCCUCGGGCUUCUCCUCAGGCUUCUCUUCCUGAUUUUCCUGCUGACUAGAACCUUCAUUGUCGUCCCCUUUCCUUGCAUCGUCAGGCAAAUCUCCUGGAUUAUCUUCAAAAGGCUGAGUUUUUCCCUCAUUGGUCUCAAUCACCUGACUUUUUGCCAGAUUUUUGUUCUCCUGUGGCACAUCAAUGUUUUGAACCGGAACUACAGAUGAUGACGUUAACAUCCAUAUUCCAACCAAACACAAAGCAACGAAUACAACAAUGGUCACUGUUGAGCAAUAACUCGACGACGACCUUCUGUUAUCUACUCUCGAAUACUUUCCCAAUGCCAUUUCUAAUUGUAACGUUAUAUCCUAACGAGUUUGCACCUGAAAAUGGAAAGGGAAUAAACAGAUUAGUCGAUUAGAAAAAGAAGAAAAAAACGUAUCAAUUAGUUGAAUACACAAAGAUCACCGACAGCCUGCAUUCAUACUAGCAAAAGAUAUCAUGAAAAGUGAAACUUGGUCCCAAAAGCCGUUCAAACAUCAACGUCAAAUAAACAAUUAAAAGUCCGAAAUACAGAAAUUCAACUUAAGAGAAAUGUAUCACAAAUCUGACUAAAACACUAAGAAAAGUAUUCAAGGAAGAAAAAUCAGCCAAAAUUCACGGCACAAUUUCCGCAAUCAAACACUCACUGAAGUGGUGACAACUGACAUAGACAAUGAAGAUCAAGUAAAUCAACUUCGAUACACAUUAAAUCAUAUAAAGCAAUGAUUUAGUACAUCCAUACAAAAUAAGGUCGAUCCAGAACAGAGCACAAAAACAAAUAUCACUCGCAUAAACAAAACCCAAAAACCACGUAAAGUUAUAAUGAAAACACAACAUCAUUCACUCACGUACAAUGAAACACAACAAGAACAUAAACAAACUCCAUCAGAUCUACAUUCAAUCAGCAGAAAAACGACUAAAUCAGACACCAAUGCGAACCGAAACAGCAACAAAGAACCAUAAUUAACCAAUAACCAAAUUAGAUCUACACUAAAAACGCGUAAAAAAUGAAAAAGGCAACAAAAAAACAGGAGCAAAAAAAAAAAGCUAAAAUAUGCUGAAUGUAAGAAGGAAAGAAAAAAGAGGAUAAUGAACAAGAUCUAAGCGAUCUAAACAGGCAAGAGUAAACAACAGCGCGAUAGCUUACCUAGAAAAGAACAGAUCUAGAAAAGAAAGACAGAAAAAGGGGAUUGAAACUAUUCCUCCAUUUUUCUCCGGCAGCGCAGAGAGGAUGAAAUGUAAUGGUGGAAGAGCGAAUGAAGGGGGAGAGGAGAUUUAAUAGAGAAGAAGAGAGAGCAAGAAGAAUUGUAGCUGGUGGAAUUUAAUUAAUUCAAAAAUUAGUUUAAUUUAAUUACAUGAUUAAUUUUCUAAUCAUAUUCCAGUGUCCAAAAAACCGACCUUUAGAAAUGGCUAACAAAAUACGCGGUGAGGAGAAAGAGAGAGACACGCGCGCGCGUUCUACGGAAUAACGGUGGAAACUUUGAGAGGGAGAACCCCUGCGCGUGUUCUUCACACGCAGUAGAUUGGAUGUGGGUGAAUGACAUGUGGCAAUCCCUAAUUAAUCCCAGCUUUCUUUAUUUAAUAUUUUUUCUUGCUUUUUUUUUUUUAUUUUUUAUUUUAGUUCUCUAUAUAUUUAUUUCAAAAGUCAAAAAAUAAAUAUAAAAAUUCUUAUGCAUUAUAAUUAUUUUUCUCUUUCACUCAACCAUCGCCAUAUUGAUGUUUUAGCUAAUUGAUUUAUGAAAGAUGGAAUUGAUGAAUUUGAUUAUUCAUUCAUUUUUAGAUUUCGUAUUUAACCAUUUUACAAUAAAUAAUAAUUAUUUGUUAUGUUUGAAAUUUUAUUAUAUUAGAAUAAAAAAUUAAUGGUUGUAGAACUUAUCCAACAUUUUCCAAAUUUAAAAAUAAAUUGUUUGAUGAACAAAUGUAAAUUUCAAAUCAAUGAUGUAAUGAAAACGUAGUUAUAUUUAAUGGGUUUCAGUUGUAUUUGGUAAUUGUUUGAGAAAUUGUAUUUUGACUUAAACAAUUUUGUAUUGGAUAUUAUAUUUAUAAAUGAUCAUUUAUUUAAAUUACUCACUCGUGAUUUGAUUUUUUUAAUUAUUGUUUUGUAAUAUCAUAUAAGAAUUACAUAAUAAAUAUUAUUUUUUUAAAAAUAAAGGUGGGAUUUUUGUAAAAAUAAAAUAUUAUAUUUCUAGUUACUUUUUAAAUUUUUAAUAUAAUUCAUCAGUUUGAAAAUUUAUAAUUGAAAUGUUGGGUGUAAUUGAGAUUGUUUGUUAAAUACAUAUUUAUUGUACACGAUAAAUAUAAAUUUAUAAUUUUUAUUGGUCGAUAUAAUUUUUAAAAUUUUUCUGAUCUAAACUUCAAAAUCUAUCAUUUUGUUUGUUUGAGUAAUAAUUUCUUUCUAUAAUAUGUAAGCCGAUAAUCUUUACGUCAAUUAUUACUUCGAAUUAUAUAUUCUUUUUCACAUUAGAAUAUUAUCAUGUCAAUGUGUGUUAAAGUUUGGUUUUUUCCAGUAAAUUGUAAAGAUAGUUCAAACGAUUGUUUUUAGGUUUUUCUUUUUUAUAGCACAACAACUACAAGGUAAGAGAUCAAAUCUUCAACAUCUAAAAAAUGUCGUGUUAAUCACUGUUAAGCUAAAUUUAUAUAUAUUCGAUGAGAUCUUCAAAAAAUUAUUUUGGUGAAAUGAACUUUGUAUGUAUAUUGAUUUCAGUAUAAUGAAGGCAAACUCUAAUAUUUGAUCAUUUGAUGUUUUCUCUUGGAAAGUAAAACUAUCUUGAAAUAUAUUUUUUUUUUUAAUCUUGUUCUCAAGUUUGAUUUGUCUUGAGGGCUUUGCCACUUGUUAUUAUAGGCUUUUAGUUCAGAGUUAUAGCUCUUAAAUUUGAAAAUGGUUUAAGUUUUUAAGUGCCUUUAGCAUUUAAAGACGUGUUUGAUUCUCAACAAUCUAGUCAGUGAUUUACUUUUUUGAAUUCUCUCAAUAUCUUCCUUGGAGUUUUUAACUUCUUAAAUCUUUAAAAGAGCAAAAUAAAAUUAUAUUUGAUGUGUCGGUAUUAAGAGAUUUAGUCUAUUUCAUAAUCUUCAAAUGCUUCAGGGAACCUAUAUUCAAAUAUUUAAAACUUCAAUCUUUGGAUUUUUAGAGCUUUCGAGCUUUGUCGACUUUCAAACCUAUAUAAGAUAUCUCAAGUAUCUUGAUCUUCAAAACUUGAUAAAAAAAAAUUGCACUUUCAAUCAUCCGUCUUUAAAUCCUCAAAACUUUUAAGUGUUAACCUUUUCUUCCAACCCCUAAAAUGAGGAGUAAGACCUCAAUAUAUAUACGAAGAUGCCAAGGGCUUAGCUACAGUUCCUUUUAAGCCAAAAAUUAGGCUAAGUUUGUUCUUUGGCCCAAAAUUCUAGGCAUCGACGUGAAUUAGAUACACUGAAUUUUAAACCAGGACAACUUUAAUUUCUCGAUCCAAUUCAAAUUAUAUUUGAGACUCAAGGAGUAUUAGCCAAGUAUACCAAUCGUGGUCUAGGCUAGAUCACUAGUAAAUUGAACAAGUUAUUUUUGUGAUGAAUGACUACAAAGAAGACACAUGACCUUUUUUUAAUUCACCAUUCAUUAGCAUCCAAAUUUAAAAUUUGAGAAAAUAAUGAUGAAUUGGGUCUAAAAUUGAAUAAAAUGAACUUCUUCCAAAAACAAUAGAUUAUAAUAUUUGGUAAAUAUAUGAAUUGAGGUGUAUAAGAAGAGAAGGUGGCACUUAGAUCUCGAUCUCCAUCUUCUCGAAGACGUGACAGCGACUAUGGACCCACGCGGUUCAAACGCCUCAUCAAUUGCUCCCUUUUUGUUUCUUUCUUUCUUUUUUUUAAAAUAUUAUUAUCAUUAUUAUUAUUAUUAUUCCUUCAUACUUCAUAGUCAUGUUUUAUCUUUUAUCUUUUUUCCUUUUAAUUUCUUAAUUAGUAUUUUAUUUUGAUAAUCGCCCUAAAUAGCAAAAUACAUCAAAUAUUUAUACUUUUUAGAAAAACGAUUAAAAAUAACACAAUAUUUUGAUUCACAAUUAUUUCUAAAAAAUUAAAGAUAAUUAAACAAUAUUUUGAUUCACAAUUAUUUUAAUUUAAAGAUAAUUAAACAAUAUUUUUGUUCACAAUUAUUUCUAAAAAGAUCAAAGAUAAUUAAAUUUUUAUUUUAGUAAUUCUUUUAAAAUGUGUAAACAAUCUUUUUUUAUUAUUCUUGAAAAAUUUAGAGACGUGUUCAAAUAUAACAAAAAAAUUGAAACUAUUUACAAAAGAAAUAUAGUAAAAGUUAUUGAAUUCUAUUUAGCACGUACUUUUAGAUUAUGAAAAAUUGUCAAAAAUAACAAAUUUGACAAAAUAUUUAUAUCAUAUAGCAGAAUUUUAGAUUCUAUCGAUAAUAAUAUAGAAUCCAAAACUUUUGUUAUAGCUUGUAAAUAUUUUAAUUUAUUUUACUAUUUUUAUAUAUUUUGUGAAUAGUUUCUUCAUCAGAAUUUCUAUAUAUAAAACCAAAUAUUGAAAAUUUUUAAUUAUUACAAAAUAACUAAAUGAAAAAAAUAUUUACGGUUAAGACCAAAAUAUAUAUAUAUUUUUAAUUCACUAGUAGUUAUCUUUAUCAAAUAUUAAAAUUUAGUGGUGUAUAUAUAUGUUUAAUUUAAAUAACAUCAUGCAGUUAUAUAAAUAUUAAUAUAUGUAGAGUCAAUUAAUUGUCCUAACAAAAAAAACCUUAUUCCACUUUACUACUUUUAAAACUUCCUAUUUAUUUUCCUUCAAAAAAAAAAAAAAAAAUAGAACUCUACUAUUUAAAGAAUAACAUGGACCCUAUUUAAGUGUAAUUGAGAGUGUUUUCAAGAUGUAGCCCAUGUGCCAUCUCUUUCCUUCCCUCAAUUAAAUAACUAAAAAUAAAGAUGCCCUUUAACUCACCUUUUUCUAUAUUAAAAUAAGUAUUUGAAUAUAUUAUAAUAAUAAAUAUUAAAAAACUACAAAUUUCAUCCUAAUUUUAUUUUUGUUCAAUCUAUAUUGUUUGAUAAAAUAUCAUUAAGUCCAAAAUUUUCAUAAAUUGUUUUCAUAGACGUUGAAGAAUGAAAUCGAAAAAACUAACCCUUAAAAUAGAUAUUUAACGUUUAGACAUAAAUAGAUAUAUAUAUCAACUUGUUGUACAGUCUAUCACAUAUACAAAUUAAAUUUUUGUUAUAUUAAUAAAUAAGUUAGUUGAUUUUGUUAUUUUUGAAAUUGAGGUAAGAGUUUAGGUUAGUUGAGUUGAAGAUGUUAUUAAUUAUUUAAAUUUUUUCUCUUAUCAAAAAAAUGAAAAUUGUCUGAGUUACACUAAUUAUUAGCUAGUAAUAAUUUAUUUUUAAAUUUGAAUCUCUGCAUUUUUUCUUGAAUGAUUAAAUUAAAAGAUUUGUGAGAUACUAGGAAAAAUACAAAAUUCAAAUUGAUUCCUCCAUACAUUAAGGUUGAACAUAAUAAUCAUAUGAAAAACUAUAUAUAUAUAUAUAUAUAUAUAUUAUUAACCACAAUAUGCAAAAUUUGACACUUGUAUAGUUGGGCUAUUGUUCAUUCAAUAAUUAGUCCUUUUGUUUUAUUUUUCUAUUUUAUAAAGAAAAAUUGUUGUGUUUUUAUUUAUAUAUAUCUUUUAAUCAUUACAAAGGCCCAUACUUCGGCCGUCCGACGGCAGGAAUUAUAGAAGUUUGACGCCGGUAAUAUAAUAUAUGAUUUUAUGUUGUCAAUUUAGGUUUUAUUCCAAAAUAGAUUUUAACCAUUAGAUAUUUUUUUCUUGGGUCAUAUUUGAUAAUUUCUUAUAAAUAUUUUUUCUCAAUGAUUAUAAAACAUUUUUGGAAUGUUUUCUCAAUAAUUAAAAGUAAGAUAAUUCUACUCUCUUGACAAUUUAAUUCACUCCUCGUGUCUUUGCUUUUUUUGAAAAAUAAUAUCUAGAAUGGAAAUAGUACUUUUAAUUUCGAAGUUGAUCAUAUAUAUAUAAAAUGUAAGAUUUCAAAUCUCAUAGGUUACGAACUCUAUCAAAUUUUGAAAAGCCUAAACUAAACAACUGAAAAUAUAACCUAAGUUAAACUAGUCUAACUCAAAGCACUCAAAAAUUGUAAAAAAUGGUUUUAUAGAAGGUUUGAACAAUAGAAAAGAACUCCGAUCGAUCGACUUACAUAUAAUAUGAAAUCAUCACAAUAAUAUUUAAAAGUCUACGCAUAUUUUAAUAGGACGAGAUUACCGGAAGAAAUGAAAAAUGAAAAUUAGUGCAAGAUAUAGAAAAAAGAUAGAGAGAAUAAUGAGUGAGCUAAAGUCGUUGGAACAAAGGAAAAGGAGAAAUUAAUGAGAAUAAUGGACCAAGUCUUACAUGCAAGCAUGUAGGAGACAGAAUAUAAACAUACACACACAUAUGUGAAGCAAAUAAUUGAUUGCAAAUACAUGAGACAUAUGACAAUUAGGAAAUAUAAUCAAAGAUAUUAGAAAGAUCCCAAAUUUAUUGAGUUCCGAGAUGGUUUCAAUAUUUGGAAUUAGUAUUUGAUCGAAUUUUGAUAAUCAAAUUCAAACGAUAAUCGAAGAUGAAAAAAUAAGAUGAAGGUCUUUGAGAAUUGCUUGAAUUUCGACCAAAGAAAAAACGAGAGGUAAAUUAUCGUAGUCGAUUGAUGAUGCUGCUACUACAAGGCGGCCUUGACCGUUAUUUUUUAUUUCAUAUGUUGAUUUUUUUGUCAAAAAGAUUUAAUAAGAAUUUUGUUUAUUAUUAUUUUGAAGAUAAAUUAUUAAUUAUAUUAGUAGAUAAAAGAUUGUUAUUUUUAUUAUGAAUCUUUAUCUAUUUCUUUUUAAACAAGAAAAUUUGCGGGGUCUUUAAUUGUGAAGCUUCUCGCAAGUUUAGUGUGCCGAAUUAUUGGACUUUUAUUCGAAGAAAUUCGUGUUGCUGAAGAAGCUUGUUGAAGGUACUUUAGUUACCUUAUGUGUUAUGGUAAAUUGCUGAUUAGAAUCUAGAGGUGUUCUCACCAUGUAUCAAUUGAUAAUAAAUAUGAAAGAAGACUGAAAUAGUUCAACUGCGGUCAAUGAAUUCAGGGGAACUUGAAUUUAUCUUCAAGUAGAUUUAAACACAGAUUCAAGAAAAUCUAUCUUUGAUUAAUUGGUUUCUAUUAUAAUUUAAGAAUGUUGUUGAUUGAUCAAUUGAAUCUUAAUAAUAUUUCUUAUUUGAGCUAAUAAGUUUGCUCUAGACAUAGGUGCAUGCAAACUGGUUUAACAACAGUUUUUGUGUUAUUCGUUCUUUAUGUACUUACGAUAGCUAUUUUUGUUGUUAAUUAUUUUUUCGACAUAGCUAGAAGAUAUUAUUCAUCAUUUCACUUAAUUUUAACACAUUAGAUAUAAUUUAUUAUUUUACAUACAUAUGUGGAUGGAGAUGGAGUUUUUUUUCUUUUUAAAUGUUAUUUAUGAUAUGAGGGAGAACCUUGAUCUUGGAGUCCUCAACCCAAAUUAGGGUGGAAAUGGUUCAAUUCGAUAACCAAACCGAACUUAAUUGAAAAGUUUAAAAUUUCUAUAUAGGAAACAUAACCAAACUGUAUUUAUGCAGUUUGCUUCAGUUUCAAAUUUGAUUUUAGUAUUCUUAAAAAAAAUAAUUCAAUUUGGUUCGAUUUUGUUAUAAUCUAAAAAAAAAUCAAUUUGGUUCGAUUUUGUUAUAAUCUAAAUCAGAAACGAUUCAGUUUUACUCAAAUUUUUAAAUAUAUAAAUAUAAAAAUAGAUGUAUAUAAUAGUUAAAAUAUCUGUCUCGUUUAUAGAGAUUAAAAUGAUUAGUGUAUCAAAUCUCAUAUUCAUAAUUGAAUUCCUAACCUUCAUCGAGUUCUUAAGGAAAAAAAAAAAAUAUUUUGAAGAAUUUAUAAUUGAUAUUUGAUUUUUUUAAAAAAAUAGUAGAUGUUACAAAAUAUUUAUAACUUAUAGCAAAUUCUAUCAAUGAUAGUCAUUAAUAUACUACAGCGAUAUAAGACUCUAUCAGUGAUAAAAUUCAAAAUUUUUGCUGUAGCUUGUAAAUAUUUUAAUUUAUUUUACUAUUUUAAAAAUUUCUCUUGAAAAAUUUACAAAUAUAGCAAAAUUUGUCAAAUUUUAUCAUUGAAAGAAGUCUAUCAUUGAUAGAUCAUGUUGCAAAUAUUAGUCUAUUACUAAUAGAUCAUACAAGCCUGUAAACAAUACAAGUCUAUCAGCAAUAUUUGUAAUUUUUUUGAAAAAAUGUUGAUACAUCUUUAAUUAUUAUUUAUAAACUAUAAUUUUCUUUUUAAAAAUCUCCAUAAUAAUUUAUACAAUUUCGUAAGUUAAAAUUUUAUUAUGUUUCUUUUUCUAUAAACAAAUUUUAACAAAUUUUAUAGUUAAUAAUAAUUUUGAGUUUAUCUUUUUCCCAAAUGUAUGUGUGAAUAAAUAAAGUUAAAUAUAACAGUUGACAACUAUUUAGACCUCAAAAUAACGUAGAGAGCUAAACUAAUUCGUCUUCCUUAACGCGGAAGACGAAUUAUUAUUUUAUAGUCAAACUGUAAAUACCCAAUGAAAGAAUUUCAAGAAAAAUUUCAUGUUCUUCCUUUGAUUCUGCGAUUGGGGAAAUUGGAAAAACUUUGAAGUUUACAUUUUUAGAUUUCUAGGUCACGAGUUGUUGAAGAAUCACAUAAGAGGAAGCUUGUGAGUUGAGCUUUCCGUUUAUUUAUUUUGGUCAAACUUUUUUCUUUCCUACUGAACCCAUGGCUGAUUGUUAAAUUUCGUUGUUCAAGUUUCCAGAAUUUAUAAAGGUAUGCAUUUUUUAUCUAUUCAUUAUUUUAAUCUGGACAUUGAUUUAAUACAAUGUUGGAUGCUUUUAAGUCAUUUGAAUUUCAAAUUCAACCUCACUGAUUUUGGUUUAGAGUUUAAAUGGAAGUAAUGUUAUUGGUUUUGAUGAAGGGUUUAUUAUUGAAUUUGUUUGUAUUAUCUAUUGGUUAUUUCAUUUUGUUAUUGUUCUGUUUGAGUGCUGUACUACUAGAAUAUGAAUGGACAAUCUUCAAUGAAGUAUUUGGGGAUUAUAAUGUGUAAUUUGUAGAAGAUUUGAAUGAACUAUCUUGAAUGAACGGUUUAGUUAAGUUACCAGCCUUCUAAUUGUCUGUAUUGACAGAGGAUUUCAGUUCCUUGAUUGUUUAUUUUAAUGUCCUACCAGGUGUCUAAUCUAUUCAACCGGGCCAAUCGAUAGAAGUUUUAUAAUUAGCCACAGACUUUACUUACUCCUUCUAGUUUGCCAUACGAUCUUAAAAUGGUGCCUCUUUCUGAUCUUUUCCCAUCCUUUGAUCACUGUGCUCGUCUCUUUUCAAAAUGCAUUCAACACAAACAUUUAAGGGUUGGCAUGUCCUUGCAUUCCCACCUUAUCAAAACUGCACUUUCAUUUGACCUCUUCCUUGCAAAUCGUCUUAUUGACAUGUAUUCCAAAUGUAAUUCUAUGGAAAAUGCACAGAAGGCAUUUGAUGAUUUGCCCAUUAGAAAUAUUCAUUCGUGGAAUACCAUUCUUGCGUCCUACUCUCGUGCUGGAUUUUUUAGUCAAGCUCGUAAAGUCUUUGAUGAAAUGCCUCAUCCAAAUAUUGUUAGCUACAAUACCUUGAUUUCUAGCUUUACUCACCAUGGGCUGUAUGUAGAAUCAAUGAAUAUCUUUCGACAAAUGCAACAAGAUUUCGAUCUUUUAGCCUUGGACGAGAUUACUCUUGUGAGUAUAGCAGGUACUUGUGCCUGUUUGGGUGCUUUGGAGUUCUUGCGUCAGGUUCAUGGAGCAGCUAUUGUCAUUGGAUUAGAGUUUAAUAUGAUUGUUUGUAAUGCUAUAGUUGAUGCUUAUGGUAAAUGUGGCGAUCCAGAUGCGUCAUAUUCUAUUUUCAGUAGAAUGAAGGAGAGAGAUGUUGUUACCUGGACCUCCAUGGUUGUAGCUUAUAAUCAGACAUCCAGGUUAGAUGAUGCUUUUCGAGUUUUCAGUUGUAUGCCAGUAAAAAAUGUUCAUACUUGGACUGCAUUGAUUAAUGCUUUAGUGAAGAACAAGUAUAGCAAUGAGGCCCUGGAUUUGUUUCAACAAAUGCUGGAGGAAAAAACUUCUCCAAAUGCUUUCACAUUUGUAGGCGUUUUAAGUGCCUGUGCUGAUCUUGCUUUGAUAGCAAAAGGCAAAGAGAUUCAUGGACUCAUAAUCAGAAGGAGCAGUGAACUUAAUUUUCCAAACGUAUAUGUAUGUAAUGCUUUAAUUGAUCUGUACAGCAAGAGUGGUGACGUGAAAUCAGCUAGGAUGUUGUUUAACUUGAUUCUUGAAAAGGAUGUAGUAUCGUGGAAUUCAUUAAUAACUGGGUUUGCACAAAACGGGCUUGGAAGGGAAGCACUUCUUGCCUUCCGAAAGAUGACAGAAGUAGGGAUAAGGCCUAAUAAAGUGACGUUUUUGCUGUGCUGUCUGCCUGUUCCCAUACUGGUUUGUCAUCUGAAGGAUUAUGUAUUCUGGAGUUAAUGGAGAAGUUUUAUGAUAUUGAGCCUAGUUUAGAACAUUAUGCAGUCAUGAUCGAUAUGUUUGGAAGAGAAAACAGACUUGCUGAAGCAUUGGAUUUAAUAUCCAGAGCACCCAAUGGAUCAAAACACGUUGGGAUAUGGGGUGCAGUUCUGGGGGCUUGUCGUAUACAUGAAAAUUUAGACCUGGCUAUAAGAGCUGCAGAAACUUUGUUUGAGAUGGAGCCAGAUAAUGCUGGAAGAUAUGUAAUGUUAUCUAAUGUAUUUGCUGCAGCAAGUCGAUGGAUGGAUGCCCAUAAUGUGAGAAAACUUAUGGAGGAAAGAGGUUUCAAGAAGGAAGUAGCAUAUAGCUGCAUAGAAAUAAGAAAUAUAAGGCAUAAGUUUGUGGCAAGAGAUAAUUCCCAUAGUCAGAUGGGUGAGAUAUAUGAGUUAAUGUUUAUACUACUAGAGCAUAUGAACAUUAUUGGUUACAUGGCUCUUGAUGAUGGUAUUUACUUUUAUGAUGGAUACAGUACUUGAACUUUGGGCAUGAUCUAUUUGAAUCCCGUGUCUCACCAUUGCAAAUAUAUUGUAAAAGUUAGCAAUUUCAUUGAAUGAAUUUGAGAAUAUGAAGCGGAACGAUUAAGCUACAAGGCUGAGAAGGACGGAUUGCUAUCAAGUAGGAGAUCUUGAUUUUAUUUUAUUUAUUUGUUUUAGUAUUAUUAUUGUUUUUGUUUGUGGUAAUAUACAUCUAGUUUUAGUCGGUAAUGCAUGAGAAUAUUUAUCAUUCAACAUUUCAGUGGCUAAAUGAAUCAAUUAUAGGUCAUCAUCAUCGUGCUUGUAGUAUUUUAUUUUCUUUCCCCACCAUAUUUGUGUGAUACCAUUACAAAUAAUCCUAGAAAAAAUUGUGAAAAUUUGAACUUGUACAGGGCUGGACACGACUGGGCACACCAAGGUUAAGAAAAAAAUAGAUUUUCUUAAUUCUUAUAGACUGAAUUUUUGUAAAUUGAUCAAUCUUAAAGUAUGAGGACGCUAUCUUCUUUCUUUAGUCAUAGCCAACUAAUUCCAUUUAUAUCUUGUAAGAUUUGAAAUGUCGUCAAUUGGCUAAGCUCUUUAUCUUUUUGGUGAAGUACUGUAACAAAAACUUACACGUUUUAUUGAUAAAGAAGUAUAAUAUCGAUAUCAAUAUAUAGACAUAUGUUUUAUCAUAAAAAAAGUGCACGCAUCCUACUUUUUUAGAAAUUGACCUGUCAUCAUGUUUGUUUUGUGUUGCUUUGGUGUUUUCAUUUUUUUUUAAUUUUCUUUAUGUAUUGGUGACUCUGAUUCUUACAUCCUAUUAUAUUAUCCAAUAGGAAGAUUGUCUUUGAUUAAGAGAUAUCUUUCAUGGAAUGUGGCUCACUAGUGAUUUUCGUCUUGCUGCUUUUCUUUCUGUCUUCAUGACUUUGAUCGUUUCUUCCUUUUCUGUAACUUGCUAGGAAGACUGCUGUACUGGAGGUAAAAGAGCUGAUGAAGUUCUGUUCUUAAUUUAGACGGAAAAGUUUGUAGGUGUGAGGGCUCUAAGAGUUAGUUUGCAGAGAUGAAAUUCAGAAAUAAUUUCCCUGUAAGAGGGCAUCAUCUUUUCUUGGUCGUAGUUGCUCUCACAUUCACUGUCUUGGUGUUGUGGGCUUGGGAGAAUCCUUUCCUUACCGCUUCUCAGUCAGUUCAAGCAUGGUAUAGAAAUUCUUAUGCAGGUAUGCUUGUCAAUGCUUGUUUAUAACUCUAGAACUGGUCUACUAUUAAAUUAGACUAGUUUUUGGUAUUCUUCGUUGUUCUCUUCUUGUUGGAACUAUUAGAUUUUUGAGUUCAGUAGUACAUUUCUUUUUUAUGACAAAGACAAUCUGAUUGGAGAAAAGUGAAGUUUGGGAGGUUAAAGGAAGUAAGCUAAAUAUGGCCUUUAUACACAGUUUUUGGUUUCUCCUUUAAAAUUUUGAAAUUUGCUCUCAAAGGUAUUGACUUUUUAGUCAAGUUACUAUUUUCAAUAACGUGGUUGUAGUUGAGUAGAGAAACUAUGACGUAACAUUGACAACCUUAUAUUCUAUGAAUGGAAAAUAUUUGAAUGUUAAGUUUUUAUCUCAUUUCAUCCAAAUUAGAAAAUCCCGUUGGCCUUACCUAAAUAGAAGCUUACUUGAUGGACAACUUCAGUGUACAUGCUCCUUCAGUUUCAUGCAACUCUCCCCAUUCACUGUUGGUGCAGCCUUUUCUCUUGACUCAUGCUACCAAUCCCCUUUCUCGCAAACCUAUAUUAUUCAGCCUUAAUGCUCUUAGAAACCUACCCCAUGAGCAUACGGUUCUCCUUUCAUUUCUUUUAGUAAUUGGGUCCGUGGGUUUUCUUCUCCAAAAUAGUUGGUUGGACUUUUUUUUGGAUGUCAUAGUUGGUUGGGUUUUUAAUAUAAGAGAGUUGGUAAAUUUUUAAUAUAAAAAACUGCCAAUAUUUUUACAAUGCUGCAUCACUGUUGCUAUAUCAAUUUCAACCACAUUUAUUGAAUACGGAUGUUUUUGAAAAAUUUGGAACUUUGAGGACAAAAUUGAAACUGUCAAAUUGGCAAAAGAAGAAAUGGUUCAUAAAUGUAAUGAAUUUAGUUAAAUGCUGAAACAUAUUCAAAUGCAAAUUUAAUGUAUUUUGCCUUCUCUUGGUAUAUUUGUACCUCGCUGAUGGUUUUUAUUUGCUUAGGGUUCGUCGUAGGUUCAACAAAAAGUUCUGUAUUACCUAACACAGUAAGGGAGAACGUUGAAAAAACAUAUUCAAAUUCAAGUAUAAAGAAGAGAUAAUACAAGAUGAUGCAAAUUCAGAAAUUACACCCACAGAUUCUGCAUUCCAAAUAGUUCUUGAGAGGAGCAAGAGUAAUCAGAAUAGUAAGUACUGAGCCUAAACUAGUGGUGCUGUUUUCUAAUCACUAGUUUGCAUGUUAUUUUCUCUUUCAGAAUUGUUCCCUACGGUUGGGUAACCGUUAGGAGUUUCAUGGUGGCGUAAUCCUUGCUUGUGAUUGAAGCUUAUUUCUUAUUGAUUUUUGUUCAUGUCUCAAAAGAGAAGUUUUACGAUUUCUCUCAUUGUAGAAGGGAAAAUUCUAAAUCAGCUAUUUAACUCUUCGUUUUAUUGGCACAUGAUUUGUUUGUUAGUUAACUAACGGUCUAAGUAGUUUUUGGAACUAUUUUAGAAACCUUUAUCAAACCUCAAGGACUAAAAUGUUCAUUUUGAAACUUCAUGGACCAAAGAGACAUCCACUUUAAAUCUCAAAGACCAAAAGUGUAUUUUGCCAUUUUAUUUUAUUUUUAGAUUUCAUAGUUGGUUGGAUUUUUUAUAUAAGAGGGUUUGGUAAUUAUUUAAUAUAAAAAAAUGUCAAUUCAAAGAAAAACAUCACCAUUGAAAUAUCAAUUUUCAACCACAUUUAUUGAAUAUGGAUGUUCUUGAAAAUUUUGACACUUUGAGGACAAAAUUAAAACUGUUAAAAUCAGCAAUAUAAAAGAUGGUUCAUAAAUGUAAUGAAUUUAGAAAAAUGCUGAAACAUAAAUGCAAAUUUAGUGUAUUUUGCCUGUUUUUGCUAUUUGUGUACCUUGCUGAUGUUCUUUAUUUGUUUGGGGUUCAUGGUAGGUUCCACAAACAGUUCUGUAUUGCCUAACACAAUAAAGGAGAAUUCUGGAAAAACAUAUUCAAAUUCAAGUACAAAGGAAAAGACAGUAAAAGAUGAUGCAAACUCAGAAGUUAAACUUACAGAUUCUGCAUCUACAAUAAUUUUUAACAGGAGCAAGAGUAAUCAGAAUAGUAAGUACUCAGGCCAAAAUCGUGGUGCUGUUUUCUAAUUACAUACUUAGCAUAUUUAUUUUCUCUUCGCAAAAUUGUUCCCUUCAAUUAUGAAACCGUUGGGAGUUUCAUGGGGGCGUGAUCCCUGCUUACUGUUUAUGAUUGGAGCUUCUUUCUUAUUGACUUUUAUUGAUGUCCCAAAAGAGAAAUUAUUUUACAAUCUCAUUGUAGAAGGGAGAAUUCUAAAAUGAAGGAUACCUAGAGAUGUUUUGAAUAUUUUGAUAUCUUGAAACUCAUGAUAAUUCAAAAUGUGCUUUAUCAGUCGUUUACUUUGUUCGAUGCUAUGUUCUUGAUUAAAGAUCUAGUCGUGGUAAAAAAAUUUGACCGGUAUCCUUUUCCUAGUGUUGUUACUCUUUACAUCAGAGCCCUCUUAUAGCAAUAAAGAGAAAGGAAACCAUAUGGAUUGUUGUUGGUGAAAUUUUCAAUUAUUUAGACCAUAUGGAUUAUGGCUUUAUAGAACAAAUUUUCCUCAUCUAAGGUCUAUGUUUUCCUCACGAAACAAAGCUUCGAUUGUUAAAUAUUGAAUUAUAUUGAUAUCAGGCAUUUAUCAUGAAGGCCAUGACAUGCAUAUUAAUCCAAUAUUUAAUUUUAUCUAUGAAAUUAGCUUAUUCAGUGCACAUUAAAUCGGUUUGUUUGUUAUAUUGACUGAUUUAACUUUUCAGCCUGUAGCUAUGGAAAUGGAGGAUGGGUCCUUGACAAUAGUCGACCGCUAUACUCUGGCUUUGGAUGUAAGAGAUGGUUAUCAGCAAUGUGGUCAUGUAGACUGACCCAACGGACAGAUUUUUCCUAUGAAAAAUAUCGUUGGGUUCCCAAAGAUUGUGAAUUGCCAGCAUUUGAGCGGUCUGCAUUCCUGAAAAGGUAAUGACUUCCUUCUAUAUUUUUGCAUAUAGGUUUAGCAAGUCUGAUAAUAUAAAACUGUCUUGUUUUAUUUAGUGUAUUGGUUUUAAAAUUUUCAACCAAACAAUUUCCACCAUACGAUGAAUUCUGAAAGUAUAGGUAUCUAUCUUAUGGUCCUCAACUCUCUGCCAAGUGAACUAUUUAAUGGAUUGUGAUUUACUAAGGUUACUUUCUGCUAUUCUCGACACUCUCUGAAUGAUCUGAAUUUGUUCCAUUCAGAAUGCAGGACAAAACCAUCGCAUUCAUUGGGGAUUCAUUAGGAAGGCAGCAAUUUCAGUUUUGAUGUGUAUGGUCACUGGUGGGGAAGAAAGGCCUGAGGUUCAAGAUGUAGGAAAGGAAUAUGGUCUUGUCAAAGCCAAGGGUGCAAUUCGUCCUGAUGGCUGGGCAUAUCGUUUCUCAAAUACCAAUACUACCAUUUUAUACUAUUGGUCAUCUAGCCUCAGCGAUUUAUUGCCUUUGAACACAUCAGACCCAGCCACCGAUGUAGCAAUGCAUCUUGACCGUCCGCCAGCAUUUCUGAGAAAAUUCCUUCAUCUAUUUGAUGUGUUGGUUCUCAAUACAGGACAUCAUUGGAACAGGGGAAAAAUGAGACAAAAUAGAUGGGUAAUGUACACUGAUGGAGUUCGUAGUGAACUCGGGAACUUAAAAGAAAUAGGCAUAGCUAAAAAUUUUACGGUGCACAGUAUCGUGAAAUGGCUCAAUUCACAACUCCCUUCCCAUCCUCGACUCAAGGUUUUUUUCAGGACCUUAUCACCUCGGCAUUUCCGCAAUGGGGAAUGGAAUUCUGGAGGUAGCUGUGACAACACAAGACCAUUAUCUGGAGGAAGCAAAGUAGAGCAGAAUGGAUCAAGUGAUACAGUUGUUGAGAAUGCUGUAAGAGGUACACAAGUAAAGAUAUUGGAUAUAACUGCUCUUUCAUAUCUAAGAGACGAAGCUCACAAAUCCAAUUACAGUAUCAAAGGAACAUCGAGCGGUAGCGAUUGCUUGCAUUGGUGUCUCCCUGGUAUCCCGGAUACGUGGAACGAGAUUCUUAUUGCACAAAUAUAGAUUCUUUUGUCUUGAAGAUUUUAGAUUUUCUCUCUUGUGUAAUCCUGGAAGACUCAUCUUUCUAAUUUUUGCUGCCUAGAGCUGUACUAAUUGGUUCAGGGGAAGAUGAUCACUGAUGAGAUGGCGUUGGUUGCUACUGAAUUAAAUUAUAUGGUGGGUAUUGCCUACGUGUCAUUUUUCAUUUAAAAAGAGUCAAUUUAUACUUGUAAACUGUAUAAAUUACAUGUAUCAAUUUAAACUAUAAUAAGUAUAUUUCAUUUAACAAACUGGUGGAUCAGCAAAAUGGAUGAUUAGAAUUAAUGCAUUGACAUUUUUUAUAAUUGUACUUUUAUCUAAAGGUUCAAACUGAUUCGAAAAUACAGGCGAGUAAGGGUUUCAAAUGCUUUUUGAUAUGAGACGAGGGUGUAAAGAAAACAUAUUGACUUUUGACUUUAUAGAAUGAUGCUUGAUAAUGUUCAUGUUUCUGUUCUUCUUCAUUUAUCGAGAAAGCAUGCUUGUUUGAUCCUAAUCAUUCCCACCCAUUUGUUUACGAGGCCAUUAGGUAUCAAAUCCUCACAAUCAUUUUUCAAAGUUAUACUAUACAAGAGUUACAGAUUUAUCAACAAAUGAGCUCCUUGUAAGGCCUAUAUAAUUCACAACUACCAAGAAAUCACGGGUAGUACUGCCAUCCUUAAGUAAUAGUUCCUGCUGUUUGGUCGCGAUCAUCUACUGCGAAUUGUGCAAUUUCCUUUACGUAUGGGGCAGACGAACCAUAAUCACCCAGAGGAGUACGCAUAUAUCUAUGUAUCUUUCUAAAUUAUUACUUAAUAAAAGGGUAUACUUUAAUUUGUGUCCAUCUUUCCCAUCAAAAUGUUGUUUCAAAUUUAUAGAACUCUGCUCUCCAAUUUAUUCUAUUCCUUUAGCGAUUACAUUCAACUUAACGAAUAGUAAUCGCUAUUGUUAGGAAUCUAAUUCGUGUAUUCCCUUUUUAUUUAAGAUUAUGGUAAGUUGGAAUCUUAACUCAUUAAUAUCACAUGAUUCACAAUAUUUUAAUUAGGAGUUUUUUUUUCAAAAAUAGAAUAAAACACGACAAUAUUUAUACAACGUGAAAUAACAAAAAUACUUUCAUAAUUAAUCGGUCACACACCAUUUUGUGCCCGUCUAAACGAUCUUGUACCCUUAUACAUAGUCUAAACGAUAAUAUAGUACCAACUCUAAACAAUUUUUACCCAGCCUAAAUGAUCUUGUAAUAAAACUAAAGGAUCUGUUGGUGAUAGUGAUCUAUUUCUGUCUAUUUGAGAUAAACAACUGAUUGUUUACAUGUUAGUACACGAUCGUUUAGAUCCUGUACCAAUAUCGUUUAGAUCUUGGACCAAGAAGAAAAAAGAAGAUAAGAGAGGAAGAAAGAAGAAAUUUUGAAAGAGAAAAUGAAGAAAUAGAAAUAUGAAUAAGGAAAAGUAAUAACAUGAAGAAGAGAAAAAUAAACGUAAAAAAAAAGAACUGAAAAAUUGUCCCGCAAUAAUCAAAAUUCAAUAAAGACAAAUAUGAAAUUUAUAAAAGGGUAAUUGGAUUCAUAGUCUUUUUUUUUUUAAAUUGUUAUACAAAUAGUAAAUAUUUGAUUUAGCACUUUUGUUAUAUUUAUUAAAUUUACAUUUUAAUUAUCUCUAAUUCACUAAAUGUUAUCCUUUUUCUUUCUCGAUUGAAUGUAUCAAAUAAGAUUUAAGGAAAAUUAUUUUUAAAUUUUUUAAAAAUAAAUGUAACAAAAUAUAUCAUAAUGCAUUGACGUUUUUUAUAAACGUGAUUUUAUCUAAAAGUUCAAACGGUUUGGUGUUUGAUAAUGUUCAUGUUUCUAUUCUUCUUCGUUUGUUGAGAAAGCAUGCUUGUUUGAUCAUAAUCCAUUCUCAUUUGUUUCCAAGGCCAUUAGGUAUCAAAUCCUUCCAAUCAAUUUUCAAAUUUAUACUACACGUCAGUUACAGAUUUAUCAAUAAAUUAAUUAAUUUUUCAAAUAUAUUAGCAUAUUAAUGUAGUGAAAUGGAGGAAACUCCCCUGAGUCACGUCCUUCAUCAAGGAGUAAAUGAAAGUUCUUUAAAUAUCAUACUAAAGAAGCUUGAACUUCGAAAGUCAUAAUCUCAACACUCUAACCGAUGUCAGAUAAAAGGAAUAGCAACAAAUCACAUCAUUGAGAUAGAACUCAAUUACAUGCUUUUUGGUUUUGUGAAUGAUUGACUAUUACCGGGAUAAGUUGUUCGUCACUAUCUAUCUUCUUGCACAACAACGUCUUUCCCUCCAUCUUACAGAAUCAUUUGCAUACAAAAUAAUGUCCAUAUACGUGAGUAAAAAUCCCAACGACAAAUCUUCACUAAAAAAAAUCUUUUUGAAAAGGGAGCCAAAUAAGAUCUUUGUCAAAAUAGAAUAUUCUUCGUAAUUUUUCUUGACCGAACUCUUUUAGCCACGUCACCAAACGAAAUGAAAAGCUGAACAAAGCAACAAUCACGAGCCCACACAACAUCUAACAAAAGUUGGUUGAGCUCACAUAAAUUAGGGCUAAAGUGAGAAAUUAAAGUAUAUCCCUUUGUGCUGAACUAGGCUCUAUUAAACAACACAACAAGAAGAACAUUAAAUUCAACUCCAUACCUUCAGUGAUGUGGUCUAUUUGGCUUGAGAGAAACAGUAGUUGAAUCUUCAAAGACAAAUACAAAUCGACCAUUAAUAUUUGGAAAGACAUAUGUACGCUUUCGGUUCUAUAGACUAGCAAUUCUCCACUUUUUACAAAAUACAGUGCUUCAACAAUUGCCAUUAAUCUUUCGGCUUUUUAGUCAUCUUUUGUAUGGGGGCUUAUCUCUAGUUCCUUCUUUCCACAGGUGUUAUUCCUUACUUCUCUUGUAUCUACUGUUAUAUUAUGAAUGAAAGCAAGAUAAUGAUGAGGGUGCUAAAGGCUAGUGGAGAUGGAGAUGGAGAUGCGCACAUGCGCGGAUGCACUUGCUGAUCUAUUGUAUCCCUUGAAAAAAAUAGUAUCAAUGUACGCGUAAUUGAGAAAUAUACAUGCAAUUGACUUUAAAAUCAAGAUAGAAUUAAGCACGCCAUUAUGUUAUAUAUUAUUGCAAUAUAUGUUUAUUAAUUACUUAAUUAUUACAAGUGAAAACAAGUUCAAAUGAAUGUAAAUUCUUUCUAUCUACACAUAUUCUAAUUUGAUUUCUUGUAGAUGGUUUUGCUCUCAAUACAUACUUAAAAAGUAUAUGAUUUUAUUUCAUUUUUUCCCUUUAGAUACAUAUUUGUAUCCUUAACCCUUAAUUUUCAUAUGAUUAUGUUAUUGAUCAAUUGAUACAUUCAACCUGCAGCCACAAGUACAGUGAGAUUUACAUAUUUCAUUUCUCAUAUAAAAAGACCAAACUAUAUAUUUUGUGGCACGAUUAUACCUGCACUAAUUCACACUAAAUUCCAUCAAAACUCGCAUAGUCUAAGCUUCCUUAGAUGAGAAAUUCUCCUGUUUGCACCCCUUUGAAAGAAAAAAAAGAACUUCUAAACAUGCGCCCCACAACAGUGAGAUGAAAAGAUACAAAAACACACACAUAAUAGCUUUAUUUAAAAUGUAUGUUCCAUUACUUAUAUAGAUAGCUCAUACAUACGUAUAUAUAUAAGCAGUAGUAGAUGGGAUGUUGCAAUUUAUUUCGUGACAGGUUCAAACUGAGUGACCUCCAGGUAAUUAUCCCAUGGCCUAUAAUACACAACUACCAAGAAAUCACUGGUAGUACUGUCAUCCUUAAGCGACAGCACAAGGCGGUAGUUGGUUCCGGAUACAACCACGGACUCACAGUUGACGAUGGAAACGAGUGUGUAAUUUGUUCCUGCUGAUUUGUUGUGAUCAGCCACUGCCCGUUCUGCAAUUUCUUUUACGUAUGGGGCAUCCGAAUCGUCACAUGGACCAUAAGGACCCAGAGGAGUACACAUAUCUAUGUAUCUUUCUAAAUUACCCUUUCAAAAUUAUUACUACUUAAUAAGGGAAUGCUUUAAUUUGUGUGCUUCUUUCCAAUAAAAAAAAUUGUUUCAAAUUUAUAGUAAUAUGCUCUCCAAUUUAUUCUUCUAUUCCUUUAGCAAUUAAAUUCAACUCAGUCAAUAGUAAUCACUAUUGUUAGGAAUCUAAUUCUGUUUACUUCCUUUUUUAUUUAUUUAUUAAGAUUAUGAUAAGUUAGAAUAUCUUAACUAGAUAUUAUAAUUAUCUCUAAUUCACUAAUGUUAUCCAUUUAUCACUCUUUUGAUUUAUUGUUUGAAACAAGAUCUAAGAAAAAUUAUAUAAUAUAAUGAUACAAAAAAGACAACGGUAGUAGUAUGUUGUGUUAUAAUUUGAAAUUUUUUUAGUUCAUUUUUAUUAAAUUUAAAAAUAUACUUAAAAUCAACCUUAUCAACAAAUUAAGAUUUGUUUCUUUUAUAAAGGGGACAUGCAAGUACUUUUCAUUCACUUUGCAAACAAAUAUAUAUUUAUUUUUGAGGUCCAAGAUAGAUCUCUUAAGUUCUAUUAGCUCAAUUUAAUUUUGAGUAUUUGUUAGAAACAACCUAAUUUCUUUUUUCACAGUAUUUGAAAAUACAACCAUUUUCUAUCAAUGGAUUAAUUUUAUGAAUACUAUUUGUGAAUGGUACACUUUUUUAGUAUCAUUUGUGAAAAUUAGUUACCAAUGUAUUUCUAUAAAUUCGUACUUAAUAGAAAAUUAAGAAAGAAGUUAUGAAAUAGAAUAUUGAAAAAUAUGGUUGAAUUAGAAUAACACUGAAGUCAACGUACCAUUUUUAUUGUUGGUUCUUAAUAUACUUUGAAGUUUGUUCAAUGUAAUUCGUCACCUUUUGUAAAUUGUCUCUAUUCUUGAUAAAUCCUAAAUUUAGUAUUAACUUUAAGAAAAUAAUUUUGAAAGACUAAAGGUAAAACUUAUUGAAAAUACAUAGAAUAAAUUGAAAUUAAAUCUAUUCAAUUACAUGUCAUAUGGACUAAAUUAAAAAUAAUGGUCAAAGUCAAAAUUAAAAACUCAAAAUAGUAACUAACUAUCGAUGUCAAAAUUCUUUUGUGAUAAUGAAGCACAAAAAGUAGUUUUUCACUUUUUCCAAUCACAUUAUAAUGACGUAAUAAAGAGUAAUUAUAAUUGAUGACAAUUUUAAAAAUAAUAAUUAAAUAUAUAGUAAUAGUUUAAAAAAAUUUAUAAAUACAAUAAAAUUUAUUUUUAGAUUAUUACGGUUAAACUCUAAUAGACUAACAAUUGAUGGAUUUUAACCGAUUUUGUUAUAUUUGUAAUUUUUUAAAAUAUUGCUAUACUCUUAAUUAUUUUAAAUCUAAUUACAGGAGACAAAAUAAUUGGUAGCACUAUUGAAAACCGAUAAUGGGAAGCCUAUAGGAUUGUAAAACAUCAAAUUUUAUUAAUGAUAAGGAAUAGAUAUAUGAAGGGUUGAAGAUGAGCCCAAAGAGACUUUUAGUCAAGCAAAGAAUUGGAAUUUAAAGCUAUAGACAAAUAUGAAAUUAGUUUUAGUUUUAUUUAAAGAAAAAAGAAUAACUUCCGUAUCUUUAGGAUCAUUUAUAAAUAAGAAGUUAAAAGAUAUUCCUCAUAUUUAGGAAUAUUCUAUGGUAAAGAAGUUCUUUCUUGGCUAUUUAAAAAGGAGAAGUUCUUAAUGUAAAUUCAUUCUUCAUGUUCUUACAUUUAUAUGUUCUUAUGUUUAUAUAUUUUUGGUAAAGAAGUAAAUCGGUUACCUUCUACAUUAUGAUAGAUUAUUGAAGACCGUCAAGGAAUUUGACAAAGUAUCAAUUGAUAAGAAAUAUGAAUGAAGACUGAGAUAAUUAUACUGCGAUCAAUGAAUUCAGGGAGCUUGAGUUCGUCUUUGAGAAGAUUCAAGUUUAUCGUCAAGAGAGCCUGAGUUUAUACGGUUAAGUUAUGGUGAUAACUUAUUAAUGUAACUUUAGGGUUAAGUUACAAAUUUUUGAAUUUCAAUAAUAUUUCUUAUCUAAGUAAAGAACCUCCACAGAUGUAAGCCAUAUUUGCCAAACUGAGUUACCAAAAUGUUAUUUGUCUUAUGAGUACUCUAGUUAUUAAAUACUUGUGAUAUAGCUAAAGGGCAUUUAACCUUCUCACUUUUCACUAGGCUUGUAGUCUUUGAAGAUUCUAUUAUUUCUCUUCAGCCAAAUAACAUUCACUGUAUUUCUAGCAAUAAAGAAAUGCUGACAAUUUCCAUAUGAUUUUUUGUAAUGAUAAUAUGUGAAUUUAAAAUUUGCAUUAAUAAAAGAAAAAGAAAAAGAUAAAAGAAAGAAUAAUAUUUUUUUCAUGAAACAUUGUUGAGAGAGUAGAAGUUUGGAUCACCGACUUUGUUGCAUUUUUUUUAAAAAUUUUUGUUAGAUAACAAAUGAGAGUUUUAUCUUAUAUGAGUUUUUUUUUAUAAUUAUCUUCAUUUUAGGAAAUUAAAUUAUCUUCCUUUAAGAAAAUUAUUGAAAUUUAGAAAGAAAUUUGAUAUUUGAAAAAAAAAGUAUUGAUAUUUGAGAAAAUAAAAAGUGAUGUUUUGAAUAAAAUCUACUUUGUAAAAGUAAUUGUAGCAUAGAAGAUUUGAACUAUAGAGGCACAACACUAAAAAUAGAGUUUAGACAAAAUGAAGCUAAAUUUAUUAUAUAUUGUAAUCUAACACUUCAAAAUUAAUAUUAAAACAUAAAAAUCGAUAAUGUGAAAGGAAACACGUACUUUUGACUCUUAAUAAAUCUGCCCCAACUUGAAAGAUGGUUGUAUCGGAAAUAAAAUAAACAUUAAUCCUAAAUCGAUAAUGUGAAAGGAAACACGUACUUUUGUUUACUUUUUUACACAUUCAUCUCACAUAGAUAUUAAAAGAAUCAAUUUACUAAUGUAACAACUCCACCACGAACAAAUGUAUCCUAUUUUAAAGAGUCGCGUUCUGUAAUCUAAGGUUUUAUUUGAAAAGUCACGAACACUCAACAAAGAGUAAAUAUAUGAAAAUUUAUAAAAAAUGUAGAAAUGAAAAAGAUGGGUAAAGGUUCUUCAUACAUGUAAAGCAUCAUAGUAUUUAUUAAAUUAGGAAAUAUAAAAAUGGAGGUGAAAUUUGUUGAGUAGUUUAAUUAAAAGUUGGUUGACAAAUUCUAAAAUUAGGUAAAGAAGGCCUACUCUUACGAGUUAAAGAUAAGCAUUUAACUAACAUUUAUCCUCAAAUCACAUCUUCAUCUCUUUUUUUAUAUAUAUAUAGAAGAGAAACUUGACAUUAACGCAGCCAGACUAUUUAAUAAAUUAGCUAGAAAUAUUAUUUUAGACCACAAAACUGUUAAACUAGAUAUAUAGAAAAAAAAUUAAAAUCUAAAAUCUAUUGAUAAAAGUUUAUUAGUAAGUGUUACUGAUGUUUAGAUAUGAAUGAUAAAAUCUCUAUUUUAUUAUUAUUUUAUAAACAUUGAUCAAAAUCAAAAUUCAUUUUUGUUAUAUUUAAAAACAAACUAUUGAAUAAUAUUAUAUAAAUUUGACCCAACAAAAAAGGUUGGGGUGUAAAAGGAGAUUUGAAAGAUAAAUUUGAUUGACCAAACAACUUACUAUCUUUGUGAAGUAAUAAAAAAAAAAUGAAUAUUUUAUGAAAAUAUUGACGACGAAAAGUAAUUAUAAUGGAUGACCAAACAACUUACCAUCUAUCAUUUUCUUAAUUAUUUACCAAAAGGUAAAUUUUAUUUUUUUAAUUACUAUAUAUAUUUUUGAAUAAUUCUUUUAAAAACCUGAUUUGAACUAUUUAAAAAUUAAUAUUAAUAUAUAAAAAAAGCUAAAAGUAAAAAAGAAUAAGGAAAUGGAACCGAAGAUGAGAAAUGACAAAGAAGGAAAAUGAUAGACAAAUAUAUAUGUGUCAUUUAUGUUGUUUACAAAUGAUCAUAUGAUUAUUAUCGAUGAAAUUGAUUAUGACCAACCUCCAUGUGAAAACUUAAAUAGAAUGUAGGAUCUAAUUUGGCAUAAACUUAAAUGCAGAACGAGUGUACGAUGAUACAAAAAUGUUGGCUAACAAUAAAUAUAGAGACUUUAAAACAAAGACGACUAAUGAUGAAUUUGAAGAGAUGAUCGUCGUGAAUAUGAAUUUCUCUCUCAAAUACAUUCAGUGAGUUAGACAUGAAUGAGUAGAUAGCGUCAGGAGCACAAUCCAAUUAUAGUUCCAAUGGUGAUUGAUAACAGAAAGUUGUAUAAGGGAAUGUUUUGUGAAGAUAAAGAAUGCUGCAACAUAUGAUCACUAAAGUGUUUUGCUACUAAAGUCAUGCACCAUAUGAAGUAGUAAAGUCAGCACCGAAAGUGAGUUAUUUGAUGUGAGAAGUCAUUUGAGACAAAGUGGGUUUUUUUCAUUAGAGGGAGGAAAAUAAAUUAAUAUUAAUUAAAAUAUGAGAGAAGAUUAAAUUAAUUAAAAUAAUUUUUAUUUAAAACGAUGACCACACAUUUUUUUAAUUCUUAAUUUAAUAUAUUUUAAAAAAAUUUAAUUCAACACAUUUUAACUAAUUCCUUACCACUUGUUUGUCACAUUUUAUCUAAUUCACAUUUUAAUUAAAUUAAAAAAUUAAACUAUAAAGAUGGAGAUUUUUUUUUAAAAAAAUAGAAUCAAGACUGGACCAAAAUGAAGAAGAAUAAAAACUGCAUUAUUUCACUAAAUAGUUUUGAAAGAACACUAAUUUCAUAAAUAGUUCUUGAAAAAUUAACAUAAACAUAGAUAAGUUUCAAUAACAACCAUAUUGAAUCAAUUUUUUUUUUUUAUAGAAAAUAGGUUUUUCUGUGUUAGAAAGAAAAAUAAAAUAGUAUUAAAUUAGAAACAAGAAUUUAAAAUUACUUAUAAAUAAAAUUUAAAUAGAACAAAUAAAUUAAAAUAUAUAUGAAAAUAAUAAAUAAAAAACAAAUGGGAGAGAGAAUACAAAACAAAUUUGUAUGAAAGAGAAAAAAAGAAGAUUAAUUAAAAACCAACUUUCAUUUUACAAAAACAUUAAACGAGAAAUCAAAACAAGAAAUAAGAAAUGAAAACAUGUUAGACAUUUCAAAAAACAACACACAAAUUUAGGGCCGCCCAAUUGGAAAUUAAAAAAAAAAAACUACAUUACUAUUUAAUAUAUAUUAAAAACUCUACACAUAUUAUUAAAUAACGUUUCAUCUUAUCAAGUUGUUGUACACAUGAAUAAUUUUAUAGGUUGUAAUUUAAAAAAUAUAUAUUUAUCCUAGUGAAAUUUGUGAACAAAUUUAAUUAAAACUUAAUCAAUAGUUUAAUUAAAAGUUAGUUGACAAAUUCUAAAAUCAUCUAAAGAAGCCUCUACAAGUUUAGAUAAGCAUUUAACUAAUCUUUAUCCUCAAUCACAUCUUCAUUUCUUUAUUUAUAUAUAUAUAUAAGAGACAACUUGACACUAAACCAUCAAACUAUUUAUUAAAUUAGGGAUAUCAUUUUAGUUUAGAAAGGGUUAAAUUUCAAAUUUUUAGAAUCUAUAUUUCAAAUAGUUAUCUCUAUUUUAUUAUUAUUUUAAUUAUUUUUCUAUAUUUAAAAGUAUUAUUUUUUAUGGAUUUUAUGAUUUAAAUUUUAUGAAUACAUCAAAUUUCUCCGUUUGAAUUUAGUUAAUAGAUUGUUUUUAAAUAAACAGAUUUCAUAUUUUAAAUGAGACUGACUAAUAUUUUCUACGAAUUUAUUAAUUCUUAGAUACAUGAAAUUUCUAAUUAAACAGCUAUGAUAGAGAUUAAAAUAUCAAAUUUUGGUAUCUUAAUAUUCUUAAGGUGAAUAAAAAUAUUUUAAAACAAAAUAAACUUUUUUUUAAUGGCUCUUAUGCCAUCCAUAAUUAUCAAUUCAUGCUUAGGUUUUAUCUUCUUCGAUAUGAAUUCAUAAACAUGAGACAUUUAAACAAAACCUAAAUAAAAACUUUGUUUUGUGAACCUCUAUAAUUUAAUUUAAAAGAUAAAAUUGGGUAACAUUUUGUGGUGUUGUAGGUGCAUACUUUACCUACACACAACCGACUUCCGAACUUAAAUUUCUCAAUUUAUGGAGACAAUUUAUUUUUCCUUUUUGGGUAACCAAUCACACCCUGAUAUGGUUGGUGGCGACUCUAAAACUAUUUAUUUAUUAAAAUUAAAUAAACGAUGGAGGUCGGUUGCUCCGUGUAGCGAUCACGUCGUGACAAUUUUAAUUAUUUUUCUAUAUUUGAAAAUAAACUAUUAAAUAAUAUUAUAAGUUCAAAAAAAAAAAGAAAAAAGAAAAAGGAAAGGGUUGGGUGUGAAAGCCGACUUAAAAGAUGAAUUAGGUUUUCAUUUCAUUGACCUAACCAACUUAGCAUCUUUGUGAAGUAAUCAAUAAAAAAACACCACAACAAAACGUGGUAACGUUUCCCAAAACCUUUUAAUUAUUAAUUAAUGAUUAACAAAAACCAAAUUUCAUAAUAGAACUAAGUUUGUAUGAUAUGUACUAUAAAUACCAACCUAGUGUGUUAAUCAAAAUUUAGAAUACCACAAACCAUAUUACUAUCUUUCUUCAAGUGGCCGGUUUAUUUUUUUUUUUUAAAGAGAAAUCAAGUCAUGGCUGCCGCUGGAAUUGGAACAAUUCGAUCGUGAUUGGUACUGGAAUGCGAUACCGAAUGAUCCAAAUAGUAAUAGAGAUGGCAGAGUAUGCAGUGAAAGAACAGGGAGAAGAAUUGAUCCUGAACAGUGUACAAGCUGGACAGAUCGUUGAGGUGUUUUUGAGUGGCGACACUUAUUACAACCUUCUCAUCCUUGCUCAUCAUCCUCACACAUUUCAGGGGUUUUAUAGCACCAUUGUGAUGGAAAAUACAUCCAAAAAUGUGAAGCAGGUCGUAUCUUUUGUUCCUCUUCGUUAAUGAUGCAAUGAUGAUGGAUGCAUCAAUGAUCUACAAUCUCAACAAAUUAUCUACUCUCUCUCACUUGUUUAUGUGUAUGCAUGUUAUACAUGCAAUUGGAAUGAAAAGUAGUACAAAUUUAGAUAAAAUAAAAGUAUAAAAAGCAGGUAUGCUUUUGGUGUGUUUUCAUCUAAAUUCUCUCUCGUUUUAAUUUAUCUAGACCCAAAAUUGAGACAGAUUCAAAAUCUAGAAUUACGCCCACAUGAUGACUUCAACAUUUUCUUGCACGAUGAGUCCUUUGUAUCAAUUAGAACAAAUUAUGAUAAUUCUAUUUAUAUAGUUCUUUUCUAGCAUGUAUGUUUAAGAGUGGUUUUGUGAUGGAGACUGAAGUGCUUGUUUUCAAAGACCAAAUAGACAUUAAUCCUAAAUCUCACCGACUAAAAAUAUGUUUUGUCAUUUAAAUAAGUAUUUAAUAAAAAAUCACAUCUCAAACCGAAAUACAACAAUUUUUUUUCUUUGGAAAUAUUUGACAGUGAUUCAAUUGUGACAUUAGAUAUAAUAUGUUUUCCCUCUCGUCCUCUAGCUAUAUUAUUACAAAAUCCACAAAUUUGUUGCGAGAGGAAUAAUUAAUAAUAAUAAAAGAUGAUGCAAAUUAACAAAUGGAAUUAUCAAAAGUUCUAAUUAAUUUAAUCCAAUAUGUUAUAUUACUAUACUUUCAAGCAUGAAUGAUGUAUAUAAUCAUAUAAUCUAUUUUGAUGAGUUUUGAGAUAGUGACAUUGGAGCAAUGGAAGUGAAUGAAAAGACAAAGUAUUUGGAAUCAUAUGUUAAAACGUUAAGUUGAUUGGAGAGCAUGAUGAUAAUUUAUAAAAUAGUAAUUCUAAUUGAUAUUUGACUAAGUAGAUGACAUUUUUAUUUUCAAACAUUAUUAAAAUAAAAUAUGUUGAAGCUAUUCAUAGAUAUGUAAUAUCCACGGUGAAAUUUUUUGAUUUUCAAAUAUAAAUCAAAGAAUAUAUCAAUAUUUCAUCGAAUAUUUGAACUUUGAAUUAUUUGAAUAAAAUGUUUAUUAUUUUAUUUUGAUUUCCCAAAAUUAUAUCCACAAUUUUCUUCAUUACACAUCUUCUUUUCUUCUUUUCCCCCUUUCUUUCCCACAUAUUUUUCUAUUUAUUUAGUUAGUAUGAUCUAACUUUUAAAAUAAAAAAUAUUUACAUAAAAAAUAAAUAAAAACUUCCUAAAACAUUGUUAUUCCCAUUCAAUUUAAUAGUGUCAUUCUUAUAUUAAAUAGUUAUUUUUUUUCAAGAUUUAUCACAUGAUAACAAAUUCAUUUUGAACUAUUAAUUUAUAGAUAAUGUUCUUAUUUAUUCACCAAUUUUCAGUCGUUUUUCUGACCUUUGAAUAGAAAUGUUUUUAAAAUCUUAAUUAAUAUAUCAAUUUAUAACAACUAUCUUAGUCAUUUGUUUUUCCUUUAAUAGAAUAUAACUUUGGACCAAUUCUCUAGCUACCACUCUUUUGUAUUUUUCUUUUUUGAGAUAAUGCAUACUAUACUAUGCAGGUUUAGAAGUUUUGUCACGGAUAUGUCAAUUUAAUUGAAAUAUUUAAAUUCGUAUUUUUUCUCUAUUUUUAAUAUAUUAUUUUUUUAAAAAUAAAAUAAAAUAAAAAUAAUAUGGUCAUACGGCUUGAACCCUAUCAACUUUUAUAAAUACGCAUAAAAGUUGUUUGAGGCAGAAUGUUGAGUUUGACAUAAAUAGUUAAACUUAGUUGAUAAUAAUUGAUUGCGUUUUAAAGUGUAGAAUUGAGUUUAUUUGAUUUAAGAAGUUUUGUAUCCGGGUGCAAAGAGUCGAAUUAUGCUAAGUUAUGAAGAACAUGGACUUUUAUGGGUUUUUUUAAAAAGUUAUUAUUUUUCGUGUUCUAUACCGUUCAACUCCACAUACUUUCCUAAAUUCUUAACACAAAUUUGAGAUGUGAACGAACUCAAUAAAAAAGAAAAUAUUACAAUGCCCUACUUACAACUAUAUCAUUUAUUAUAAAUAAAUUAAAAUUAUAUUAUAAAGGAGAGUUUCACAAAAAAUACUAAAAAAAAUUUAUGAUAAUAAAAUCCAUAUCACUUAUAUUUUCAAAAUUGCAAAAAUUAGCAAAUUUAAAAACAGAUUACCGUUAUAUUUGCCAAAUUUACAAUAUGAAAAAAGAGAUGUUAUGAGACGUUUUUUUCUAAAUCUUUUUAUCCUCGACAAUUUUCCACGAUAACUAUAGAUUCAUGAAGAUGGUGGAGCACAUGAGUUUAACUAUGCACAAAAAAUAAGGAUUGUCAUCAUACCAUUUACAUGUUCACACACAAAGUUUACAUGUUCAUACAUCCACGCUUGCAUGGGUGCAUACACGCAAAUAUUGUUCAUAAAAAAUAUAACAAUAUAAUUAAUGAUCAAAAACCAAAGUUUCAUCAUAGAACUAAGUUGGUAUGAUAUGUACUAUAAAUAUCAAACUAGUCUUAAUCAAAAUUAUAGGACAUACCACAAACCAUUACUAGUUCUUCGAGUGAGUUUAAUUUUUCUUUGAAGAGAAUUUAAAGUCAUGGACACUGCUGGAUUUGGACCUUCAAUCGUGAUUGGUUCCUGUAAUCCGAUAUUGAAAGACGAUCCAAAAGUGAUAGAGAUGGCGGAGUAUGCAGUAAAAGAACAGGGAGAAGAUCAUUUGAUACUGAAUAGUGUAGCAGAUGGACAGAUCGUUACGGUGUUCUUGGGUGGCAACACUUAUUAUAACCUUCUCAUACUUGCUCAUCAUCCUCGCACAUUUCAGGGGUUUUAUAGCGCCAUUGUGUUGGAAAAUACAUCCAAAAAUGUGAAGGAGGUCGUAUCUUUUUUUCGUCUUCCUUGAUGAUGCAAUUAUGAUAAUGGGUGCAUAGAUAAUCUACGAUCUCAACAAACUAUCUACUCUCUCACUUGUUUAUUGUUUAUGUGUAUGGAUGUUUUAUAUGCAAUUGGAAUGAAAACUACUACUAAUUUAUGAUAAAAUAAAAGUAUAAAAAGCAUAUAUGCUUUUGGUGUGUUUUUAUCUAAAUUCUUCCUAGCUUGUUUUAAUUUAUCUAUAGUUAACAGUAUGUUUUUGUAUAUGCUAGUCUGUAUUUGUUUUAUAUUCUAGACCCAAACUUGAGAUCGAUAGAUUCAAAAUCUAGAUUUACGAUCACAUGAUGACUUCAACAUUUUCUUGCAGGGGAUGAGUCUUUGUGUCAACCAAAAAAGAUUUUGGCAAUUCUAUUUAUAUAGUUAUUUUGUAACAUCAUUGAUGAACUUUUAAAAAAUAAUAGAAAGGUAAAAAAAUAUACAUGGAUACAAAAUAGUUCUUUUUUUUUUUCUCUUCCCUUUAUUGUUGGAGUCGACCUUCUCCCUUUUUUUCCAAUCUAGAAAUCAAUCUCCCAUUUAUUUCACUUCCAAACCCACCUUUUAACCACUAAAAAUUAAGGGGUUGGUUGUAAAAAUAGUAAAUUAAUUUAUGAUAAUAGAGAUCAUAUUAAUAAAUUUUCUAAAUUGGAGAAGUAAAAAUUUAAAACUAGUAACCUUAUGAUUACCAUCGGACAGCUCUUCGAUAGUCCUAUAAUUACCGUUUGAUAGCCAUAUGAUAUCAUUAAUGUUAACAUAUUUACAAUAUGAAGAGAAAAAAAAGGUGUUAUGAGCUGUUUUUUCUAAAUGUUUUUGUCAUUUGAUGCAAUUUUUCUAAAAUCAAUUCAAUGAUUAAUUUUACAUUGGUAAACACAUUUUUCGUAUUAUUAAAAUUGUUUUUAAAUUACUAAAAAUAUUCUUUUGAGUGAUUUUGAAAGAAAAAAUUAUUUUAAAUAACAAACGUUUUGAAAACAUUUACAAAUAUAACAAAUAUCAUAACUUAUCAUAAAAUCUAUGUUGCCCUAUCUCAAUCCAUCUAUAGAUUGGGAUAUAUUCUUACUAUUUUUUUAAAAAUAUUUUGAUUUUACUAUAUUUAUAAAUAAACCUUUUGAAACUAAUAAACUAAUAUUUUUAUCUAAUUAAACAAGAACAAUAAUUUUGACUACUAAUCUUAAUUAUAAGAUUUUUUUUCUUUUUGAGUGAGAAUUUGAGAUUUAAGAAUAACAUUAAAUAUUUUUAAAUAUAUCAAAAUGAACCAAAAUAUUUAUAAAAAUAGCAAAAUUUUAGAUUUUUAUUAUUAGAACUUUUAUGAAGUUUCAAUCUAACAACAAUUUAUCAUUUACAAUAAUUCUUCUAAAAAAUAGUUAUAUCUCUAACAAAAUUGAUGAUAAAAAUAAUAAAGCAACCUAUAUUGAUUAAUUAGUUUUUUUUAGUACAUUGGGAUUUGGGAUUUGAAUUGUCAACCUCAAAUUAAGCAAUUACACCAAAAUAGGCUUGCUUUGACAAUUAAUAAAAAUUGACCAUAUUUAAUUUAUAAGAAAAUUUAUUUUUAUCGGAAGAAAUGUUAUAAAUAGUCAAAAAAAAAUAUUAAAAGUAUUUAUAAAAUAUAGUAAGAAAGUAGCAUUUUUUUACAUCUUCAUUUAUUAAUAUUAAUUCUCAUUAAUAUUUAGAAAAUUUAUAAAAAUAGCAAAAAGAAAAUUUACGAUAAUAGGGUUCAAGUCACUUACACUUUUAAACUAGCAAAUAUAGCAGAUUAAAAUAUUUUUAUAUUUGUUAUAUUUACACUAUACAAAGAAAAGAGUUGCAUGAGUUAUAUCUACAAUUUCUUUAUUACACAUCUUUUUUUCUUAUUUCCCCCUUUCUUUCUCACAUAUUUUUCUAUUUAUUUUGUUAGUGUGAUCUAAAUAAACAAUUCCCUAACAAAUAAAUAAAUAAACACCGCCUAAAAACAUCGUUAUUUUCCAUUCAAUAUACACUAGUGUCAUUCCUAUAUUAAUUAGUUAAUAUUUUUUUUCAAGAUUUAUCAUAUGAUAACGAUUUCAUUUUGAAUUAUUAAUUUGUAGAUAUUGUUCUUAUUUAUUCACAUUUUUCAUUCCUUUUUCUGACCUUUUGAGAGAAAUGAUUUUAAAUUCUUAAUUAAUAUAUCAAUUUAUAACAACUGUCUUAAUCAUUUGUUUUUUCUUAAUACCUAUCCCUACCGACCUCUCUUUUGUAUUUUCCCUUUUUGAGAUACUGCAUCCCUUUUAUUUCAUACCUGUUUAGUUUGGGUGAAAAUAUGUCAAUCUAGUUGAGAUAGUUUGAGUUGAUCAUUCCUUCCCUCUAUCCUUAAUAUAUUGUUUAAAAAAUAAAAUAAAAAUUAAAUAACAUGAUUUAUGUCAUCGACAUAUUUAAUUAAGGUUUGGGCUUGAGUCCUCUCAAAUUUUAUGUCCGUAUAGAAAAGUUGUUUGAGGUGUAAAGUUGAGUUAAAGUUAGAGUUAGUAAUAAUUGUCUUUAUUUAACAUGUAUAGCUGAACUUAAUUGAUAAUAAUUGAUUGUGUUUUAAAGUAUAGAGUUGAGUUUGUUUGAUCUAAAAAGUUUUGUGUCGGGAUACGAAGAGUCAAAUUGUGUCCAGUUAUGGAUAUUUGAUACAUUUUUUUUUAACCUAAAAGAGCAUGCAUUUUUUUGGGGUUUUUUUUUUUUUUGUUCUUUUAAAUUGUUAUUGUUUUUUUCCCUUUAACCUUGUGUUCUACCAUUCAAUUCAAUGACUACACAUACUUUCCUAAAUUCUUAACACAAGUUUGAGAUGUGAACUCAAUAAAUAAAAAUUUAUUUUACAAUGCCCUACCUAUGACUAUAACAUUUAUUGUAGACAAAUUAAAAUGUUAUUAUUUUAUAUGAUCUACAAUAUAACUCUAUAUCAUGAGAUCCUGGAGCAUAUGAGUUUAACAUAUGGACGAUUGUCAUCAUAGAUCUAAAUAUAUGUUGAUAUAUGUUGUUCACCCAUCCACGCAUGCAUGGGUGUCAAGUAGUAGCAUUGUUCAUAAAAGUAUUAUAUAUUAUUUAUUAAGAUAAUGAAACUAGUUAAUCAUGUAUCAAAUAGACAUAAAUAAUACAACCUUUUCCUACACUAUAUUUAAACAACCACUUAUAUUUUUGUCUGACUUUACUUAAAUAAAUUUUAUUUUAAAAGUUAAUUACCAUUUUUUAAAAAUGCACAAAAGGUAAGUUUUUAGAUUUGAGUGUGUGUUUUAAAAAGGUCUCAUUCUUAUUUUUUGGUUGGCUUGCAUUUGACAGUAAUUCAAAAACUAGCUAGUUUAAUUAAUUUUUAUCAAUACCAAAUCUAUAUUUUUUCCCAAGAUUUAUCUUACGAUAACCAUCCCAUCUUGAAUUAUUAAUUUGUAGAUAUUAUUCUUAUUUAUUCACAAUUUUUAGUCCUUUUUCUGACAUUUUCAAAGAAAUGCUUUUUAAAUUCUUAAUUAAUAUAUCAGUUAAUUAUAACAACUGUCUCUUAUUUUCAUUUGUUUUCUCUUAAUAGAAUAUAAGUUUGGAGAUAUUCUCUAUCUACCUUCCUUUUGUAUUUUCUUUGGAAAUAAAAUAGUGCAUUGCUUUUGAUAUUGAAGUAUGCAUAUAUUUGUUAGGAAUAGGUCGACUGAGUUGAAAUAUGUUGAUGUGACUUACAUUUCCUCUACCUUUAAUAUAUUGUUUCAAAAAUAAAAUAAAUAAAAUAAAAUUACAUGAUACAUAUCUAACUAAGACAACUCGAGUCCUCUCAACUUUUAUGUGUAUAUAAAAUGUUGUUUGGUGUAAAAUUGAGUUAAGUUAGGUGGAUAAUAAUGGUGUGUAUUUGACCUACAUAGUUAGUUUAGUUGAUAACAAUUGUUUGUAUUCAACAUGUAAAAUUGAGUUCAAUUGAUUUUAAAAGUUUGUGUCUGCAGUACAAAAAGUUGGCUAUUUGAUACAUUCUUUCAAUCUGAAAAAACAUGUAUUUUUAUGAGAUUUUAUUGUUUUUUUCUUUCAACAUUUUAGUUAAAUUUUUAAGGGAGAAUACUUGAGAUGUGAACUCAAUAAAUAAAAAUUUAUAUUUUACAAUGUUCUAUCUACAACUAUUCCAUUAUGGUAGAGAAAAUAAAAUAUUAUUACUUAUAUAAUCUAUAACUCUACAUCAUGAUAAGUACGAAACAUAUGAGUUGAACGUUAAAAAAAAUAGAAUUGCCAUCAAAGAUCUAUUUACAUGUUCACACAGAUAUCCAUGUGCAUAUGAGCACACACACUAAUAUUGUUCAUAAAAAAUAUUGUUCAUUGAGAUAAUCAAACUAGUUAACCAUAUACUAAUUACACAUAAACCAUGCGCCUCUUUUCAUACUAUCAAUAAUGCUUUUGUUUAUUUGUUUUUAUUCGUGUUUGGACUUCUCUCUAGCUCUUUCUAUAUUUUUCUGCUUCUUGUAUCUAUUUUUAAUCAUUAAUGAAGUAGGAAUGAUAUAUGGUGCUAAAGAGGUGUUCCACCUACCAUAGAUGUUUAGGUGCACCUGUUGAUCCAAACCUAUUUUCUUUUUUUAAAAAACUUACAUUUGCAAACACCCAAUUAAUUAACUAAGUAAGACUAAUGAUUGAGAGAAGACUAAAUUUUAAAGGUUUGUCUUUCUGUACUACACCAGUUUUUUUUUUUGUUUUCUUUAUGUUAUUUAAUUUUUUUUUAAAAAGGUUAACUUUCAUAAAUAGUACUCGGAUAAAAUAUUUACAACCCGUAUCACAAAAUGAAGAAUUAAAGGCCACGAAAUUUACCAUUUUUUAAAAAAAUUUAAGGUUUGCUCUUUCAUAUCAUCUUUUUCUUCUAUUAUCUUCUACGAUUUUUUUUUCUUUUCCUCUUUUGCGAUAUUUUUUCUUUUCCUCUUUUGCGAUUUUUUCUUCCCAUCAUCUUUUUCUCUUCUUCAAUUUAUUAAAAAUAUUUUCAUUUGUUCUUCGCUUUCAUAUUCUUUUCUAUGCAAUUCUUCUUUUUCUUUCCAUUGUUUUUUCUCCUCUUUAAUUUUUUCUCUUUUCCUUCCCAUCAUCUUUUCUUUCUAUGAUAAAUUUUUAUAUUAUUUUCAAAUUGUUAUUUGCUUCAAGAUCUUGCUAUUUUUUUCAAACUGUUAUUUGAUUUUUUAAGAUCGUGUGCCAAAUAUAAAAGAUCGUGAAAAAAAAAUCGUGGAAAUUUGGCUACCAUAAUUUAAACUAUCAAUUCUAAACGAUUUUGUGUCAAAUGUAAACAAUCGCGUACCAAUUUUUUUUGUUGAAAAAAUUCAUUUAGAUUGGACUACGCAUAUUUAAACGAUUAAAGUAAAUGAUAGUGUGAGAAAUCUAAACGAUCACAUACCAAAAAAUCUUGAAAAAAAUUGUUUAGAUCUGGGUGUUUAGAUUUGAUUAUCCAAAUCUAAAUGAUCAUUUUCCAAAUAUAUUACGUCCAUUGGACGUCAAUUCAUCAAAGAGCAUUUUUGGUAUUUUCCAUUAUGGGCCUGUGGGUUUUUUUCGUUUUCGAAAUUGUUAUAUACAAUAUAAAUAUUUUAUUGCUUUGUUCAAUAUUUAAAAAGACAAAAAAAAAAAAAAAAAAAAACAAAGAAACAAAAAAACAAAAAACAAAAACAAAUUGUUCAUUUAAGAAAUUAUUAUAAACAAUACAAGCGUUAUAGGUACUGUUAAACUUCUAUUAAUAUCUAUCAGUGAUUUAGAUAGACAUGAAUAUAAGUCUCGAUCAGUAUUUAUCUAUAAUAUAUAAUUUUGCUAUAUAUCGUAAAUAUUUUGGUUCAUUUUGCUAUAUUUGAAAAUACGUCCGUUCUUUAACGAUAUAUAUAUAUAUAAAUUCUAACACAUUCUAAUAGAUCUAUUGGUGUGAGAUUUUUUUUACGAGUUACUGUUUUAGUAUGUUUUAGUAUGUUUAAAGGAGAAUAUUUUUUCUGAAACUUCGUGAGAUUUUAUGUUUAAUCAAAGUUUAAAAUAUCGAAGGAGCAUUUUUAAAAUUAGCAAAAUAAAUUAAAAUAUUUAGCAAAAUUUUGUAUUCUAUCAAUGACAGAAACGGAUAAACUUCUAUCACUGUAUUUCAAUGCCACUUAUAGAAACAUAUCAGUGUCUAUCACUGACUUUUUAGAUUUGAAGCAUUUUUCCAUCACGAUCAUGUGGAUAUGAUCUAAGCGAUCACUUACCAUAGUCUACACGAUCAUUUAGUAUGGUCAACACAAUCGUUAGAUUUGAAAUAUUUUUUCUAUCGUUAAAAAGAAUUACACUAUCGUGUUGAUAAUACCUACAUAAUUGUGUAUACCUAUAAGAUCGUAUAUCAUAUCCUUUAGAAGAAAAAUUACACCCGCGCUUGUGGCCGAUUAAUCGCGUGUUGACUUAAUCAUUUUUUUUUGUAUUUUCCAAUAUUGUAGGCUUGUGGGUUUUUUCUGUUUUCAAAAUUGUUCUAUAUAAUGUAAAUAAUUUGCCGGUUUGUUAUAUUUUUUAAAAAACCCUAAUUUUAACAAUUUUCGAAAGUUUAAGAAUAUUUUUUAAACUUUUGAAAGUUUAGGGAUAUUUUUGACAACGUAGGUAUUUUUUUUAUUUUUGUAAUUUAGCUUUUAUUUUUUAUAUACCUUUUAAAAUCAAUUUAUAGACUUUGACUCGGCGUUAUCAUUUCUUAAUUAACUCAAAUUGAUCCAAAUAAAAUAAAUUAUUAUUAUUUUAAUAGACUCAUAACCCAAGUUUCAUUUGUUAAUAGUUGAGUUUUACAUUGUCCAAUUAAUUAAAAGCAUAGGAAGGAGGGGUUUUAUUAGUAUUAUUAUUUUUUCUAUUUUCUAUUGUCCAAAUAUGUUUUUUGAAAGGAAGGGGUAGUUGGAAUAUGAAUAAAUGGGAGUAGUAUAAAUACCAAACUUUCAAAACAUAUAUAUUGUACUAAAAGCAUUCCAUAUAGCAAUAAGUUUAUCAAUAUUACAAGUAAGUAAACAAUAUCUAAAAUGGCUUCUGAUCUCGUGCCCGGCGGCUAUACUCCAGUUGAGAAUCCUCAAAGUUCACGCAUGAAAGAAUUAGCAGAAUGGGCAGUAGCAGAGCACAACAAAAAGCGGGGACACACUUGAUGUUCAUUGGUAUAUUGACUUGUGAGUCACAAAUUGUGGAUGGAGUCAAUUACCGCUUUACCUUGACGGCUAAGGAUGAAAAAGAUAAUUGUGAGAUUGAAAGCUAUAUGGCUGUUGUCUUUGAGCAACCAUGGGAGCAUAUCAAGGAGCUCGUUUACUUUCAGAAACUCUUAUUGGCUGAACAAUGAAUAUAUAACAAAAUUACUCCUACUUUUAAUUAACCUGCUUUAAUGCGUUAUCAUACGUAUGUGUGGCGUACUCCCUUUAUGGUCCAUCUAUAGAAGGGAUAGCAAAAUAAAAGCUCUCCUAGUUAAUUGCACUUCCAGAAGUGUAGGUGCAAUGUUGUUGGGUUAGUUAAGUUGGUAAUUGUUAUUGUUUGUAUCCAUGGUGGAGUGAAGAGUGAUGUUGAGUGUUGGUAAUAAUAAUUGUUUGUGUUUGGAGUGUAGAGUUGAGUUGGUUUGAUUUUAUAAGAAGUUUGUGUGUGGUGUAUGAAUAUUUGAUGCAUUUCUAACUUCUUGUGAUCUAAAAAUAAACAUGCACUUCUAUGGGUUUCUUAGUAAUUAUUUUAUAUUAUAUUAUUGCUAUUGCAUGCUAUUGUUUCCCCCCUUUAACUCUUUUAAUUUACCCUUAAACUAGAUUUUAUUCUACCAUAUUAAACUAGACACUCUCCUAAAUUUCUUAACACACACAUUAUGCGAUGGAAACUCAAUAAAUAAAAAUAUAUUUUGCAAUUAAUUUCUACAUGUAACUAUUGCAUUAUUAAUGUAGGUUAAAUAAUAUUAUAUACAUAAUUCGGAUCUGUUUGCACUACUAAUGCUUAGUUAUGCAAAGAAGAAGUCAAAUAUCAAAUAUCACUACUUUAUUCGGAUCUGUUUGUGCUACUAAUGCUGAGAUUAAAAUAGUUUUUCUUGAUCAUUUUGAAGAUAUAUACAGAGACAUAAAUAUUCCUCUUUGAUAAUUUGCUUUGGACUCCUAUCUUAACAAAAGAAUAGAUGGAUAUUUGCAAACAGUUUCAUGAAUCGAAAAUUUACAACGCUCUUCAAUCUUUCUUUAACAAUAAGAGUCCAGGUACUGAUGGUUUCAUUAUGAAAUUAUUUAAAGAAGCUUAGCUUGGAGAUUCCUCAAAGGUGAUAUUAUUGAUAUUUUCAGUGACUUACGCAAAAAUGGAAUCAUAAACAAGGUUGUGAAUGCUCUACAUACAUCACUCUUAUAGAAAAGAAGGAAAAAUGGUCCCUUGCAACUGAUUAUAGGCCUAUUAGCCUAACUACGUCUCUCUAUAAGAUAAUGCCCAAGAUUCUUGUCGAAAGACUUACAAUAUCUCUCCCAAAUACCAUUCCUGAAAACCACGUAGCAUUUGUUAAAGGAAGACAAAUAACAUAUGCUAUUUUGAUUGCGAAUGAAGCGAUUGGUUUCUGGAAAUCGAAAAAGGAAAAAGGGUUUUGUCAUUAAAUUUGAUAUUUUUUUAAGAAGAAGAUACGUUGGGUCAGUAUUAGGUGCAUCCCGACAUCUCUAUUAGGUCGACACUCCUUAGCACUCUCGUCAUUUCCGCUUCAGUCAUUAAAUUUGAUAUUGAAAAGGCAUUUGAUAAAAUUAACUGUAAGUUUAUUGAGUUCAUGUUGUUGAAAGGGGCUUUCCCCAUAGAUGGAGAACUUGGAUUUACUCAUGUAUCAACUCCGUACAAUAUCCUGUCAUUAUAAAUGGGAAGCCUAGAGGGAAGUUCCAACCAACCUGAGAUAUUAGAAAAGGAGAUCUGAUCUCUCAAUUUAUAUUUGUUCUUGCUAUGGAUUACCGCAGUAGGCUACUUAAGAUCUUGGAGACGAACAACAAAGUUAGAGGGGUUAGAUUUAAUGAAAAUUAGAAUUCACUCAUCUUUUAUUUGCCGAUGAUAUUCUCCUCUUCAUGGAAGACCAUGACGAUUUUGUAGAAAAUAUGAAAUAUGCGAUUCACCUCUUUGAACUUGCUUCUGGGCUUAACAUAAAUCUCAACAAAUCACCAGUUCUUAGAUUAAUGUGGACUCAAGCAGAUUGAAUAGGGUGGCAGAGAUAUGGGGAAUUACUGUGUAGUUUUUACCCAUCAAUUACUUGGGUGUUCCUUUGGGUGGCAAACCUCUGACAAAGCAUUUUUGGGCUAACAUCACAGAAAAAAUCUACAGAAAAACUAGUAAUCGGAAAUAUUCAUAUCUUUCCAAGGGAGACAAAAACACAUUGAUUAAUUUCACUCUUGUUAGUCAACCCACUUACCAACUUUCGGUAUUCAAGGCCCUUUAAUUUCCUCUAUAUGCAAAGAUAUUGACAAGAUUUGGAGGGAUUUUGUGUGAAGAAACUCCAAUGACAAACGUAAUAUUCAUCUCAUCAGAUGGUCAAUUAUCACAUCCCAAAAGAAAAAGGGGUCUUGGGAUAAGCCAUAUAAAGGACACAAACUUUUUGCUCUUCUUCGUAAAUGGCUAUGAAAAAAUUUAGAAAAAAACAACUCUUGACACCUUUUUUUUAGUAUUGCGAAUAUGAAAAAUAUGGGAAAGACUAUCAAAUGGUUAUCGACUAUGAUAAAGUAGCAAAUUUAAAAAAAGUAGUAACAUGAACUUUAUUAUCAUAAUUUUUUUUUUGAUAUUUUUGUAAAAGUCUCUUUAAAUUAUACCUUAUUCCAUCUUUAUCUAUCACAAAAGAAAAGAAUAUAUAUUUUAAAAGUCGGACAAUUGAAAUUGGCCACAUGACCAACUGUUCAUUUAAUUUAAAGGUAAUUGUAAUGGAUGAGCAUUUGAGGAAUAAUAAUUAAGGAUAUAACAACAUUUAAAAAAUUGCAAAUAUACCAAAACUAUCGCUGAUAGACUUGUAUCUAGACUCGUAUGAUCUAUCGCUGAUAAACCAAUUUUUACAACAUGGUCUAUCAGUGAUAGACUAUAUCAUUGAUAGAAUUUGACAAAUUUUACCAUAUUUGCAAAUUUUUAAAAAUGUUGCUAUAUAUUUAAUUAUUUUAAAUUUAAUUACUAAAUUUGCAACUACCCCUAUAUUUAAAAAGAAAUGAAUCCAAUACUCAAAUUAAAUUAAAACUUUUCUUAAAUGAAAGCAUAUGGUUUAUUAAACUUUUCCUAAAAUGAUAGUGCCUUUUAAGUUGGAUCCUAAUUAUUUUUUAUUGGAUCAAAUAAUUGCUAUAUUUUCAUGAAUUUUGAUGUCAUAUUAGAUGACCUAAAAUUUUAUCUUUUAGUAAGUUUAAUAUCUUCCGAUUUUUUCAAGGUAAGAUUUUCAAUAGAGUUCAUAUUAGCAAAAAAAAAAACUUUAAAAACAUGUGCGACCAAACUCAUACUAACGUGAAUUGGAUUGCAAAUAUGAUAAUUAAGUAAACAACAACUUAAAAAAUUUGCAAAUAUAAUAAAAUCUGUUUAAGUCUAUCAACUGACAAUGAUAGAAGUUUAUCAUUGAUAGACUAUUUGCAAAUACUGUUCUAUCAAAAACUAUAAAGAUUAUCAAAUACUAUACCUUAAUCCAAAAAUGUUAGAUGGAACUCGGGGGUUCACAAUGGGGCGUGGGCGAUCUCCAUUAUCCUACCAAAGCAUAUAAUGAGAAUUUCAUCAAGUGGUCUGUAGAAAUUUAACUUUCUAUAUUUUCACUCUUUUAUAUUUGAUAUUUUUAUAUCGUUUAGUUCGUAUUCAUACCUGAAAUAUAUUUUCAGAAUAAUCGUAAAGAUCAGAUUAAUGGUAAAGAGGAUCCUCGAGGAGUUAAAAUAAUUAACGAGUUUCAAAACUCAUGAAUUUUCAAAAGAAUGGGGUAAGAGGAUGUUACAAGGUAUUGGAUGCUCCAAUCCUUUAACUAAUAGGUUUGAUUUCUAGUUUGAAGAUCAUACUCACACAACCAUUGGAUAGUUGGAUAUUAGAUGUGUUGUCUAGAUGUAGUUUCGUGUAAUGAGCCACGAAUUUAGAAAUUUUGUUAAUGGAAGCGUUAAUAUAAUCUAGUAAAAGUAAUCUAAAAAAAAAUGUGAAGAGUGGAGAAGAACUUAAAUUUGGAUCUAAAAGAAAUUGAUAAACCAAUUUACAUAGUCAAGAUAACUAAUGAUAUAAGAUAUAAUGUGAGUUUGAUAUAUAUGUAAUGUAGAUAUAAAGUUGAGGGAGACGAGUCCUCUUGGCCUACUCUAAAUGUUUUAGUGUGUAUAAUCGACUAUAUUAUAUUAAAAAAAAAGAUAAACAUAGAGCGACAUGAUCGCUUUGGAGAUAGCUUCGAAUAAUCUAUUUACUUUGGAAUCAUGCUUCUACUAUUGAUAGCUUCGACAUGUUGGCCAACUUUGGCAACAAAUAAAGUCAUACAUUAUCAUUAAAAAAUAAUUGAUAACACAUGUAUGCAUAGUAUUAUAAUUAAACUAUGUUUACUCGUAGUAAAGUAAAUUAAAAUACUUACAAGCUAUAACAAAAUUUUGGAUUUUAUCAUCUUCUAUCACUAUAACUAUCAAUGAUAAAAUUUUCUAUAGGUUGUAAAUAUUUUGUAAAAUCCUUAUGACUUGAUAAUAUACGUAUUCAUAAACAAUUAAAUUGUCUAUACAACAGAGACUAUGCAAUUAUUAAUGCAACGGGAAUGAUGAUAGUGUUACGAAAGUGUCCACUUAGUGGAGAUGUCCUGCCUCCUAAUCCAUUUGGUAUGUUUUUAAAAAAUAAUAGCUAAACCAAUCAUAUAUGAGGUUAUUUUAUCAAACCUUAAAGAAUUAAAUUCUAACGUUUAAAGUCAAUAGGACUAAAAUUCCAAUACUAAAUUAUAGGAAUCAAUAUUUCGUCAUAAGACCAAAAUAUUACAUGAAUUAGCAUAUUAUGGAUAUUCGACCUUAUCAAAUUUCACAGUAGGAAAACACCUACACAUUUGUAUAUGAUACUUAAACCCUCCUUACAAUUGAGAACAUACCACCGACAAAUACAAAAUUUCUUCAUCAAAUCUUUACUCAGAAGAUCAUUUGUUGAUCUUCGAUUUGUACUUCAAGUAGUUUACUGAGGAGAAUCCAAAGUUAUGGCUAAUUUUGAUGACUCUAUAGUACUUGAGGGUGAGUCGAGUUCGGAUGUCUUCGGAAACUGGAAGCCAAUUUCAAGGACUGAUACACACGUGAAAAAGAUAGCAGAAUUUGGUGUGAAAGAGCAUGAACAAACCAUGAUCUUCAAUCAAGUGGAAGCUGGCCUGGUCGGUAACAGAAUGCUUAUGGAUAACGAGAAAUAUUAUAUCCUUGUUAUUCUCGCCCAAAACUCCCUCUCGGAAUGCAAAGGUUUUAUAGCAUCAUCGUAUUGGAAACUACUGCAUCCAAAAAGCUUAUAAACUUUGUUCCCCUUCCUAGUGGUGCAUGCAAUAACUAUAUAUUGACACUCUCUGUGUCAUUGAUAUCCGCUCUAAUAUAUGUUUUACAUGAACUUAAAAACUAUUACCAAUAGUUUGUGAGGUAAUAAAAGUACGUAAAAUUAUUAAACUCACAUGUAUGCUUGGUUGUGUGUUAACUAACUUUGUUUUAUUUUAUCUAGUUGACGACAUACGUACAUAUAUAUCACACAAGCAUAUACAUAAUACAUAUAUAUGCACGUUUGAUUUUCUUGUAAUGUGCUCUAAAUUCAAGUGAUUUGUGACAUUUAACUCCAAACAUUCACUAUACCUAAUUCUUUGUGAAUUAAAAAAUAUUAACAGUUUCUUCAAAUUUUUUAAAAAUAAUUCAUAGGAUCCGUCCAUCUCAACCAGAUUUACUCCUAUUUAACACCUUUGUUACGCCUCAAUAUCAAAGUCUUUGUUUUACGGAACUAUCAAUAAAAUGUAAAUUUUGGUAUAUAAAUAUAACAUUGGUCCCAUCUUUUUUCUUUCAAUCUAAGAAUGAAUCUCUUUGUAGAACUCGGGGAUUUUUUUUUUUCCAGAAUAAAUCCAUUUGAAUGUUUUCUUCAACAGAUCAAAAUUAAGAUACAUUGGCGGUUGACUGUAACCAACUAAAGAUACCAAGAUUGAUAUCACCGGUGUCUAAACAACUCCCCGUUCCCGGCUUCUCCUCCACUCCAUCUCCUCCCGCGGCUGCAACACUUCUCUCCUCUAAACCCUUGGCAAGUUGGCAACUACCUCCUCAUCUCCGGCGGCUUUCCGUCUUUUCACUGCCCACAACCCAUUUCAGAAUUCCUUCCACCACCAUCCUCUUUCUCUCCUCAUUUAACACCGAAAGUUUAAUAUUUCCUCCAUAUUUGAGAAAGUAAUCAAUAAGCUCAAAUCUGUUGGAAAACUUUGAGACAACUUAUGAAUACACAAGCAAAAAUUCAGCAGACGAAAAAACUUCACAAUUUUUUCAUAACAGAAUAAUCAAUUAAAAUACCUUAUUAAAGGCUUAAAAAAAUACUUACUAAAAAUAAUAACCACCUUGAUAAACCACCUACCCACAAACUUAACCUAUUAACAUAAAUAAUUAAAACAUUAAGUUAAGAUAAUUACGUUAUUUGAAUCAGUCUUCAAUACUCUCUCUUGAUUUAAAUUUGCUAAUACGCAUCAUAGCUAAAGUAACAGAAGUUUUGAGUUUUUGACUUCUUAGUGAAAUUCUUGAAUCGUCCGACCACCCUGUGGGAAUAUAUAGGUCCGACUAUCCUAACUAGGGAAGCGAGAAGAUGAAAGCAGAGAGAGAUUGUUCCAGCAUGGAUUCUUUGCCAACAGUUCCCUUGAGCUAGCCGCCUAAGAGCCCACGGAGCGGGGAGGACUGACUGGUUACAUAUGUUUUCCCAUAAUCCUGCAUUGCUGACAUGUUUAACGUUGAAAUUUUGGUUAUUUCUUUCCAACCAAAUUAUCCAAAAGGAGAGCAACCACAACCUUUGCAACUUACCACUCUCACCACACUUCGUACUUCAACUGCAAACCUUUGCAACUUCUUCCACAAAUUCAUCAUCCACAUCUUUAAUCGCUAUUCCUUUUCCUUCAUUUGAUGAAUUAAUAUUGUAAUUAUAUAUAUAUACACACUACUUUUAUUUAAGUCGCUGACUUAUUUUGCUUGUUAUUAUUAAGGAGUUUCUUAUUUAUAAUUCCGUGUGAGAGAUAUUAGUCGAAUUGAUAUAAUGGAAUCUUGUGUGUGAGACCUAGAUUUAGAGUUCAAAUGACGAUUUGCUGUUGAUACAUAUAUCAUUUCUAAUAAAAAAAAAUACUUUAAUAGAAUAGUUUAAAAAGAUACUUUUGAUUCAUUGUUGAAAUUUCUAGAGCACCUGCUGAUCCAAAUUGUAUUUUUUAAGGAGGACACUCUUGAUGUACUUCAUUUCUUAUUUUUUUAAUAAAGCGAAAAUGACGAGGGGAUUAAAAAGACAAUUGAAAAAGAAAAAAGACAAAAUGGGGGUGUUAGGAGGGCCAACACACAAAUUUUGUAACUUGUAUUGAAUACUGAUUCAAAUUAUGUGAUUAUCUAAAUUAAUGUUUUUUAAUUUAUUUUCUGUUAACAGGUUAAGUUAGUGGAUAGGUGGUAUGUCAAAGUGGUUUUAUUUUUAGUAAAUACCAGUUUUUUGUAAGGCUUUUAAUAAGGCAUUUCAAUUGAUCAUUGUGUUAUGAAAAUACAGAAGUUUAUGUUUUUUGGCUUCUGUAUUCAAGGCAAGGCUUAGGCCAAUGAAACCAUGUACAUAUGAUAAAAACGAAGAAAUUAGAAGGAAAAAAAAAUACACAUGUACAUAAUUAAAGAAAAACCUAGAAGCUUAAGGAAGGAAAAGAAAAAAUAAAAAAGGGAUAGAGGUUUGUUGCUGUUGGUUAUUUUCUUUCUUUGAAGGAAAGAGAAGGAAGAUAGUGGAGGGAGAUGAAAAUUUAGAGAAAAUGUCUUUUUUUUUCCUUUGGAUCUUUUAGUUUCACGUGAAGAGAGAUUAGGGUGUACUAAACAUCUCAACUAGUAUCAAAAGAUUUUUAUCAUAUGAAAAAAAAAGGAAGCUUUUGAGAGAGAGAGAAACGUGAAAAAGGAGGAGAAUCCUUAAAUCGAUGGAAAAUACCUAGAAGUUGUGCAUUAAUUUAUUCACUUUGGCCUUGUUUCAUUUUUGAAAUGAAUGAGGUCAAAGAUAUGCCUCGCUAUAUGUUGCUCUCCCUUAAUUCCUAAUGAAGCACUAAGACCGACAAACAAGUUACGAUUAUAUAACAAAUUAUAAUUUCUGAAAUGCACCAUGUAUACUUGACUGCAAAAUUUGAUAAAAAAGAAAAACUAGAAAGAGAGAUAAUAGGUAAGUAUCAUUGUUCUUAUUAUAUGGUUAUACCAUUUAUUUUCAUAUAGGCAAAAGACAAUAAUGCCUCUCACACACACACACAUAUAGAAGGAUUGUUUUCAUACUAUUCGGGGUAGUACCCGAGGGGAUCUCUAAAAUAUACGAGUUCAUAGCUUGAUGGUUUUGUAAUUUUAAUGGAAGUCACAUAUGUCCAGAUAUUUUUAUCCUUAUUUAUAGCUUCCACCACAAGAGUAUACGACAAUAUGCUACCAUUUAUAUCAUUAAUCACAAGCUCCAGGCCGUUUAUCACACGAUGGAAAAUCAAAGUGUCUGAUUUUUCUUCGUUGUGUAUGUCCACUGCAAUCCCUCCAAUUUGUUGCACGUCCUUUCGCUGAUCGAUGUUUGGAAUGGGUGAUCCCUUAAUUACGAAACUCAUACUGCAACAAUCUACUUUUGAUGGACAGAUAGUUUUAGAAGAUGAUAUAUUAUGUAGUAAAGUUUAUGUGUUUUGUUCGUGAAUACUUAGGAGUUAGGAGUUUGGUAUUUAUAUAGUUGUGUGUGGUUUAUAACAGUCAACAUAUUCAUUUCCAUGUGUCUAAUUUUGAUAAAAUGGAAUCUUCUACUUUUUGUAUCUCUCUUGCUUAGCAGUACAAGUUGAUAGAUUUGAGAUAGUUUGGAAUCAAUUUUUUGAAGUGUUAGAUUACAGUACAUAUUAAAUUCGGCUUUUCUUUGCCUAAAUUAUACUUGUGCUGAAGUGGUUGUGCCCCUUGCACAAGUCUUGUGUUGGUUGUGAGUCCAAAUCUCAUUUGUUACAAUUAUUUUUACGAAAUAGUUUUUAAUCGAUUCUAAAAAAGACAACUUUUUAAAAAGAGGAAAAAACCCCAACUUAUUUUCUAGUCAACAAUCUAAUAAAUAAAGAAAUAUAGAUGUGUUAUUGAAUUUGAUUAAAAGACCAUGGAGAUGCUGCCAAUGGGUAUCAAUCCCUAUGUCUAACUAUGUCUAACUGUGUCUAUCGAACUGGCCAAGCGAGUGCUCUAACAAUUGAGCUCCAUCUUCCAUGUUUAUUUAAUUUUAUAAAUAUAAAUAAAAAAAUGGUCAUAAAUAUUAUUCUUUUCUUUUUAUAAAAGAAACCAUAAAAAAGGUGAAGAAAAGAUGAGAUACCUUAAAUUAAAGAAAAGAAGGAUAAUGAAUUUAAAAAGAAAAGAACGAUAAAAACGUUGAGGGCCAGUUUUGUUAAUAUAUAUUUAAGGAAAAAGGAAAAAAGAGUGGGAAAAGAUUGAUAAAAAAGAGAAAAAAAUGAGAGAUUGGAGGAUAAGCGAAGAGAAAAAGCAUGGAACCUUGAGGAUGAAUACGAAGGAAAAAGGAGAGGAAAAUUUGAAAAGACGAAAGAGAUUACUUUGAUAAGUACACUUGGAAAACAUAUUAUAAUUAAUUCUAUCUUUUCAAAUGCAACUAUUGAUUCUUUUGCCUAUGUGCUUUUUGUUAAAAUAGGAAAAUAAAGUGCAAUCUUACUUACUGCUCGAGGGUUUUGAAUCUUGAUGAUAUACUGCCCCAUUUGUUCUAGGAUUCGUGUCCAUUAUCUUCUUAUUAUUAGCCACGAUGACCAUGGAAUGUGGAGGAUCUCCAUUCUGGUUUGAAAUUGAAGUUAAGCUCUUGUUCCUACGAAUUGAUAUCUUAACACUUAAAUGAAACUUUGAUAAUUUAGAAACUAUUGUGAAAGAAGAAAAACAAAAUCUGUAGCUAUAUACCAAGGCUCACAAAAAAGAGAAGAUGAUGUCGCACGAUGAACGUGAGUUUCAAACAAGGGAUUCAAUUUCAUGGAGAAUACUUAGGGUUUCUAUUUGGGACGACGUUCGACAGAUCUUCGAAGAUCUGGAACAGUGCGACGAUGGACGACAUAUCUUUUGAAGAUUUGGGACGGCACCACUGUGGCGGACUUGACGGUGGAGUAAAGUGAGAUUGAGAAGAGUGAGGAGAAACUGAGAGAAAAUUGAGAGAGAAGAAAUCGUGAGGCGAGGAAGAAAUGUGAGACUAAACGAGGGAUACUUGACUCUACAAAAUUUAAAAAAAAAAAAUUACCAUAACUUUUUUAUGACGGUUGAAAACCGACACUAAACAUCCCCAUUUAAAAAACUGACAUUAAAGAUCCGUUUUCAUUUUUUUUCAACCGACGUUAAAGGUCAGAUUUCUUCUAAUGCUCGGUCCAAAAAUCCAAAAAAUAUAAAGUAGGAAAGAUGGUAGUUGAAGUAGCCCAACAUAUAUGGUUAUCCGUCGAGUCACGCCAAUCAUUUACUUCAGCCAUAAAUGUUGAUCCACAGUCGACCAAAAAUAUCAGAAAUAUCGAUUACCAUAAGAAGAAACUAGGUAGAACAACAUAACGGUCGGUUAACAACUAUCAAAUUAUUAAAGUGUGAGGUCAUGUGAGUGUAACACACAAUGAAUCUUUUCAUUCUAGAGAAUUUUGAACAACAAAAAAUGUGUCUUCACACAAAUAAGCCUCGAUAAGGAUAGAUACCGUUAAUUCCAAAUUUGGGUAAAAAACAUACUAUACAAUCCCUAAAACAGAAAAGCUAGAAUAUGGAGAUAGCCUAAAUCAAAUCAUAUUUAACACUUAGUUUGAAUCCUAUAAUUUCUCAAUCCAAAAAUUCCCUUCCUUGAACAGACAUCAACUUUCAGAAAGCCUAAAAAAAAAACUUUCAGUGUCAAAACUUAAUUCAACAACCAUAAGAAAAAUCUACCCAAACAUAGCUCAUUAAUGUAUAUGGAGAACCCAUAAAAAUGGCUUCAACGAGGGUUCAAUUCUUCAAUUUAUUGUUUUUCCUUCCCCAAAAUUAACAUAAUUUAGAACCUUUGGUAAUAUUUAAACAUCAAAAGCACUAGCUAUCUUAACAAGUCAUUAUGAAAAAGAAUUCCUAUAAGACACUUCCUUUACAACCUCCUCAAAGGUCCCAUUUAAUUUAUUUUACCCAUCAAGAUAACUUAGUAAACUUGGAUUUAGAGGGAAACUAAGAUGGUAAUUGGAUACCCACAUACAACCGGAUUCUUCUUGGAGAAAAGGUUUCCCGAAUAUUUUUUAUGGCUACAGAAAACAUACAACAAAAAACACUACAAGAAUUUUCGUCUUUGCCCAUGCAGAAAACCAUGGACACUUCUUAUGAAAAACGUGGCCAGACCUUUUGCCAACACUUUUUUCGUGGGCACGUUGGGUGGUCGAAACACCGUCGUCUUUUUCUUUGCCUACGUUUUUUACGUUGCGUCGGCACAAAUGUUCAUGCAAAUUAAAAUCGUGGGCAGAAAAAAUAUUUCUAGCCACGAAAAAAAUGUCGACAAAAAUGUAUUUUUGCCCACGAUUACAUCACGUCGCCAAAAGUAAACUUCUGACCACAAAAAACGAAAGGUAUUUUUUACCCAUGAUCAUCAUCACGUCGACAAAAAUAAACUUUCUGGCCACGUUUGUUUCGUGGGCGGAAGCUAGUUCUGCCAACGAAAAGAUCUUUGUGGACAAAACAAAAUUUCUCCCCAGGCUAAAUUUGUUUUUAAAUAAUAUUUGUUUUUUUUUUGUCCAAGCAUAAACGUCGCAGAACUUUCUAAUUGCCAACAUAUUUCUAACCACACAAAGAACAUGACAAAAACAAUUUAAAUUUUUCCACAUUUAUUAUUAAUAUAAUAUUGUAUGCUUAUAAAUUAAAUUUUACAUGUAGAAUGAAUUUCUACACCAUAAUACAUUAAACACUGCAACCAAAAUUUAAAAAUGAAAAAUAUUUUCAACCAUUAAUAUCACAAUCCACAAUUCAAUACUUGGUCAAAAUAUGGCAAACAAUCAUUCUUUAGUGUGUCAAGGUUCGUGAGCUAUAUUACAUUUCACUUUGGCAUACCAAAAUGAACAAAAAAAAAAAAAAAAUUACAACACAAAAAAUAGUUAACUCACUAAGAAAGUCUUCAUUCCCCGCUCCUUCAAACUACAUAAAUCUGAAAAAGUACAUUAAAAUCAUUAAGUCCUAUUUUAAUGUGGAGGUUCAAAUUAAAGAAGAUGCAUGGCCUAAAUCUGACUUUCAAAUCACCUAAAAGGUCCUCAAAAAGUCUCAACAAAAAGUCUCUAUGUGACAUUGAUAGCUUUGAAACAAUCUCAACCCCAUAAAUCCAAUAAUGUCAAAUGAAUACCACUAAAUGCUAACUUCAAACUAAUCACCAUAAGGGAGAUAAACAUGGUUUCUUCACGAGGAGUGACAUCACAUUUAUUGUAAGAAAAACAAAUAAAUCUUUAUGAAGAGUAACCAAAUGGGAGUGAGAUCUCCUACAGCAUGGCUCCAUCCAAUUUGGCAAGGCUUAGGCCAAUGAAACCAUGUCUAUGAUUUUCAUCGUCAUUUUUAUAAGAAACAAAGGAAUGCAUUCAAAAAGAGCAAAAAGCCCCAAAAGAACAACCUAAAUGCAUUCGACAUCGUAGAGGCAAACAUUAAAGUCAGACUCAAUUAUACUGGGUUCAUACCAGCCACAAUAAACAUCAUUGAUAAGGAGGGCAACACAUUUCUGGUCCAAACUGUGAUACCUGUGAAGGGACGUUGGCUAAUUGAAAGGAACCCACACAUAGAUGGUACGUUCUCAAGACAAGCUGCCAUUUCCUUUGAUGAAUUUAACUUGAAAGCGGAACAACAUUCGUUUAUCGAAAAUAUUGUUGUUUCCCACCCCCCUCCCCAAAAAAAAACAAGAAAAAUUGGAACAAGACGGCGAGAAUCUGAAUGUCAACAUGGUUUUAUUUUUAGUAAAUACUAGUUUUUUGUAAGCCUUUUAAUAAGGCAUUUCAAUUGAUUAUUCUGUUAUGAAAAUAGUUAUGUUUCUAGCCACUCUUCUGACUUAGUAAUUCUUACUGAAACCAAAUUUCGUUAUGUAUCAAAAGCUUGUUAGAAAUUAAUAAGCUAGAUACAUUAUGAUAACACAUUAAUAGAUACAUUUCUAGUUUCAAGAUACAUAUGCAUUUCUAGAUACAUGUAAUUAUUCAAGUACAUGAAUGGUAUGUAUUCAUGUACUUCAUUUAUUUUGUGUCUUUUAGGAAGUGUCUCUUGAAUACUAUAUAUAGAGAUCAUUUCUUCAUUUGUAUAAAGAUAAAAGAAUCAAAUCAAUAGAAGCAAAUUGAGUUUUAGAAAGUAAGUGAGUUUCAAGAGAACAACAUUCUUCUCUUGUGUGUUAUUGAGUUUUCUAAGAGAACAAAUUUCUUCUCUUAAAAGUUUGUGAGAUUUAGAGUAAAUUUAGAGUGGGCUCGUCAACGCCUCCAACAAAGUGGUAUCAGAGCAAGGAUUGAAAGAUGUCAUCUAACAUGUUGCAGCCUCAACUUCCUCGUUUGAGGGAAAAAACUAUAGGCGGUGGAGCCAGCAAAUGAAGGUUCUUUAUGGAUCUCAAGAUCUUUGGGAUAUUGUUGACAUCGGAUAUUCAGAGCCAGAAAGUGAGAAUGGUCUUUCAGCACAACAACUCAAUGAGUUGAGAGAUGCUAGAAAAAAGGAUAAGAAGCAUUAUUUUUCAUCUACCAAUCUGUGGAUGAAAAUAUUUUUGAAAGAAUAUCAGGAGUCUCUACUGCUAAAGCAGCAUGGGAUGCAUUGCAAAAUUUGUAUGAAGGAGAAGAAAAGGUAAAAUUGGUCCGAUUACAAACACUUCGAGCUGAAUUUGAUACAAUUCGAAUGAAAGAUUCUGAAACUAUUGAAGAAUUUUUCAACCGUGUUCUCUUAAUUGUUAAUCAAUUGAGAUCAAAUGGAGAAACAAUUGAAGAUCAAAGGAUUGUUGAGAAGAUUCUUAGAAGCAUGACUAGAAGAUAUGAGCAUAUUGUUGUAGCAAUUGAAGAAUCCAAAGAUUUGUCAACUCUCUCUAUAAAUAGCUUAAUGGGAUCUCUUCAAUCUCAUGAGCUCAGAUUGAAGAUGUUUGAUUCUACUCCUUCAGAAGAAGCUUUUCAUAUGCAGUCCUCCUAUAGAGGUCGAUCCAAUGGAAGAAGAGGUGGACGUGGUGGUAGAGGCAAUGGACGAUCCAACGUUGUAACAAAUACAGAGUCAGAAAGCAGAGACAAUCAAUUUUUUCAAAUAGAGGACGAGGAAGAAGUUCAAAUAGAGGAAGAGGUAGAAGUGGUGGUCGUGGAGAUUUUUCUCACAUACAAUGUUUCAAUUGUAGACGUUAUGGACAUUUUCAAGCAGACUGUUGGUCUAAGAAGACUAAUUCUAAUCAAGCAGAAACCACACUAAUGCAUGAGCAAUCAAAUAAUGAUCAAGGUCUUCUCUUCCUCACUCUCAAUGUUCAAGAAUCAAGCACUGAAGAAAUAUGGUAUCUUGAUAGUGGUUGUAGUAACCACAUGACAGGAAGAAAGGAUAUUUUUAUAUCUUUAGAUGAAUCUCAUCAAAAUGUAGUGAAGACUGGUGACAACAAGAUGCUUGAAGUCAAAGGAAAAGGAGAUAUUCUUGUCAAGACAAAAAUGGGAGCAAAAAAAUUACUGAUGUGUAUUAUGUUUCAGGUCUCAAACACAAUCUUUUAAGUGUUGGACAACUUCUCCUAAGAGGACAUGAUGUUAUUUUUAAAGAUAACAUAUGUGAGAUUAGAACAAGAAUGGAGAUCUCAUAACGAAGGUUCGUAUGACUCACAACAAAAUGUUUCCAAUUAAAAUAUGUUAUGAGAAGCUUGUUUGUUUUGAGACUUUAGUAAAUGACACCUCAUGGUUAUGGCAUUGUCGAUUUGGGCACCUAAGUUUUGACACUUUGUCUCACAUGUGUCAACAACAUAUGGUGAGAGGAAUGUCAAAUAUUAAAAAGGAAGAUCAACUCUGUGAAGCAUGUGUUUUCGGAAAGCAUCAUCGAAAUUCAUUUCCGACUGGAGGUUCUUGGAGAGCAUCAAAACCACUCGAGCUUGUUCAUACAGACUUAUGUGGACCUAUGAGAACUACUACACAUGGAGGUAACCGUUAUUUUCUCACAUUUAUUGAUGACUACAGUCGAAAAACAUGGAUUUAUCUACUAAAAGAAAAGAGUGCUACUUUCGAAUGUUUCAAGACAUUCAAAGCAAUGGUGGAAAAUGAAAGUAACUUGAAAUUGAAAUCAUUGCGUUCGGAUCGUGGAGGAGAAUAUAUUGUUUUUGCAGAUUUCUUGAAGGAAAAUGGAAUCAAGCAUCAGAAGACUGUUCGAAGAACUCCUCAACAAAACGGAGUUGCAGAGAGGAAAAAUAGAAUAAUAAUGGAACUUGCAAGAAGUAUGUUGAAGGCAAAGAAGCUUCCUGAUCAAUUUUGGGGAGACGCAGUAACUUGUGCUGUUUAUCUCCUAAAUAGAGCUUCAACGAAAAGUGUGCAAGGUAUUACUCCUCAAGAAGCAUGGAGCGGAUUGAAACCAACCGUUAGUCACCUAAGAGUGUUUGGGUGCAUUGCUUACUCUCACAUUUCAGAUGAGAAAAGAGGUAAGCUAGAUGAUAAAUCAGAGAAAUGCAUUUUUGUUGGGUACAGUGAGAACUCUAAGGCCUACAGACUAUACAAUCCGAUAAGUAAGAAAGUUAUUAUUAGUCGAGAUGUCAAGUUCGAUGAAGCAAAAUUGUGGCAAUGGAAUGCACCAAAUGAAGACCAAAAUCCAUUACAUGUUGAUAUGGAUGGAAAAAAAGAUGCUCGAGACUUGGAGCUUGAAGUAACUCAACCACUGACUUCACCUUCUUCAUCACACUCCACAAGUGAUGAAGAAACUACUCCAAGGAAGACCAGAAAUAUUCAAGAGAUCUAUAAUACUUCAAGAAGGAUACUAGAUGAAGAACAUGUUGAUUUUGCUUUAUUUGCAAAUGUUGAUCCUGUAUACUUUGAAGAAGCAAUUCAAGAUGAAAAUUGGAAAGAUGCAAUGAAUCAAGAGAUUGAUGCAAUAAGAAGAAACGAGACAUGGGAGUUAGUAAAAUUACCAGAAAAUAAAAAGGCUCUUGGAGUCAAAUGGAUCUAUAGAACAAAGCUAAAGCAAAACGGAGAAGUGCAAAAAUACAAAGCCAGACUCGUUGUAAAAGGUUACAAACAAAAGUUUGGUGUGGAUUAUGAAGAAGUUUUUGCACCGGUAACUCGCUUGGAGACUGUUCGUUUGUUGUUAGCCCUUGCAGCAAAAAAUAACUGGAAAGUUCAUCAAAUGGAUGUAAAGUCAGCAUUCCUAAAUGGGUAUUUAGAGGAUGAAAUAUAUGUUGAGCAACCCCCGGUUAUGCAAAGAUUGGAGAAGAAAAUAAGGUGUGUCGAUUAAAGAAAGCCUUGUAUGGGCUAAAGCAAGCACCAAGGGCUUGGUACAGUCGCAUCGACAAUUUUUUCUUAAAGGAUGGUUUCAGAAGAUGUCCAUAUGAACAUGCUCUCUACACCAAAGAAGAUGAAAAUGGUAAUUUCUUGAUAAUUUGUCUAUAUGUUGAUGAUUUAAUAUUUACGGGCAACUCAAAUAUGAUGAUUGAAGAAUUCAAAGAGAGCAUGAAAAAGGAAUUUGAGAUGACUGAUAUGGGUUUACUUCAUUAUUUUCUUGGUAUUGAAGUUAAACAAGGUGAUAAUGAGAUUGCAAUUUUCCAAAAGAAGUAUGCAAAAGAUUUGUUGAAAAAGUUCAAAAUGGAGAAUGCUUAUCCUGCCAGUACUCCUAUGGAAUUGGGUUUAAAGUUAAGUAAGCAUGAUGUUAGUGAAGCUUUUGAUGCCACCAUUUAUAGAAGUUUGGUUGGAAGUUUAAUGUAUUUAACUACAACUAGACCUGAUAUUAUGUUCUCGGUCAGUUUAUUGAGUAGAUUUAUGACAUCACCAAAGAGAAGUCAUUGGGAAGCUGGAAAGAGAGUUCUUAGAUACAUUCUUGGAACUGUUGAUCAUGGAAUCCACUAUAAAAGGAAUGUGGAUAAUGUUCUUGUUGGCUACAGUGAUAGUGAUUGGGGAGGAAAUAUUGAUGAUUUCAAAAGUACUUCUGGGUAUGUAUUUAAUAUUGGUUCUGGAGCAGUUUCAUGGGCAUCAAAGAAGCAAGAUGUUGUAGCAUUGUCCACAACAGAAGCUGAAUACAUUUCUUUGUCUGUUGCUAGUUGUCAAGCACUUUGGCUAAGAAAUGUACUACAUGAAUUGAAGUGUCCUCAAGAGAAAGGGACCAUCAUGUUCUGUGACAAUCAAUCAUCUAUUUCACUUUCGAAGAAUCCCGUUUUUCAUGGAAGAAGCAAACACAUAAACAUCAAAUAUCAUUUCAUCAGAGAAUUGAUCAAAGAUGGAGAAGUAUAUAUCAGGUAUUGCAAGACUCAAGAUCAAGUUGCAGACGUAUUCACAAAAGCAUUAAAGACAGAUUCAUUCUUGAAAAUGAAAGAGAAGCUCGAGUUUGGGAAGUCUAGCUUAAGGGGGCAUGUUAGAAAUUAAUAAGCUAGAUACAUUAUGGAUAAACAUUAAUAGAUACAUUUCUAAUUUCAAGAUACAUAUGCAUUUCUAGAUACAUGUAAUUAUUCAAGUACAUGAAUGAUAUGUAUAUGUACUUUAUUUAUUUUGUGUCUUUUAGGAAGUGUCUCUUGAGUACUAUAUAUAGAGAUCAUUUUCUUCAUUUGUAUGAAAGAUAAAAGAAUCAAAUCAAUAGAAGCAAAUUGAGUUUUAAAAAGUAAGUGAGUUUCAAGAGAACAACAUUAUUCUCUUGUGUGUUAUUGAGUUUUCUAAGAGAACAAGUUUCUUCUCUUAAAAGUUUGUGAGAUUUAGAGUAAAUUUAGAGUGGGCUCGUCAACGCCUCCAACAAAGCUAUUAUUAAGUCGUUGUGGAGCUUUAUCAGCAUAAAGUGGUACUCCUUAAAAGCAAAUGACAACUCUGGGUAUUUUAUUAACGUGGGAUGUUCAAAAUUUUCUAUGGAACAAUCCAUUGUUGGCACUUUCUGUUUAUCUGCAAAUAUCAAACCUAUCAAUGGCCCUUCUUGGUGUAUUACGACCGUUUAUGGCCCAGCAAAAAGGAGAAAUAGAAAUGACUUUUGGGAUGUGCUUGAAUGAUUAAAACAAUCUUAGUUUACCAAUCCGGUUGUUGGGAGGUGAUUUUAAUAUCAUUAAGUGGGCAAAAGAAACAUCAGCAAGCAAUCCAGGUAAGCACAGUAUGAAAAAGUUCAAUUCCUUCAUUGAGAAUUGUAAUCUUAUUGACCCUCCCCUCACUAAUGCAAAAUUUACUUGGUCAAAUCUCCGCCUUUCUCCAACUUUAUCUUGGCUUGAUAGGUUUCUCCUUGCUCAAAAAUGGGAAAAUUCUUUCUCAAUUCAUUAUUCCAAAGUUAUGUCCCGAAUUACGUCUGAUUAUUUUUCGAUGGUUUUAGAAGCUUUUGAUCUUAAAUUGGGGUCCUGCUCCUUUCCGUUUUACAAAUAAAUUGAAUGAUGUGGAUAGCUCACGUAGAAUAGCCCUCAAAACUGAUCUUAGCAAUAAAAUUCAUAAAGAGACACAAUUAUGGACUCAAAGAUGCAAAAGAUUGUGGCUUAGUGAUGGUAAUGAAAAUACAGUCUUUCUCAUAAAAGUACUACUGCUAAGGUCAUAAAAGGUAUAGAAAUCAUUACUUGCUCUUAGAACUUUUACCAUAACUUUUUUCUUUAUGUUUUUUUUAUAAAAUUCACAAUAUUGCAGUAGGAGUCAAACGGUGCACCAAUAAUACAUCUCAACUAGAACGACCCUUAAUUUAAAAGAAGUUAUAAAUCCACUAAUAUAUUGUAAGACUAUGCUAGAUAGGCCGUGAGAUGUGUAGAGAGGCAGUUUGAUUUGUAGAUAUUAAAAAAACGAAGAAAUUAGAAGGAAAAAAAAAUACACAUGUACAUAAUUAAAGAAAACCUAGAAGCUUAAGGAAGGAAAAGAAAAAAUAAAAAAGGGAUAGAGGUUUGUUGCUGUUGGUUAUUUUCUUUCUUUGAAGGAAAGAGAAGGAAGAUAGUGGAGGGAGAUGAAAAUUUAGAGAAAAUGUCUUUUUUUUUCCUUUGGAUCUUUUAGUUUCACGUGAAGAGAGAUUAGGGUGUACUAAACAUCUCAACUAGUAUCAAAAGAUUUUUAUCAUAUGAAAAAAAAAGGAAGCUUUUGAGAGAGAGAAACGUGAAAAAGGAGGAGAAUCCUUAAAUCGAUGGAAAAUACCUAGAAGUUGUGCAUUAAUUAUAUUCACUUUGGCCUUGUUUCAUAUUUUUGAAAUGAAUGAGGUCAAAGAUAUGCCUCGCUAUAUGUUGCUCUCCCUUAAUUCCUAAUGAAGCACUAAGACCGACAAACAAGUUACGAUUAUAUAACAAAUUAUAAUUUCUGAAAUGCACCAUGUAUACUUGACUGCAAAAUUUGAUAAAAAAGAAAAACUAGAAGAGAGAUAAUAGGUAAGUAUCAUUGUUCUUAUUAUAUGGUUAUACCAUUUAUUUUCAUAUAGGCAAAAGACAAUAAUGCCUCUCACACACACACACAUAUAGAAGGAUUGUUUUCAUACUAUUCGGGUAGUACCCGAGGGGAUCUCUAAAAUAUACGAGUUCAUAGCUUGAUGGUUUUGUAAUUUUAAUGGAAGUCACAUAUGUCCAGAUAUUUUUAUCCUUAUUUAUAGCUUCCACCACAAGAGUAUACGACAAUAUGCUACCAUUUAUAUCAUUAAUCACAAGCUCCAGGCCGUUUAUCACACGAUGGAAAAUCAAAGUGUCUGAUUUUUCUUCGUUGUGUAUGUCCACUGCAAUCCCUCCAAUUUGUUGCACGUCCUUUCGCUGAUCGAUGUUUGGAAUGGGUGAUCCCUUAAUUACGAAACUCAUACUGCAACAAUCUACUUUUGAUGGACAGAUAGUUUUAGAAGAUGAUAUAUUAUGUAGUAAAGUUUAUGUGUUUUGUUCGUGAAUACUUAGGAGUUAGGAGUUUGGUAUUUAUAUAGUUGUGUGUGGUUUAUAACAGUCAACAUAUUCAUUUCCAUUGUGUCUAAUUUUGAUAAAAUGGAAUCUUCUACUUUUUGUAUCUCUCUUGCUUAGCAGUACACAGUUGAUAGAUUUGAAGAUAGUUUGGAAUCAAUUUGAAGAUAGUUUUGUAUCUCUCUUACUUAUAAGUGUUAGAUUAUAGUAGUACAUAUAAAUUCGGCUUUUCUUUGCCUAAAUUAUACUUGUGCUGAAGUGGUUGUGCCCCUUGCACAAGUGUUGUGUUGGUUGUGAGUCCAAAUCUCAUUUGUUACAAUUAUUUUUACGAAAUAGUUUUUAAUCGAUUUCCUAAAAGAAAGACAACUUUUUAAAAAGAGGAAAAAACCCCAACUUAUUUUCUAGUCAACAAUCUAAUAAAUAAAGAAAUAUAGAUGUGUUAUUGAAUUUGAUUAAAAGACCAUGGAGAUGCUGCCAAUGGGUAUCAAUCCCUAUGUCUAACUAUGUCUAACUGUGUCUAUCGAACUGGCCAAGCGAGUGCUCUAACAAUUGAGCUCCAUCUUCCAUGUUUAUUUAAUUUUAUAAAUAUAAAUAAAAAAAUGGUCAUAAAUAUUAUUCUUUUCUUUUUAUAAAAGAAACCAUAAAAAAGGUGAAGAAAAGAUGAGAUACCUUAAAUUAAAGAAAAGAAGGAUAAUGAAUUUAAAAAGAAAAGAACGAUAAAAACGUUGAGGGCCAGUUUUGUUAAUAUAUAUUUAAGGAAAAAGGAAAAAAGAAAAGAUUGAUAAAAAAAGAGAAAAAAAAUGAGAGAUUGGAGGAUAAGCGAAGAGAAAAAGCAUGGAACCUUGAGGAUGAAUACGAAGGAAAAAGCAGAAGAAAAUUUGAAAAGACGAAAGAGAUUACUUUGAUAAGUACACUUGGAAAACAUAUUAUAAUUAAUUCUAUCUUUUCAAAUGCAACUAUUGAUUCUUUUGCCUAUGUGCUUUUUGUUAAAAUAGGAAAAUAAAGUUAAAUAUAUAUGAAAAAUUAUAUGCAAGAAAAGUAAAAUUAUAUAGUUAUGGAAAUUAUGAACCCAACUCAAGAAAAUAGGGUUACUAAAGACACGUGGAGCAGUGGAAAGCAGGUCGACCCUUAACAAAGGGUCGCUUAUCAAGGUUCGUGGGGUAAGAAAGAGCCCUGACCUCUCAGCCUUUGGAGGAAGGAUCCACAUCUGUUUUAGUUUCUGUUGUUCACUCUUUCAUGACUGUAAAAUAAAGCAUCUACUUUGAUAGACUUUGACAUUGAUUUACAAGGUUCUAUAAGACAGAGAUAUUGUAGUCGGAAAGAGAAAGCCUAGCAAAAACAAAGGCUCCACUCCUAUUGGCCUAUUUUUCCUAUCUAAGGGCUCUUUCACAGUCUUCGCUUCGCGCCUCUGGACGGGUCCUCCAGACCUCUUCGAUCCUAACAGAGCAGUCUCGUCUGAACUUUUUUUAAAGUCUUUAUCUCCUCUUAAGUCAAUCUUCUUCUUCGCAUCCUUUAGAUUGGUCUCGCUAUUACAUUAAUCUCCAGUGGUCGCUUCGCUUCGCUAGGCUUGAUCUUUCCUUACAGAAAGACUAAAAAACACUCUCCAUGAUACGGAUUCCGAAAACCAAAUGGCCUUUGUUAGGGGAGACAGACAACUGAUGCUAUCUUGAUUGCCAACGAAGUUGUUGAUUUCUGGAAAGUAAAAAAAACAAAGGGCUUUAUAAUUAAACUUGUUAUUGAAAAGGCCUUUUGACAAGUUAAAUUGGUAGUUUAUAGACUUCAUCCGGUUGAAAAAAGGAUUCCCAAAUAAAUGGAGAUCUUGGAUAAGUAACUGUCUUAGCAGUGUAAAAUACUCCAUACUAAUUAAUGAAAGACCAAAGGGGAAAAAUACAACCUAUUAGAGGUAUUAGACAAGGUGAUCCAAUCUCCCCUUUAUUUUCUUGCUUGCAAUGGAUUACCUUAGUCGGUUGCUCAAAGAGUUGGAGGCUAACAAUAAGGAAAAACAAAUAUCUUUUUCCUAGUACAAAUAAGGUAAAUCUAACAUUAAAAGAUUUGUUUUAAAUAAAUUGAUUUUUUUAUGAUAAAUAUGGUCGUCAAAGAAAUUUUUUAAUAAAAUGAUUAUUAUAAGGAAAAAUAAAAAAUCUUAGUCAUUAUUUUAAAAAAUAUAUAAAAAAAUGUAGGAUAAAAUUAGGUGGCUAGAGUAUCCUUUUAAAACAAAAAUUAUUCGACUGUAGUGGUUAAAUUUCUCGGUUCGACGACGUUGGCUUGGUUUGGCAUUUCGACGACGGUGGCUGGAGGACUGUCUCGGCGGCGGUAGAUGGAAGAAAAAUGGAAGAUAAGGGUUUUUUAGCGUUUCAGAUAGAUGUUACACAGUUGGAGAAUGUUUUUGGUAAAGAGAAAAAGGAAAAUGCACCAAUGAUUUAUUUUAAUUGCGUGAGAGAGGGAAUUAAAAAAAAAAUUAAUAACACAAAAAAUUUAUCGUUAAUUAACAAUGCAAAGAUUGUGUCAAGAAACUUAAUUGUGUAAAAGAAAUCUGUAUUUUUAUUUUCAAUGACACAUUUUACCUAACCCCACUCAUUUUUUCUUGAUUGCAAGUGUGUAUGAAGAGGGAAAAUAAAAGAGAGAAAGAUGAAGAGAAUGAAGAAAAUGUGAGGAAAAACAGUAAUUUAGCAAAGGAUGCUAGUUGUGAAAGAUGAAAAUAACAGCGAACCACCACGGUCGUCGGUUGAAGAUUAGAAGAAAAACUAAUUUAACGAGAAUUUGUAUAUUUAAUUAGUCUCGUUACUUUUGAUCUUAGGUUAAUUGAAAUAUAUAUUGAGAGGGGUCUCUUGAAUUAAAAUGUGGGACAACUAAUAAUAAUCAACUUUUAUGUUGUACAAAUUUAGGUAACGUAUUUAUUAAUUUAUUUUCACAAAAAUCUCAAAAUAUCUCAUUUAAUUUAUUUUAAGAAAAUGAAAAAUUAUUUUAUUCACAUAAUAUCUAAUUUUGUUUUUAUUCUUAUUCAUUUUUCCUAUUUGUGGUAUACCCCGGUUUAUAAGUAGGGACCUUUUCAUUUGAAAACAGUGGGAAAUAAAGUUUCGUAGAAUAAAAUUUUUUAGAUAAUCUCUGCCAAUUUAAAGAAAGUUUUUUUCUUAUACAUUUCAUCAUGUGUCUUUACUUUUUUUUUUUCUUUAGCAAAUCAAAUCUCACGUUAAAAUAAACUUAGUUGAAGUUGUAUUUAGUAAGAUUUACUCCCGUGAUGUGCUUUUUUUAAAUGAUAGAGAAAGAAAAGAAAAUGUAUAAAGAAAAUUUUAUUCUUUUCUCGUCACCUGUUUUCUUCUAUUAUUAUUUUUUUAAAAAAUCCUUUAAAUUUUUUCUUCUCUGUGAAAAAUAGGAAAAAAGACAAAGACGUAUACAUAAUUAAAGAAAAGACCCAAAAGCUUAAGGAAGAAAAAAAGAAAAAAAAGGAUAGAAGGUUUGUUGUGUUGGUUUUUUCUUUCUUUAAAAGACAUUGAAGGAAGAUAGUUGAGGGAGAUAAAAAUUUGGAGAAGAUGUCUCUUUUUUUUUUCUCUGAAAAAUUUCACACACUAACACAUCUCAACUAGGUUAAUAUUUGUAUAGUACACUCAUCCGUCCCAAAACCAAAAGAGAAAAUGAUUUAUCAGUUCUUUAUCAUGUGAAAACAAAAAGGAAGCGUUUGGAGAAAGAAAUGGUUUUAAAGCAUCAACUUAACCGGACAACGCACCUAAUUCAAUUUGUGGUCAGAGAACAAAAUGUGUUUGUUUGGAGGACUUCAGUCGGCGGUCAAAAGCAUCAAGGAUGUUUCAAAAGGAAGAGAUUGAGUGUGAAGAGAUAGGUGUGAAGAGAUGGAAUUAAUCCCCGGUGGCGAUUUCGAAUGGUGAUUUCGAACGAGUGUGAAAACAAAUUUCGAAUAUCUUCAAGAACGGGUGUGGGAUAGGGCUUCCCCAACGUUAAGAACGGCGAUUUCAGAUGUCCAAUUUCAUAUGACAGAGUGUGCAUUUUUUGAAGACAAGAGGAUCAAGUGAAGGACCGAUGGUUACUUUUCGAAGACGGAGAAUUGUGACGAGACGACGGCGUGACGAACGACACUGUGGAGAAGAAGAUUACGGAAGCUCAUGCGUGACGACAAUGUGAAGAUGGAGAUUUCGAAUACUCAGUCGUGAAGAAGAAGAAGAUGCGAAAUUUGGAAAUAUGAAGAAGAAGAUUUCUAGGCCAAAACAAUUAAUUCGAUAAAGAAGGGAGACGACGCAUUUUUGUUUUUUUAUUAUUUAUUUAAUAGAACUUGACGUUUUUAAAAUCAAGGAUAAAUAAAUAUUACUCGACGUUUAAAAAACGUCAAGAAAGUUGAAGAUUGGCAUAUCUCCGUCUUUUCAUAGAAAUUCUUGACGUUUUUUCUUUGAAAUCACCCAUUUCUUAACGUUUUUUCAAAAGACGUCAAGCAAUUAAAACUACAAAGGUCAAGAAAGCCACUUUUUCUGUAGUGGUGAGAAAGGAGGAGAUGUCUAACACAUGGAAAAUACCUAGAAGUUGUGCAUUAAUGAUCGAUAUUAACUGUGGUUUGUUUUAUAUUUUGAAAAGAAUGAGGUCAAGAUAUGGUUGCCAUUGGUUACUCUCCCUUAAUUCCUAUUGAAGUACUAAGACAGACAAACAAGUUACGAUUAUAUAACAAAUUAUAAUUUCUGAAAUGCACCAUGAAUACUUGACUGCAAAAUUUGAUAAAAAAGAAAAACUAGAAAGAGAGAUAAUAGGUAAGUAAUAUAUUUUCUUAUUAUAUGGUUAUACCAUUUAUUUUCAUAUAGGCAAAACAAUAAUGCCUCUCACACACACACACAUAUAGAAGGAUUGUUUUCAUACUAUUCGGGGUAGUACCCGAGGGAUCUCUAAAAUAUACGAGUUCAUAGCUUGAUGGUUUUGUAAUUUUAAUGGAAGUCACAUAUGUCCAGAUAUUUUUAUCCUUAUUUAUAGCUUCCACCACAAGAGUAUACGACAAUAUGCUACAUUUAUCAUUAAUCACAAGCUCCAGGCCGUUUAUCACACGAUGGAAAAUCAAAGUGUCUGAUUUUUCUUCGUUGUGUAUGUCCACUGCAAUCCCUCCAAUUUGUUGCACGUCCUUUCGCUGAUCGAUGUUUGAAUGGUGAUCCCUUAAUUACGAAACUCAUACUGCAACAAUCUACUUUUGAUGGACAGAUAGUUUUAGAAGAUGAUAUAUUAUGUAGUAAAGUUUAUUGUUUUGUUCGUGAAUACUUAGGAGUUAGGAGUUUGGUAUUUAUAUAGUUGUGUGUGGUUUAUAACAGUCAACAUAUUCAUUUCCAUGGUGUCUAAUUUUGAUAAAAUGGAAUCUUCUACUUUUUGUAUCUCUCUUGCUUAGCGUACAAAGUUGAUAGAUUUGGAUAGUUUGGAAUCAAUUUUUUGAAGUGUUAGAUUACAGUACAUAUUAAAUUCGGCUUUUCUUUGCCUAAAUUAUACUUGUGCUGAAGUGGUUGUGCCCCUUGCACAAGUCUUGUGUUGGUUGUGAGUCUAAAUCUCAUUUGUUACAAUUAUUUUUACGAAAUAGUUUUUAAUCGAAUUCUAAAAGAAAGAUAACUUUUUAAAAAGAGGAAAAAACCCCAACUUAUUUUCUAGUCAACAAUCUAAUAAAUAAAGAAAUAUAGAUGUGUUAUUGAAUUUGAUUAAAAGACCAUGGAGAUGCUGCCAAUGGGUAUCAAUCCCUAUGUCUAACUAUGUCUAACUGUGUCUAUCGAACUGGCCAAGCGAGUGCUCUAACAAUUGAGCUCCAUCUUCCAUGUUUAUUUAAUUUUAUAAAUAUAAUAAAAAAAAAUGGUCAUAAAAUUAUUCUUUUCUUUUUAUAAAAGAAACCAUAAAAAAGGUGAAGAAAAGAUGAGAUACCUUAAAUUAAAGAAAAGAAGGAUAAUGAAUUUAAAAAGAAAAGAACGAUAAAAACGUUGAGGGCCAGUUUUGUUAAUAUAUAUUUAAGGAAAAAGGAAAAAAGAGUGGGAAAAGAUUGAUAAAAAAAGAAAAAAAUGAGAGAUUGGAGGAUAAGCGAAGAGAAAAAGCAUGGAACCUUGAGGAUGAAUACGAAGGAAAAAGAGAAGAAAAUUUGAAAAGACGAAAGAGAUUACUUUGAUAAGUACACUUGGAAAACAUAUUAUAAUUAAUUCUAUCUUUUCAAAUGCAACUAUUGAUUCUUUUGCCUAUGUGCUUUUUGUUAAAAUAGGAAAAUAAAGUGCAAUCUUACUUACUGCUCGAGGGUUUUGAAUCUUGAUGAUAUACUGCCCCAUUUGUUCUAGGAUUCGUGUCCAUUAUCUUCUUAUUAUUAGCCACGAUGACCAUGGAAUGUGGAGGAUCUCCAUUCUGGUUUGAAAUUGAAGUUAAGCUCUUGUUCCUACGAAUUGAUAUCUUAACACUUAAAUGAAACUUUGAUAAUUUAGAAACUAUUGUGAAAGAAGAAAAACAAAAUCUGUAGCUAUAUACCAAGGCUCACAAAAAAGAGAAGAUGAUGUCGCACGAUGAACGUGAGUUUCAAACAAGGGAUUCAAUUUCAUGGAGAAUACUUAGGGUUUCUAUUUGGGACGACGUUCGACAGAUCUUCGAAGAUCUGGAACAGUGCGACGAUGGACGACAUAUCUUUUGAAGAUUUGGGACGGCACCACUGUGGCGGACUUGACGGUGGAGUAAAGUGAGAUUGAGAAGAGUGAGGAGAAACUGAGAGAAAAUUGAGAGAGAAGAAAUCGUGAGGCGAGGAAGAAAUGUGAGACUAAACGAGGGAUACUUGACUCUACAAAAUUUAAAAAAAAAAAAUUACCAUAACUUUUUUAUGACGGUUGAAAACCGACACUAAACAUCCCCAUUUAAAAAACUGACAUUAAAGAUCCGUUUUCAUUUUUUUUCAACCGACGUUAAAGGUCAGAUUUCUUCUAAUGCUCGGUCCAAAAAUCCAAAAAAUAAAAGUAGGAAAGAUGGUAGUUGAAGUAGCCCAACAUAUAUGGUUAUCCGUCGAGUCACGCCAAUCAUUUACUUCAGCCAUAAAUGUUGAUCCACAGUCGACCAAAAAUAUCAGAAAUAUCGAUUACCAUAAGAAGAAACUAGGUAGAACAACAUAACGGUCGGUUAACAACUAUCAAAUUAUUAAAGUGUGAGGUCAUGUGAGUGUAACACACAAUGAAUCUUUUCAUUCUAGAGAAUUUUGAACAACAAAAAAUGUGUCUUCACACAAAUAAGCCUCGAUAAGGAUAGAUACCGUUAAUUCCAAAUUUGGGUAAAAAACAUACUAUACAAUCCCUAAAACAGAAAAGCUAGAAUAUGGAGAUAGCCUAAAUCAAAUCAUAUUUAACACUUAGUUUGAAUCCUAUAAUUUCUCAAUCCAAAAAUUCCCUUCCUUGAACAGACAUCAACUUUCAGAAAGCCUAAAAAAAAAACUUUCAGUGUCAAAACUUAAUUCAACAACCAUAAGAAAAAUCUACCCAAACAUAGCUCAUUAAUGUAUAUGGAGAACCCAUAAAAAUGGCUUCAACGAGGGUUCAAUUCUUCAAUUUAUUGUUUUUCCUUCCCCAAAAUUAACAUAAUUUAGAACCUUUGGUAAUAUUUAAACAUCAAAAGCACUAGCUAUCUUAACAAGUCAUUAUGAAAAAAAUUCCUAUAAGACACUUCCUUUACAACCUCCUCAAAGGUCCCAUUUAAUUUAUUUUACCCAUCAAGAUAACUUAGUAAACUUGGAUUUAGAGGGAAACUAAGAUGGUAAUUGGAUACCCCACAUACAACCGGAUUCUUCUUGGAGAAAAGGUUUCCCGAAUAUUUUUUAUGGCUACAGAAAACAUACAACAAAAACACUACAAGAAUUUUCGUCUUUGCCCACGCAGAAAACCAUGGACACUUCUUAUGAAAAACGUGGCCAGACCUUUUGCCAACACUUUUUCUUCGUGGGCACGUUGGGUGGCCGAAACACCGUCGUCUUUUUCUUUGCCUACGUUUUUUACGUUGCGUCGGCACAAAUGUUCAUGCAAAUUAAAAUCGUGGGCAGAAAAAAUAUUUCUAGCCACGAAAAAAAUGUCGACAAAAAUGUAUUUUUGCCCAUGAUUACAUCACGUCGCCAAAAGUAAACCUUCUGACCACAAAAAAACGAAAGGUAUUUUUUACCCAUGAUCAUCAUCACGUCGACAAAAAAAACUUUCUGGCCACGUUUGUUUCGUGGGCGGAAGCUAGUUCUGCCAACGAAAAGAUCUUUGUGGACAAAACAAAAUUUCUCCCCAGGCUAAAUUUGUUUUUAAAUAAUAUUUGUUUUUUUUUGUCCAAGCAUAAACGUCGCAGAACUUUCUAAUUGCCAACAUAUUUCUAACCACACAAAGAACAUGACAAAAACAAUUUAAAUUUUCCACAUUUAUUAUUAAUAUAAUAUUGUAUGCUUAUAAAUUAAAUUUUACAUGUAGAAUGAAUUUCCUACACCAUAAUACAUUAAACACUGCAACCAAAAAUUUAAAAAUGAAAAAUAUUUUCAACCAUUAAUAUCACAAUCCACAAUUCAAUACUUGGUCAAAAUAUGGCAAACAAUCAUUCUUUAGUGUGUCAAGGUUCGUGAGCUAUAUUACAUUUCACUUUGGCAUACCAAAAUGAACAAAAAAAAAAAAAUUACAACACAAAAAAUAGUUAACUCACUAAAAAGUCUUCAUUCCCCGCUCCUUCAAACUACAUAAAUCUGAAAAAUGUACAUUAAAAUGAUUAAGUCCUAUUUUAAUGUGGAGGUUCAAAUUACAGAAGAUGCAUGGCCUAAAUCUGACUUUCGAAUCCAAAACCAACCUAAAAGGUCCUCAAAAAGUCUCAACAAAAAGUCUCUACGUGACAUUGAUAGCUUUGAAACAAUCUCAACCCCAUAAAUCCAAUAAUGUCAAAUGAAUACCACUAAAUGCUAACUUCAAACUAAUCACCAUAAGGGAGAUAAACGGUUUCUUCACGAGGAGUGACAUCACAUUUAUUGUAAGAAAAACAAAUAAAUCUUUAUGAAGAGUAACCAAAUGGGAGUGAGAUCUCCUACAGCAUGGCUCCAUCCAAUUUGGCAAGGCUUAGGCCAAUGAAACCAUGUCUAUGAUUUUCAUCGUCAUUUUUAUAAGAAACAAAGGAAUGCAUUCAAAAAGAGCAAAAAGCCCCAAAAGAACAACCUAAAUGCAUUCGACAUCGUAGAGGCAAACAUUAAAGUCAGACUCAAUUAUACUGGGUUCAUACCAGCCACAAUAAACAUCAUUGAUAAGGAGGGCAACACAUUUCUGGUCCAAACUGUGAUACCUGUGAAGGGACGUUGGCUAAUUGAAAGGAACCCACACAUAGAUGGUACGUUCUCAAGACAAGCUGCCAUUUCCUUUGAUGAAUUUAACUUGAAAGCGGAACAACAUUCGUUUAUCGAAAAUAUUGUUGUUUCCCACCCCCCUCCCCAAAAAAAAACAAGAAAAAUUGGAACAAGACGGACAAACAAGUUACGAUUAUAUUUUCAAAAGAAUGAGGUCAAAGAUAUGCGUUGCCAUUGGUUACUCUCCCUUAAUUACUUUUGAAGUACUAAGACAGACAAACAAGUUACGAUUAUAUAACAAAUUAUAAUUUCUGAAAUGCACCAUGUAUACUUGACUGCAAAAUUUGAUAAAAAAGAAAAAUUAGAAAGAAAGAUAAUAGAUAAGUAUCAUUGUUCUUAUUAUAUGGUUAUACCAUUUAUUUUCAUAUAGGCCAAAGACAAUUAUGCCUCUCUCACACACACACACAUAUAGAAGGAUUAUUUUCAUACUAUUAGGUGUAGUACCCGAGGGGAUCUUUAAAAGAUACGAGUUCAUAGCUUGAUGGUUUUGUAAUUUUAAUGGAAGUCACAUAUGUCCAGAUAAUUUUAUCCUUAUUUAUAGCUUCCACCACAAGAGUAUACAACAAUAUGCGAGGUCCAUGUAUAUCACUAAUCCCUAUCUCCAGGCCGUUUAUCACACGAUGGAAAAUCAAAGUGUCUGGUUUUUGUUCGUUGUGUAUGUCCACUGCAAUUCGUCCAAUUUGUUGCACGUCCUUUCGCUGAUCGAUGUUUGGAAUGGGCGGUCCCUUAUUUUUGAAACUCAUACUGCAACAAUCUACUUUUGAUGGAUAGAUAGUUUUAGAAGAUGAUAUAUUAUGUAGUAAAGUUUGUUUUUUUGUUCAUGAAUACUUAGGAGUUAGGAGUUUGGUAUUUAUAUAGUUGUGUGUGGUUAUUCAUUUCAAUUGUGUCUAGUUUUCAUAUAAUGGAAUCUUCUACUUUUUGUAUCCCUCUUGUUUAACGGUGCACAGUCCAAAGAUUUGAAGAUAGUUUGGAAUUGAAUCAAUUUUUUUUUUAUUUGGGAUUUUUAAAUAUUGAAAAAUGAAAUUAACUAUUUACAAGUUAUAACAAAACUCUUUUAGAAGUUUAUUAAAGUUUAUACAUUGGUGAUAGAAAUUUUAAAAUUAAUUUUGUAGGAAUCUUUUUGGUGUCGAUAUGUUGAUAUUUUCAAUGAUAUUACCAUGUUUCCAUGGACAUGAAAUCGAUACAAGAGAUGAAGUGAUAUGUCUAGAUGUGUCUAUCGAACUAGCUAAGCCAGUGCUAUAGCAAUUGAGAUAGAUCUUCCAUGUUUAUUUAAUUUUAUAAAUAUAAAUAAAAAAAUGGUCAUAAAUAUUAUUCUUUUCAUUUUUAUAAAAGAAAGCAUAAAAAAGGUGAAGAAAAGAGGAGAUACCUUAAAUUAAAGAAAAGAAGGAUAAUGAAUUUAAAAAGAAAAGAACGAUAAAAACGUUGAGGGCCAGUUUUGUUAAUAUAUAUUUGAGGAAAAAGGAAAAAAGAGUGGGAAAAGAAUGAUAAAGAAAAAGAGAAAAAAAUGAGAGAUUGGAGGAUAAGCGAAGAGAAAAAGCAUGGAACCUUAAGGAUGAAUACGAAGAUAGUAUUUGUAAUAUACUCAACACUAUUUGUCCGUCAAGUAAAAUAGUAUACUUGACACUAUUUAUAUGUCAAGUAAAAUUGUAUAUUUAAUUCAAGUAAGAUAGUAUACUAAGUCAUGUAUACAAUUUAUUAAUAUAUUAAAUAUGUAAAAAUUUUCAUUUCAUGUUUCCUGCAGUACGUACAUUCGUUUCAAUAAAACAUAUUUAUCAACAAAAUAAACUCUGUACUAGUAGUUGCACAAUAAAAAAUGACAAAUAAUUUAGUAUAAUAAGUAAACUAACAAUAAUUUCAUUAGUCUCAACAAUGUCAUCAACAAUUACACAAUUCCAAACCAGUAUAGUCAAUUUAAAUUUUCUAUAUGUGGCCUAUUACAAAAUCAACAAUAAUAAUAGCUAUCUUAUAGAAUAAAAAACAUAGAAUAACAUACCAAAUGAACAUGAGACUAUAAAUGUUACCUUUUAUGAAAAGUUUCAUAGCGUUAGAGUGUGUAUGCUAUAUCCUCAUCCUCUUGGUCACCAAGAUGUAUGAAGUCUUAAAACUAGAAUUGUUUCUUGUUUAAACUCCUAGCUCAUAACUGAAAUGAGCAAUGAAAGCUUUUAUCAACAAUUUACACGAGCUAUACCAUCCAUAUACUUUGAGAUAAUGAGAAACUUGAAGUGUUUUUGAUCGAAUAUGAAGGCCCAAACUUGUAGAUUUGAAACAAUUAAAGGGUUAGAUUUGAGUCUGGAAGUUAAAGACAACUAAUUAGCCAUGAAUAACUUCAAAACCUAUUCAAAUACUCUAUAAACAAUUUGAAACUAUGAACAAAAAAACUUACAAAAAGAAAUUUAAAAUACCUAAACCAAGGUUUUUUCAUGUUGGUUUAAAAUGUUGCAGAUGUGUGAUGUUGACACAAAGGUUUAUUCAAUAAAUGUAGAUGUUGGAAUGCAUAAAUCUUUUUACAAUGCAAUGCAGAUGUAUCAACAUGAACAAUGCAGAUAUCUCUCUUUAAAAUAAUAAAUACUCAAGAUUUCUUCAUGUUGAUACAAUGGUUUGUUCAAUAACUUAACAUUAUUUCAUUCUGAACGGAACCAAUAAAAAUGGGGAAAAAAUAAACCUGCUAGUACCACCAGAUCCCAAAGGCUUCACUGGCUCGAAAUGUUUCAGUCCUAUCUGCUCUCUGCUGUCCAAAAUCUGUAGCACAGAAGAAGAUAGCAUCAAUUCUACUAAACUGACAAUGGCAGAAAUUCAAGAAAUUAAGAUUACACAACUAGCCAACUUAUUUUGUAUACGUGCUUCUAAGUCUUAGAGAGUGUUCAAUUGGACUAUAUCUGCAUUGCCAGUAGCAGUUUCUAUAUCCAUUGGAAUCCAUAAUGAGCGAUCAUGAAUCAUAUUUUCCUGAACAAUCAUAAUAUGACUUUUUUUUUUUUUCGUUUUGUUUUUCUUGAAUGUCAAAGGUUUGCACAGCAGUAAUAAAAUAUCAAAUAGAAUUCUCUUCAACAUACCUCAAUAAUUUGUUGAAAUCCAUGGAUGUUCCAUCUCUCAGAGUAACAGCUUGAACAUACACUUUCUUACUCAGUAUGCUGAUAUCUAAAUACAUUAAAUAAAAGAAAUCUAAAUAUAUAAGAAAUCAAAUUACCUGAAGCUCUUUAGCAACAACCACCACUUCAUCAUACAAAUACUAGAAACUAUACAUAUUUAGAUUUCUAUACGCCAGAAUUGUGUCGAGAAAAAUUAAAUCGUGUCAAUAAAAAAUCUGUAUUUUAUUUUGAAGGAUACAUUUUACCGCACUCCACCAUUUUUUUCCUUAUUACAAGUGUCAUUAAAACCCAUUUUCUAGUAAUGGGAAAAGAAAAAGAAAAAGAAAACUAGGGUGGGUGACCAUUUAAGAUGGGAUAUUUAAAAAGUGGGAGACACAUGUGUUUUUGAUUUUGGAGAUACUGCAACGUAUCAAUAAUAAUAAUAGAAAGAGUACAACAUCAGCUGAGCUUAUUUUUGCUACUUCAUAAAGAGAAAAAGAAAAGAUAGAGAAAGAUCGAUGACAAUGAAGAAAAUUUGAGGAGAAACACUAAUUUAGCGAGUUUUCUAAAAGGAUGUUAGCUGUGAAAGAUGAAAAUAACAGUGACCAUUGCUGUUGUCGGUUGAAGAUUAGAAAAAAAUCUAAUUAAACGAGAGUUUGUAUAUUUAAUUAAAGUCUCAUUACUUUUGAUCUUAGGUUAAUUAAAAUAUAUAUUGACAGAGGCCUCGUGAAUUAAAAUGUUGGACAACUAAUAAUUUAGGAGAUAGCUUCAAAACAAAUUCUUUCUUACUAAGUUAAUGGUUAUGUUGUACAAAUCUUAGUAAAAAAAAGUAUACGCUUGAUCCAGCUAAUGUAUUUAUUAACAUGUGUGCGUUUUUCAAAGUUAAAAUUAAUUAACAGGAUAUUAUAUUUCUUAAUUAAUUUUUUCUUUUGUGAUUUCUUUCAACGGAAAUCUACCGAUAUAAUCAAAUGAAACAAAAUAUUUACUAGAAAAAUUUUAGAUGUCUAAAUGAAAAUAAAGAAAAUAUGGAAAAUAUGAAGUAGGUAAUUAAAUUGAUACAUUUACAUCCUGAUGAUAUUUAGGGUAUGUUUGGAUUGAUUUUUUAAGCGUUUAAUUUUUAAAAUAAAUGAUUUAAAGAUAAUUUAAAAUAAUUUCUAAAUAAAUGAGAUUAUGACCAAAUAUUUAUUACAAUUAUAUAUGGAGUAAAUGAUAAAACUGCAUGCAUGUUUAAGAAUAUGAAGCAAUAUUUGUUUGUUUUCUGGCCACCCUCAUAUAUGAGGAUAUGUGCCAAACAUUUUCUAAACACAAAAUUCACUUUUGUCCGGCUAAGUCUUCGAACUAGAUAUAAAUAAGCUCAAUGUACUGAACGAUAUACACAAAAGGACGACACAAAGAAGAAAUACGAAAGUACAACUGCUAAAGGUCAUAAAAUUUAUACAAAUCAUUACUAGCUCUUAUAGCUUUUACCAUAACUUUUUUCUUUAUUUUUUUUAUAAAAUUCACAAUGCAAUAGGAGGUUUGUUGGUGUUGGUUUUUUUCUUUAAAAAUACACAUAUACAUAAUUAAAGAAAAACCUAAAAGCUUAAGGAAGAAAAAGAAAAAAUAAAAAGGGAUAGAAGGUUUGUUGGUGUUGGUUGUUUUCUUUCUUUCUUUAAAGGACAGAGAAGGAAAGAUAGUUGAGGGAGAUGAAAAUUGGAAGAUGUCUCUUUCUUUCUUUCUUUUUUUUUGAAAAAUUUCACAAGAGAUUAGGGUGCACUAAGAUAUCUCAACUAAGUUAACAUCGGUAUAGCGCACAUCCCGUCCCAAAACCAAAAGAAAAAAUGAUUUCUCAGUUCUUUUAUCGGAUGAAAAAAAAGGAAGCUUAUGAUAGAGAGAGAAACGUGAAAAAAGGAGGAGAUGUCUUAGACAGAUGGAAAAUACCUAGAAGUUGUGCAUUAAUGAUACUAACUGUGGCCUUGUUUUAUAUAUUUUGAAAAGAAUGAGGUCAAAGAUAUGCGUUGCCAUUGGUUACUCUCCCUUAAUUCCUAUUGAAGUACUAAGACCGACAAACAAGUUACAAUUAUAUAACAAAUUAUAAUUUCUGAAAUGCACCAUGUAUACUUGACUGCAAAAUUUGAUAAAAAAGAAAAACUAGAAAGAGAGAUAAUAGAUAAGUAUCAUUGUUCUUAUUAUAUGGUUAUACCAUUUAUUUUCAUAUAGGCAAAAGACAAUAAUGCCUCUCGCACACACACACAAACAUAUAGAAGGAUUAUUUUCAUACUAUUAGGUGUAGUACCCGAAGGGAUCUUUAAAAGAUUGUUCAUAUUUAUCAUGAGGCUCUGUCAUUUUAAUCGAAGCCAUAUAUGUCCAGAUAAUUUUAUCCUUAUUUAAAGCUUCCACCCCAAGAGUAUACGACUUGCAAGUUGCAUUUACAUCCUCCAGGCCGUAUGUCACACGAAGGAAACCCAAAGUGUCUGGUUUUUCUUGUGUUGUGUAUGUGCGUUGCAUUCUGUCCAAUUUGUUGCACGUCCUCUCGCUGAUCGAUGACAAAAAUGGGUGAUCCCUUAUUUUCGGAACUCAUACUGCAACAAUCUACUUUUGAUGGAUAGAUAGUUUUAGAAGAGGAUAUAUUAUGUAGUAAAGUUUGUGUGUUUUGUUCAUGAAUACUUAGGAGUUAGGAGUUUGGUAUUUAUAUAGUUGUGUGUGGUUUAUAACAGUCAACAUAUUCAUUUCCAUUGUGUCUAAUUUUGAUAAAAUGGAAUCUUCUACUUUUUGUAUCUCUCUUGCUUAACAGUACACAGUUCAUAGAUUUGAAGAUAGUUUGGAAUCAAUUUUCUUUUUAUUUGGAAUUUUUAAAUAUUGAAAAAUGAAAUUAACUAUUUACAAGUUACAGCAAAACAUUUUUAGAAGUCUAUGAACGUUGUAGCGAAUUGAAAACAGUUGAACGAUCAAUGAAAAUUAACUAUCAAUUUUCUCUUGUUGAAUGAUGCACAGUUCAUAGAUUUGAAAACAGUUCAUACUGGUUGUAGCGAAUUUAAAAUUUUUGCUAUAUUUUCCAUUUUUUAUUGUUAUCCAUAAUAACUCCACCUUAUUUUUUUAUAGAUACUCUCAACAUAAAUAUAGUAUAGUUAAUAGACGUCUUAUAAGAUAAGAAACUGACCCCUCUCCUAACAGCAAAGUGGCGAGAAAUUUCAGGACUACAUCGAAAGGAAUUCCUAAAACCAACUUGUGUGUCGAGAAAGUAAUAAGAAAAACCACGUUGGAAGAGGAAAUUUUCGAUGCCGUAAGAUAGUGUGUAAAAUCACUUAUAGUUACUUUUUAUUUUUUUACUUUUAUAAUUCUUCAAGAAAUAUUCAUCAAAACUUAUAUUUUAUCGAAAAUUUUCAUUGACAUCAUGGACUUCUCUAGCCCUUGUUCAGUUUCAAUUUCUGCUUAUUGUACUUUCUUGGUUAUAUUAAUGAAGCGGAGAUGAUGAAAGUGCAAAGGAAAUGUCCAUGCUUAGAGAAGAUGUUCCGGUGCAUCUUCUAACCUAUCUCCUUUGGUUUUUCUAAAAAAAAAUGUCUCUCGACGUCUCAACAUAGUACACAAGUAAUCUAAUAUUUAGAAGUGUUAUUAAAUAUGGUUUAAUUACUAAUAAAUAAAGAAAAUAGAUGUAUUAUUUAAUUUUAUUAAAAACGUUGAGGGCCAGUUUUGUUAAUAUAUAUAUAAUGAAUCUUCCAAGAUCGGAAGAAAAAUCACGUUUGCAAUUGAGAAGAUUUAUAUUAUCACAUGUUAUGUAGCCAUGUGGUGUAACAAUUCUCUCUUAUUUAGCAAUUAUAUAUGUAGCCACCAACCAUUUCCCACUUAAUUGGAUGAAUUUUCUUUACCCUGUAUAGCUAUUUUCUUUCUUUAUAUAUAGUGGAGACAAUUAACUCAAUUAGUUUGAAGCAUUUUACAAAAAAAAAAAAACUAAAAAUAAAGCCAACAGAGAGUUUAUGUACAAGGUGGAUAAUAUGAUCCUUCAUUGGGAAGAUACAUAGAAGAUCAUUGUUUCACUAACAAUCUCAAAAUAAACAUAUGAAAGGUGUGCGAGAGAAUAAUAAAUGUGAUAAAUAUAUUAAUCUAGUUGAGAUGUUUCGGAUGAAGUUACUGAUCUCUUAUUACCUGUUUUUUAUUUUAAAAAACAUAAAACAUACAAAGAAAAAAAAAACAUAGAAAAACACAAACAAACAUAUAAAAACUCAAAGAUUGUAGCCUUUUUAUUUUAUAAUUAUUAUAGAUCCAUUCGUAGAUGAGAUCAUAAAAGCAACCGUGUAUUAAUAAUUUAGUGUAACUUUCUAAAGGUUUAAAAAAGUGUAAAAAAAAAAGUAGUUAUAAACGUUUAGAAAGUCGAUUCAAAUAAAGGACCGUUAAAGUUAAUUAACGUUAUGACUUGGUUUUCCACGGAGAAUACAGGAAACGAGUCUCGUACUUUUCCUCUUGAUGAUUAUUAUCUUCAUUCUUAGCAUACAAGAGAAUGUGGUAGUCAUGUCCAUGCAUUGUGUGCGCGACCGAUUCUUUCAACAAACGAAUAAAUAUCAAGUGAUGACCUUUAUUGUUGUAUUCCCGGACUGCCCACUUUGUUUAGUCUUAUCACAAGUGCGUCUCCUUUCCGCGACAAUGGACGCCGAUCACCAACAGUAGCAGUACGCUCCUCCAAUGAACUCAUAUGUAAUAUUCUUGUUCCUGAUAAAUCCUAACUUAUAAUUCUCACAAAAUUUAUUACCUACUUGUUAUCUGCUAUGCUUUGUUUUGUGCUUCCAGCUUUUAAUUUCAAAACAAAACAUAGUCUUAAAUUUAUAUUUACUUCCAUUUCUUCCACUUUACGUUUUAACGUAAUAAAUUAUUAUUUUUUUUAAUUUAUGGAAUCUAAUUCGUGUAAUUCCUUUUAAGUAUUUAUGACCCUAAUAGGGCUUUUGCAUCCAUUAACAUGAUUUUAAAUCCUAAUUCAAUUAAUUAAUAUUGUUUGAAGGAACAAAUAUUUCUAAUUAUAAGUUCAAAUGAAUAUAACGCCCAACUACACAUAAUGUUUGUUUUAUAAAGUUAUCUAGCUAGGCUAGGUAUUCAUUUUAUUUUUUUGGCCAAAUUGUUUUCAAUAAAUUAAAGUUUUUGUUUUGGUUCAAGCAUUGAUCUCGGUGGUGGAUGAUUUAUUGGAACCAUUUUCCAAAGUGUUCCUUUUGUAAAAGGCGAAAAACUUUAAAGUGCUAUCAUCCUUUUUAAAAAAGAGAUAGAAAUAUAAAAUUAAAAAUAGAGUUGGAUUAUUUAAAUAUGCAAUAGUAUUCUUUAUUUUUAAAUAUAUUAUUUUUAAAAAAUAGAAAAAGUCUGCUUAAAAAUUUUGGGAAUAAAAAUAAUAAUAAACAAAAAAAAAAGAUAAGAGAAUAUAUGACAUGGUAUUGUUUUAGAUAAGAUAUAGGCCAUGUAUUGAGUAACACAAUUGUGCAAUUAAUUAUGUAUGCAAUUUUAAGGGAUUAGCUUAAUUUUUGGGACUUAAGGAUUGGAUUUAGCUUAAGCACUCAAGAUGUGUAUCAUAUCAUAUGCACUGCUCCCUGUGCUGCAAGGAAUAGAUUUAAAUUUCUAUUUGUGUGUCAUACAACCAAGGAGACCACUGAAUGACAGGGAGAUAAAUCACAUGGAAUAUAUCAUCAAAGCCUCCCUCCCAAAUAUCCAACCAGACAUGAAUUUAAGCAAACCUCUUUGGAAUUUGAAGGAUGACAACAUCUUCACCAUCGCAUCGGUGAAGCAGUCCUUACAAAAUGAUGAUCCUAUAAAUACCCUCAGUACUGAUUCCCAUAGGUACAAAACUUUGUGGAAGUCAAAAAUUUCAAAAAAAAUGCAAGUUCUUUAUAUAGACCAUCAUUCAUGAACAAAUCAACACCAUGGAAGUCAUCCAGAAAAAGUUUCCAAACACAUGCCUAAACCCAAACUUGUGUGUACUUUGCAAGUCAAAAAGUGAAGAUAUGAAUCAUCUCUUCCUUCACUGUGAAAAAGCAGCAGCUCUUCGGGAAAAAAAUCCAGAAAGAGACUGGGCAGAUUAUCGAGAGCGAAAGCGCAAAAGCUCUAUGCCUGCCAAUUUGCAAUCUCAGACACACAAAUAGGAAGAAUGUUAUUAUCUUCAAUACAGUACCGGCACUUCUAUGGACAGUAUGGUUGAAGAGAGACAAUAGUAUUUUCAACAACAAAUAUAAAAGCACCGCUAGGUACGGUCUUCGCAAAACAUAUAAUAAUUUAGUUGGUUUAUGGUCAAAUAGACACAAUCUAUUCAAAGACUAUAAACCAAGCACUAUCUCUAUCAAUAUAUCAAUGCCUUAAGAUAAGGGAGUUUGUUUGAGGCUUUAUCUCUAGCCUUCAUUACACUAUGUACUACAUACAUAUCAAUAGAAUUUCGUGGUAAUUGGAUAUGCUGUAAGAAAGCCUGCAGCAGGUUUCCUAAUAGCACCUAUUAUCAUGUACGUUUCCUUGUUCAAAAAAGAAAUAGAUAUUAAAUUAAUCACAAGUUUGAACAAGGCUACAAAAGAAAGCAUAAAUGAUAUAGGAAAAGCAUAUUAAAUUAAGGACCAUAAACCAAAUUUAAAAUUGAGUUUAUUGAUAAUUGUCUAGCUAGCUAGCUGGUUCAUAUAUUGUUAAUUUUUUUUAGAGUAAAAAGUGAUCAUAACUUUGAUAUCAGGAACUAAUUUCUUUUCUCUUCCACUCAACGUCAGACUAAAAAGAGUAGUUUAUGGAUGUUGUUUAUUUUAUAAGAUAGCUAUGACUAUGAGCCAAAAAAUCAUUUUGAAUAGUAGUUAGAUAUAUGUAUAUAGAACUCAAAGUUUUUCACCUUUCACAAACAGAUCAAUCCCUCUGUGAUUCAAUUGCUUUUAAGACAUUAAAGUUUGUAAUAUAUAUAUACUGUGAUAUACACAUUUCACUUUACAAAAUGUGAAUUAUAUUGAAUUUAUAAUAUAAAAUAGUAAAUUUAUUAAAUUUUUAUUAGUUUUCAUUUGGAUAUAAAUUGAGAAAAACAGAAAAGUGCACUUUUUCCUACUUUGCAAAAUUCCAAAACAAAUGUUUUUUUUAUUUGUUUUUUUAAAAAAGAUACCGUGAGUCAACAGAUGCACAUGUACAUCUCUAUUAGGUGGACACCUUCUUGACAUCUUUUUCAUCUCUGUUUCAUUAAUAUAAAAAGAAUUAAUACAUUAAUAGAACUUACGGAACAAAUUAACAAAAGAGCCAGAUCAGGACUUGGAUAAGCCAAAUACAAAAGAAGUUAUUUAAAUUCAUAGCUAUAAAACUGGCACCAUAAUAUGCAAAAACAUAGAGGAUUUGAAAGCCCAAAGUCUCAAAAGAUCGAGCAAAGAUCACUAAUCGAUUUUUCUUUGUUCUUAAAAAUACAAUUAUUUCUCUCCAACCCAAUGGACCAUAACAUAAAUGCAAUGGUGUUAAAUUUGAUGAUACUCCUUUUAUUGGGCUGAUUUAUGGACCAAAGAUUAGAACAGCGAGGCCGUUGGUGAUGCAUUUUUGUUUGAUCUCAUUACACUGUUGAUGUUCACUACCUUCGAAGAGGCAGUCUAGGUUAUUUGAUAUCCCAAUCCAAGAUGCUAGCAUUAUUCCACAUGUCUUUAACAGAACAAGUUUGGUUGGUGGAUAAAGCAAAUAAUCUUGGUUUGUACAGGUAUAAGGGGCUGAUAUCACACCAAUUUCCUUUCCAAAAAAGAGAGAUUUUCACCAUUAUUUACAGAUCAAUUUGAUUUGAGCAUUGUACUGAAUUUUCACCAAUUUCCUUUGAUAAUAUUAAACCAAGGAGCUUUCAUAGAACUGAAUUUUCCAGAAAUAGGCAGCUCACCAAUGUAUGACUGAUUAUAUUUUGCAGUGACACUUUUCUUCCACAGGGGAUCAACUUCAGAAUGAAAUCUCCAUAACCAUUUCCAUAAAAAGGAGAAAUUUUGUAUCAGCAAGUUUGUGUAUACCUAAACCACCUUUUUCAAUAGGAAAAGUGGCUUUAGACCAUCUAAGGAGGUGGGUAAUUAAGCUUAUACUCAUUUUUGUUUAUUUUACUUUUAAGCUGGUACUUUAGACAACAGCGGGAGAGAUAUCCAAAGGAACACAAAAACAAAAGAACGCUGUAAGUUUAUUUUUAGGAAGAAACCUAACCAAUCAAUCUAGAAAGCAACCUAGAAAGACUGGCCAAAAGAACACUGUAACUUUGAAAAAUUCUCUGCAAUCAUUGUCACUAAAUAAUUCUGACACGGACUUUGAAUACAAAUAAUCAUUUCUCGGUGGCCUCCAUCAAAUAUGCUAUUUCUACUUCCAAUCAACCUAAGGGUAAUAUUGCAGAAGGGGUGAGCUAUCAAAAUUUAUGGAAGUCUUCCAUCCCCAAAGAGGUGUAAAUUUUUUUAUCUGGACACUGCUUCAUGGAUGUAUUAACACUAUGGAUAUGUUGCAAAGGAGACUCCCCACUUGGAACUUAAGGCCUUCUUAGUGCAUCCUGUGCAAAUCGGCAGAGGAAGACAAAAAUCAUUUAUUUUUCUCCUGUCCAUUCUCUUCAGAGCUAUGGCUUAAAUGUGAAGUAAAUUUAUGGUUCUUCUCUCCUCCAACAAUACAACCCACCUCUGCAAAGAAAUUACAAGAAAAAGGACAACUCACGAAAACAUGUUAUCAUCCUUCACUUGGUGGUUGCUACCUUAUGAAAUAUCUGGAAUGAAAGAAACAGAAGAAUUUUUAAAGAAGAGGAAAAAUCCCUGUUUUCAGUGUGGAAAGAUAUACAAGCCACAGCCGGCCUUUGGGCAAGCCGCUCUUCAUUGUUUAAAAAUUAUUCGGCCUCUUCUAUUGCUUUAAAUUUAAAUGUCUUUAUUUAAUUGGGUUCUAGGGGCUUCUCUCUAGCCCUUUUUGUUCUCUCCUACUUCCUAUACUAAUCUCUUAUUCAUUAAUGAAGUGAGAUUGCUAAGGGUGCUAAGGGAGUGUCCAUCUAGUGGAGACGUUUUGAUGCACCUUCUGACCCAACGUAUAUUUAUCAAAAAAAGAUAUACACUUGUAAAUUUGAUUCAUAUACUUGAUAGAUUCACUUUACUGAUAUGCUUUUAACAAUAUAUUGUUGAUAUACUUGAUAAUGAUACACUGAGUUACAUUACUAAUAUACUUAAUAAUACUUUAAUGAACUGCAUAAAAUUUGAAAAAACGAAAAUCACUUAGUAAGUAUAUUAACAACCUAAUACAUAUAAUAUAAGUAUAUCACAACACUGAUAUACAAAAUUGAGACAAGGUAAAACAAAAAAAUUAAUGUAAAAAAAUAAAACAAAAACAUUUGAAAUCAGAUUCAACUCAAAAUACAUAUCGAAGAAAGUAAAAAAAAUGAAGUUAAAUUACUCUGAUCAACAACCAAUUAUAUAAUAUUUCAUAUUGUAAUUAUUGUACUAUUGAUAUUUUAAAAAAUGAAGGUUAAGACCGAAAAAGUGAAAUAAUAAAUAAAUAAUUAGUAAAGCAUUAAAAAGAGGAAGAUAAAUAAGUUAUUGAAGGGUAGUUUAGGAAUAAUAACAAAUUUAAGAUGAAGAAGUGGAAAUUUUGUCAUAUUUGCAAAAUUCUAAAACAAUUUGCUAUAAUUGUUAUAUCAUAUUUUCAUAAUGAUAUCCUAUGCAAUUUUUCUUACUCAAAUAGUUUUGAAAACACCUUUUUUUAAAAAAAAUUUAAACACCAUUUUUUUCCAAAAAAACCCGAGAAAGAAAGUGGAAAAAUAAAGAAGUUUAUGGUAUUAAUGACUUUUGUUCGCUUACUAACGGUACUAAGAGUAUUUUUUUUAUAUAUAUUUGGAAUGGACGUUUAAGAAUAUUCUUGACAAAAAAAAAUGACUAACCAUUUUUAUCUAAAACUAGAAAGAUAUGUAAAACUCUAUAGGGGUAUUUAGUAUAUUUAAAUAGAAAGUAAGAUUAUUACAUGUAACACACAAAAAUACAACACUAUAGUAUAAACAGGUUUCCAUGAUUUUAAAAAUUUGUCAUUAGAACAUAUCUUCACUUUUUUUUUUUAGUAAUUUAGGAAUUAGAUCAACAUUUAUUUAUAGUAAUUCAAGUCUGAUCACAAUAUUUCCAAUGUCUCAACUAGCUGGUUAACAAAUAUUUUUUAGUGUCUUCCUCAUGCUCUAGUCUAAAAGAUCAAUGUAUUGACAGUGAAAAGAUAUAAAAGGGUCAAGAAGCCCAUAAUUCAAGGCAAGAGACAAAAAGAGGGUGUAGAGCAAAGCUAUUAAUCUUAUGACAUUUGUGAAAUAUCAACAAAAAAAAAAUGGUUAGAUGAGAGAGAUGGAUAAACAUUAGAAAUAGCAUGGUGAAUUAUGAAAAAAAAACAUUCGAAGUUAUCAAUUUAUUUAAAGUAGAAUAUAGGAAUUAGAUUCGUUUAAAGGAAAAAGAAAAAAAAAAAAAGAAGUAGAAUUAAUAUGUUGUUAUAUAAAGGAGCAUAGAGAGAAGGCAACAACUCAAGUGAUCAAUCCAUAGAAUUAAGCAUAUUAAAAAUAUCAAUUUAAGAUCAUGUCGUCGGACUUUGGAGAACAUGUAGGAGAACAUGCAGGCAGGAAGUACCAGUUCCGCUCGGGAGGAGCUUUCAGAUCCAUUGAUAACUGUGCAAAGGACAGAGUUGUAGUAGAAAUUGCCACAUGGUCGUUGACUGUGGUUUCGGAAAAGCUUCAGGUUGAGCUCAAGCUUAGAGCUGUGGUGGCUGCUGCUAUUGCUUUGUUUACAAAGGGCAAACUCUAUCGAUUUAAAAUUCAGGUUGAUGCUAAAACCAAUUGUGGUUCGAGUGUCCAAACAUAUGAUGUUGAAGUUUGGAUCCCUCUUGUUGGUAAAUGGGAAGUUAGAUCUCACAGGCUUUGCUCUUAACAACUUAACCAUGAACACCAUCACCCUAUUUUGAUUGACUUUCUAAGCAAGUUUAUAUAAAUAAGUGUUUAUAAGUAUAAAAACAAAAAACAAAAAAAAUAAUAAUAAUAAGUAAAUAAAACAGAAGUGUUUGUAAACUAUUUUAGAAAGUCAAUCUAAACGGGCACUAAAUUCCAUUACAACUGCUCUCUCAUGUACUUAAUCAGGUUAGAUCUAUCUAUCCUUGCUUUUCUAUAUCGCAAUCAAUAAAAUAGUUAACUACUUUUGUUAAUGUAUAUUUGAUCUUUUCUUUCUGGUGUGUGAAUAAUAUACAUACUUCAAUUAUAUUCUACGUUUAACUCAUUUUAGUAUUUUUUUUUCUUCUCAUGUGUGAAUAAUAGCGAGAGAGUGGAGAAAGAAAGAGGAAAAAUAAAGAGGUAAAUGAGUAUUAACAAUUUUGUUUAAUCAGAAUGGCAAGGGUAGGUUUUAUAGGGUAUUCUUAAAAAAAAUUAAAGUUCAAUGCUUUCAUCUAAAAUUAAUAGUAAAAGUACUUUUGGAUUUUUUUGAAGGAUGUUUAACUGUAUUUACUUUUGACACAAAGACGUGUAAAACUCACGGCUAUUUAGAAUAGUUUAGGCUAGAAUGUAUAUGAGAUAGUAUUUAAAUAGAUCAAAG
rnacentral:lncRNA from 1 species